rnacentral:lncRNA from 1 species
AAAUAUCAUAGGCUCAUAUUUAGCCUAUUGAUAAUUAAAAAUCUCUAAUGAUCUAACUGACACUAUUAGAUAAAAUAAAAUUGAGAUAAAAAUAUAUAUGAAUAUGCUUUUGUAUUUUCUGGUGGAACUGUAACAAAUAUAUUAUAACCGACUUAUCGUGAUAAUAUUACGUACGAAAAUAAACAGAAUAUUUGUCCAUCAUACUUUCUCACGGUAUGUAACGCAAUCUUCCUGCAAUUCCAAACGAAGCAUUGCUUACCAAAAGUUCCCAUUUUAGAGGGCCUUUCAAUGUAAUUAGUCGAUUAUUCAUGGACUUGGUCGCAAAUAAAUACACACUUUUGCCCGUUGGAGGGCUAGUGAAAGAGGGGCGCUCCCUCCGAGCCCAAGUCCACACCUCGCCCCCGCCGCCGCCGACGCCGACGACGCCGCCGCCGCUCCGCCGCCGCAAAUGGCUUCGCUUCUCCACCUCCCCGCCGACGACUCCGUCCUCCUCGUCGUCACCCAUUCCAACAUCAAGAGCUUCUCGCCCGAGAUCCGCUUCUCGCUCCAAGUACUACUCUCUAUAUCUCUCUAGAUCUCUCCUGAAUCUCAUCGAUCGGUUCCUUAAUGGCGGCGAUCCCGAUCGCAGAUGAGCGUGGAGGCGGUGAAGGAGAAGCUGUGGAGGAAGUGCGGGACCGCCGUGGAAUCCAUGCUCCUCGAGCUCCACGACGACGCAGGAUCCAAAAUCGCCGACCUGAGCGAUAAUCUGAGGCCGCUAGGGUUCUACUCCCCGCAGGAUCGGUUCGUCUCCUCCCCUCUUCUCGCGAGAUAUGUGUGCUUGAUCGAUUCCCUCUUGUUUGAUUUGUUAGGGUUUCUUUUUGGUAGAAAUAUCAAGAACUUGUAUAAACUAUGAUCUAUUUUGAUCUGGAGAUCUAACUUUUGAAAGUUUUGAUUUUUGCUGCCUAACAUUCAAUUCAUUUGAUUUGUUUGAUGACACUUGCACUUCAGAAUUUGAUUCCCGUUUGUUUUAAUGGGCUUGAUUAGAGCAUCUAGUGCUAUACACCUGACUACAUUCCCAAUAAAGCAAAAAAAAAGGGCAUCCAAAUUUAGUAACAAAGAGUCGUUGAACGAUUCAAAUCAAACAAAUUGAAAAAUUAGGUAGUCAGGUUAAAAUGCGUUAUAAUUCAGGUAAGUUUCAUUUUUACACUCUUUUUACCACAUAUAUGCAUGGUUGUUGUGUUCUUUUAUGCAAAUGUAUAUUGGCUAAUGUAGAUUGUCUUGAACUCGUUCGCCACGUUGUGGGAUUGGGACUUUAGAAAAAUAGCCUGCACAUAUAUCUUUCAAAUCAAGUAGGGUUGUAAUUAAGUUAGUACAGGAAGAGAAUUUGAAAAGUGGAAACAAUAUUAAAGAUUAAAGAGCUGCGGAAAGUUGGUAGAUGAGGAUAUGCACCGGCAAUUUUACUGACUUGGGAAAAAUUAUUUUCUGUUGCUAAAACAUUAGUACGAUUCUUUGAUGGGCUUUAGAAGUAAUAGAAUCACUCAAGUAAAUUGCUAUCUGUAAUAAAAGGUAGAAAAGCAUGGACCUUACCUAAUACUAGGCCAUAUAUUUUAUUUUCGCCGCAUUUACUGUUGCAGUUUAAUUCUCUUUUUUUUUUUUUCCACUUGAUUGGAUUUUUCUUAUAUAAUCCGAAGGUACCGGCUGCAUAUUAUAGAUCUGGAUCCUUCAUCUGUGACCUCUGGCGGCUGGUUAGAAGACACAUCACUCGUCGAAAAAUAUACAAUAUCAGAGGAAGCAUACAGUAAACUUGAUUGUAAGUUUCUCAACCAUAUUUUUGUGCACUAGUCAUUAUUAGUGAUCGAUUGAGGCCUGUAUACUGUCUCUGCUUCGAAUUGAAGAGGGCAGCGGGUGUUGGUAUUUCUAGUCAAUUUCUAUAAUUUCCCUGAAUAUGGAUAACCAUCCUUUCUUUUCCUGUAAACUUCUUCCAUCUUUGACAAUAGUGACAUGUUCAUGUUUGUGUGUGUGUGUGUGUGUGUGUGUGUGUGUGUGUGUGUGUGUGUGUUCAUUUUCCAGCAAAUUUCCGGAAAUUUAAGGAGAAGAUGAUUUCUCAGAAUCCUACCCAUGACAAAAAGGUAAGCAUGGGUGGCACUUAGGUGUUUUUACUUUAUAGUAGUGUAGGUUUCAAUGCUGAUUGUAGAGUAGGUAACAUGCUAGCUAUUAUUGUCCUGUUCGGUCCUUGAUCUAAUCACACUUAACACCAGUUUCUAGAGACUUAUGGUUUAUUCUAGCUGUUUUCCCUUUUUGGUCUUCUCCAUUGCACAUCAUGGAGGUCUGGAUCUCCCCGUCCCCUCUCUCUGUGUGUGCACAUGCGCCCGCAUACAUGGGCACAUAUGUGCAUGUUAUGUUAGGGCACCCUACAGCUGACAAAAGUUCAUUUUUGUCACUUGAACUUGUUUAUGAGCCACUGAUUUAUUAGCUAUGGGCAUGUACCUUUGAGCAAACUGUCUUUUGGGAGCUUCCUAUAAAAUUAACAAGGGGUUGGAUGCCCUUCAUCUAACUUGAGCUUCCAGUGCAAAGAAGAAAAAGAUCUUAAACCAAGAAAAGGUACCACUAAAUAAACAGUAGGGGCUGUAAGACCUCAUGUAAAGCCCUUCUUACAAGAUCUUCUCUAAGUUGCUCCUCAUAGAAUUUUCACACGAUGCCUAUUGCUAACUGUAAUAUUUUUGUCCUUCAGCUGGCAGACAACUACAUGGAAGAGUUGUGUGCCAAUAUCAAGGUUAGUAUAUAAUUUUUGUUUCUUCGGCUGUAUCAAUUUUGCAGACAAACAAAAGCUCCUCAAUGUUCUUCUUUUUUCCCAUUUCCAUGGCUCUAACUGCAUCCGAGGUGUUGCACAUUCAAGCGUCAUAGAGUUUACCCUAUGAUGGAUUUGUUUUUUCUGAGUAUAUUGAGUUACCUUUCCAUAGAAGAGUAAUACUUCUCUUUUUGAAAUUUAAUGUGAGCAAACAUUUUGCAUGUGAUAGAAUAGGGAGUAUGUUCCUUCUUCUCUAUACAUAUUAGCUUUACUUCUCCUUUAUGUUUUUACAAGAAAAUGUUUUUUUUGCUAAGAUAUUUCCUGAUUUAGGUGGGUGAUAGAUGUGAAGUUGAACCAGGUGCAAAGAGGGGAGUUGUCAAGUUUGUUGGAAAAGCAGAGGCACUAGGACCUGGAUUUUGGGUUGGUAUUCAGUACGACGAGCCUCUGGGAAAGCAUGAUGGCAUGUAUGUGGCUUACGCUGUGUCGAAGCAUUGUUAUGUUUCAUUGUUGCAUGUUUUCACCUAGGAUACAUAGUGCAAAGUGAAAAAUGAUGGCAAUUUAAGGUCUUCCUAUUAUGAUAUGGAAUUAGGAAAGAAGAUGAACUUUCUUUUCUGAUGAAAAUAUAACUAGUUUAGACUGUAGUCUGACUGUUUCCAUGUUCAAGUACUCUCUUCUUAUUAGACAUACUAAAGCUGCAAGUCCUACUACUAUAAUAAUUGCAACUGCCUCUAACAUGAAUAAGAAAAAUAAAAACCCUCUCGUAGGUUUCGAUGAAACUAUUCUUUCACAGUCAUUUAUAGAGUUGUUAUAUAAUUGUCUUGGUUUCUAAAUUUCUAAUUUGACAUGUACAAGUUUAAAAUUUGAUCUACCUUUUCCUGAAUCUUGCUUAUGUAGAUAUUCUGUGCCGUUUGGUUGAUUGCAUGUAGCUGACACACGAACUCAUGUAGAUUUGCAAUAGUCCAACUUGGUACCUUUUACGUGAAUAAAAUGUUAUAGUCAUAGUUCUAUGUGAUUAAUAGAUAGUAUCACUAGUCCAACUAUAUUCUCCAUCAACUUAUGUUAACCUGUGUUAUUACUAGCUCUAAAGAAUAUUUAUCUCACUCAAACCCGAGGGAAGAAGGGGAGAAAAAAAAAAACUCAAGUCGUAAUUUCUUACUUGUUGCGUUUCAUUUUCACUCUCUUGCAUUUGGUAACCCAUGAUUGUAGUUUUCUCUACUUUUUAUGUUUUAUUUUCUCUAAAUGUGUGUAUAUAUAUUUUUUCAAUCAUGAGCCAGAAUAUAAUUCCGAAUACUCAGUUUCUCUCUUAGAGAAACAUAUCUCAUCCUCCUUGUUUAGAUCUUGUGUCUAUUUCAAGCUUUUUUGGUGAGAUAACUAAAUAAUCUCAAUACCUUGUGAUGGAUGUUAACAUCGUCUUAUUGUAAGAAUGGACUCUACCUAUCUUCCACUCAGCCUUUACGAAUGCCACAAACAAAUUAAACCCCGCUUACUCCUGUCAUUUCUAGUAAUCUUUCUGAAUAUCCUACACUUCUUGAUAUUUUUGCUGCACCUUCUGAGCACUCUCUGUUGCACUAGAUUCAAUUUUAACAAGAUGGUCCUGAAUAUAUAAUUAUCGAAAGACUCUAUUCUUUACCUUUUAUUAGUAUUAUUUAGCUAAUAUUCUUUUUUGGUUUUCCGUAGGGUGAAAGGUAUUCGCUUUUUUGAAUGCCCACCGGGACAUGGCGCUGUCGUUAGGCCCGACAAAGUCAAGGUAUCAUGACUAUUCGACAAUGCAUACUUUAGUUGCCGAUUAUGUUUCGGAGCUUUACAUUUUGACACAAAACAUACUGUAAUUAGGUUGUUGAAAUAGGUUUUACUCUUUAAAUUAAUUUAGUAUCGAAUAAAUUGAAAUUAAAAUGGAAGUGUGGAAUCUACUUCUGACAAGUAUUUCAUCUGCAGGUUGGGGACUUUCCUGAGAGAGACCCAUUUGAAGAGGAAGAAGAGAUAUAACAAAUAUUGAAGUGUACAUAAGAUAAUUUUCUUCUUGCUGACAUUAAUGCAAAUUUCUGUGCUUUGUUUUGCAUUUACGAUCCUUUUUCUGAUUCGAAUUGUACUUCCAUUUUGUUGUAACCAAAUAUGAUCGACUUGCGCUGGAUUCGAAGAACUGCUUUGUAAUUUUAAACUAUUUAUCGGUUCUUGUUUUGAAUCUUAUGUAGUCACAUUUAAACUGGUCAUAGUUCAGAUACGUUUCAUAAGUUUUUGGGCAAUGCUACUAUGAACUAUUUUGAAUCGAUUAUUUAAUUUUUUGAAAUUUUGAUUUUUUAAAUUUGUUUGAUCUGAGUCGGUCAACGGUGCUUUUAUUUCAAAAUUUAAACAAAUUAUUUCUGUUGAUAAAUUGUAAGUAGUAUACCAACUAAAUCUAUAAAGAUAAACGAUAUAUUCAAAUUUGAAAGUUAAGAUUUAGUGAUUGACUCAAAUUUGAAAUUUGGGGAAUUUGGAUUGCGAAAUCAAAAUAGUCCGUGAUUUAGGUGAAGUUUUGUAAUGAGGGGAAAAAAAAACUUUAAUUUGCCCUGCAUUAUUUACUGUGUUGUUACUUCACUACAUUCCAGGUUAAACAGUUUUACUUUGUUGUCCUAUAAUUUUCUCUUUGUAUUACUAAGAUAGUAUAUUGAAACUAAAAUUUAUAAACAGGACUAAAAUUAAAUUAUAAUGUUUCUAAACAGGAUUAAAAUUAAUUUUAAAGCUAAAAUCUGUAAACGAGACUCAAAUUAAAUUAAAAAGGAAACAGGAUUAAAAUUCAAUAAUAAAGUUAAAAAUCAUAAACAGGAUUAAAAUUAAGGGUAACUUCAAAUACCAAUCAUGUGGUUUCACGCUUUCUCGCUUUAAUAUCCUGUGGUUUAAAGUGUAUCAAUUUAGUAAUAUGUGAUUUUAUUAUUUUUUUUUUGUCAGCUCUUUCGUUAACACUUCAUUAGAUUAUAUACAAAAAACUUCAAAUAUCUCAUCUAGAUUUCUCGAGUAUUUACUUGAGUACCUUUUAGUUUUAACUUUAUCACAAUUUUAAGAAAAAAAAAAUAGUAGAGGGGAUAAUAAAAAGAGAAAAAUAAAAUCAUGAGGUACUAAAUUGAUACAUUUUAAACCACAUGGUACUAAAAUAAAAAAGAACAAAACCACAGGGAUGGUAUUUGAAGUUUUUUCUAAAAUUAAUUAGAAAGGUAAAAUUUAUUAACAGGAUUAAAUUUAAAUUAAACAAGGAAACACUAAAUUUUACCUUGCGUUCUUAAGAUAGGAUACUAAAAUACUAAAAUUUAUAAACAGGAUUAAAAUUAAUUGUAAAGUUAAAAUUUAUUAACAGGACUAAAUUUAAAUUAAACAAGGAAACACUAAAGUUAAAACUUUCAUUGUGUUGCUAAGAUCGGAUACUAAAAUACUAAAAUUUAUAAACAGGAUUAAUGUUAAAUCAUAAAGUUAAAAUCCAUAAAGAGGAUUAAAAUUAAUUAUAAAGCUAAAAUUAAUUAAUAAGACUAAAUUUAAAUUAAAAAUAGAAACGAGCUCUUAUCAUAAAGUUAAAAAUCCAUAAACAGGAUUAAAAUUAAUUAUAAAGCUAAAAUAAUUAAUUAAUAGGACUAAAUUUAAAUUAAAAAUCACUAAAAUUUAUUAAUAGGAAUAGAUUUAAAUUAAAAAUAGAAACACGCCCGGUGGGACUCGAACCCACAAUCGCCUGAUUAGAAGUCAGACGCCUUAUCCAUUAGGCCACGGGCGCUCUUCGGAUUAAAAAUUAUAACAAAAUAUAUUUAUAUGUUAUUAAAUUAAAAUGUCAUUUAUUAAUAAAAUUGAAUAUAACCUACAAUGAUGUAGAUAAUAAUUAAGACUAAAAAAUAUAUGUUAGAGCAUCAAUAUUUAUGUAAUUUCAGUAUUGAUAAAUGAUGAUGAUCAUUAUAUAUGAUUCAACCGCGUAGUAACAUUUGAAUGUAAUGGCAAUUUAACAAUUUUAGCGUGGAAUUUAUGGGGAUAAUUUCCGCGUAUGAUUAAUUUAAAAGUCCCCCCCCCCCCUUUCUUUUUAUGUAAUAUUUAAAAGAUUCGUUGGUGUUGCAUUCAAUCAUGUGAAUGAAGGAACGCAUAAUAACAAGUAUGACUUCUUUAUAAUAAAAGUUAUAAUAAUAUUUGUGGCUAAGUGGAGUUUGUCAUUAUUAUUUUUAUAGCAAAUUUAACUAUCUGCCUUUCUUUUUUAUUUUAAUGGGGCUUCAUUUGUGUUUUAGAAAUGAACCCAGAACUUAGAAUUUUAGAUACUAAUCAUCAAAUUUUUAAACAAGUGCGUUAGGUACCGUUAGUAAAUGAAUUUGAUUGUCAACUAAAGUGGAGGUGAGAAUGUCAGAUUGAAUAACACAUAUUAGGAUUUCAAAAAAUAUAGAAUCUAAAUUUACUAUAAAUAAAAGUAUGUUUUUUUAAAAAAAAGCGGAUUGGUUGAUAUGGUAUAUUUUAUCAUUUCUCACCUAUUAAAUUUAAAUGUAAUUCUAAUCAGACCUUGAUAGUAAAUCGAUCUGAAUUCUAAAUAAAGAGAUAUUAGUCCCGCCAUCUUCUCAUAAUCUGAUAUAAUCUCUCCAUCAUAUAUUUUUCAGUUAGAAUUUGUUUGACCCUACUUUUUCAAGUGCAUGUUUUGAAGCAAGACAAGUAAUUAAGCUUGUUUUAAUAGGUUUCUGGAAGCUACUUUGCAGAGCUCAAGCUUCCUGCAAAAGCUCCCCCCAGUGCUAAAUUGGGCAGUCGGGCACAACUCACAAGUGCUGCUAAACAUGGUAUCGGCCACAUAAUUUGGCCUAGUACAUAUUUCAGAAAACAGAAGCUUUAAAUCUGAACUUUAACUUCUACAUUUUCAUAUUUAUAAUUAAAUUUUAUAUAUAUAUAUAUAUAUAGGUAGUUUAUAGUAGUAGGUAACGUAUUAGUAUAAUAUAUAUAUAGCAGGGUUUUACUAGUUAAGCCAGCAGCAUCCUUAUGCUUCCUAAUUUUUCUAAUACCCAGCAAAUUUUGAUAGAUGGUUAAAUGGAGCAGGAGAGGGAGAGAUGGAGGGAGAUAUGGGAGAAUUUGAAUGGUUUCAAUUUCUUUUCUCCUUGGGAAUUUAGAUCCAAUAUCUCCUCCUUCUCUCAUUCUAAUUCCACCCAUCAAACCUUAAUGAAUGCGUUAGAAAAUUUAGGAGCAUAAGCGCCUCGCCAUCUCCUAAUCAGGCACAAUAGCCCCUACUUUUAUCAUAUAUAGAGAUAUAGUAUAUAUACUGCUACUAGCUGAUCAGAUAGUUACCAAACCUUGUACUAUUGAUUUUCGGCCGUUGGAUGAAAUGCAUGUGCGGUUUAGGAUGAUAGUGGUCCCUAGUUAAAGAGUUGAUAGGUGGCUCCCCCGUAGGGUUGAGGUGGGUGUUUGUUUAAUCAGGUACUAAUCUAACGGGUGGAAAUAAUCAAAGGGUAGACUCUAACGGAUAGAAACUCAAUAAGUACCAAAGGGGCGGUUGGUACUAUCGAUUAAGUAUAGGUAAGGGACUAUAUUAUAUAUAUAUAUAGAUUCAGCUGAAAAUAACUCUUGUGAAUAGUAAAACGCUGCUUUUUGCUUGGCUAUAGUUUUUACCUUGAUGGAAAAAUUGUGCUAGGGGUUAAGGAAUAAAUAUUAGUCGGUUAAGGGAGGUCUGAGUGGGAGCAACUAGGCGUUAUGGAAGUGCGUCAAUGAACCCACUGGGUGGUAUAGAUAUUCUAUCCAAUGCAUUAGAAACAAUUAAAAAGAGCUUGAUCCAGAAGGUAAAAAAAUUGUAGCCAACAGUGAGGAUUUUUGGCUACUAAUAGUAGCCCAGUCCACAGUCUCUCUCGUCUCUCUCUCUCUCUCUCUCUCUCUCUCUCUCGUCUAUUAUAAUGGUAUAUAAGUAGUAGACUAAUAAUUAUAUAUAUAGUAAUUAUAUAAUAUUAUCGCGUAGUAACAAGUCGUUCUUACUACCAGAUUUUGUUUUUCGAGGAUAGAGGGGCUUGCUAAAUUGACGAUUCGGCUUCCGUUAAAUAAUGAUCUAAACCAUUUAAACAAAUACCUAGAAAUCAAAUAUUCACGCACUUGAUCAGAUAUUGUUCUUUAUUCCAAUCAACGUGAAUAAAAAAACGAUGGAAAUGGCCUGAAAAGAUAAAUACUCUUAUAAAAAGUAAAAAAUGAUGAGUAGAGAGUCUUGCAAUCAAGAUCAAGAAGUAUAGAAUCUUAAGUUUAAAAGAAUAUUUCUAAACAAAAAUAUCAAUUGAUUCUGGUAUACUUUACAGCAACUACAAACAAAAUGGUCAUAUUAGCGACACUUUGUGAAUAUAGGUACAUGCAAAAAAAGUGACUUAGGCUAAAAUUACCGACACUUUUAAAAAGUGUUACUGAUAUGGUUGGGCGAUCCUAGGGAGGUAUAUAGUGCAGUUACUAGAGCGUCGCUAUAAGCUAAAAGAGUGCUAGGCCUAAUUUGACGCAACACUUAUUAAGCAUUUAGCAACCGCCGAACUCAUAUCUCGAUUGGAUACGGUGGCGCGCGCAGGGAAGAGCGACGACACCAGAAAGGCCUCGUGUAAACGUCUAGAAUUUCAGUGAAGUAGAGCCUGAAGAGAGAAGAAAGAAUGGGUAAAUUGAUUUUUCUGUUUUUUUUUUUCUCUUUUCUCUUUAAAGAUAAUCGGAACCAAAUUGUUGACUCGGUUGUGUGCGUUGAGUUGAGUAGAGGUAAUCUUUUAUUUUUAGUUGGAUUGGGCUUUUAUUUAGGCAUUGUAGAUAUUUUUUUAAGUUUUAGGAUAAAUGGGCACGUUACUCAAAAAGCUGUCCGCAAACAUGGUUGCUCCCUAUAACCUAAUUCUGUUGUAGGGACGCCGGGUUGGGCAGUUAACAAAGAAAACGGCCUCUUACGACUAUUAAAAUUCAAUUUUUGAAACCUUUGAUCAUUAGGCAAUGGAUUGUCGGAAAGAUUAAAAUUUGAUUCUUUUCAAACACUUCAAGUGUCAUUAGAUCAUGUUCAACGGACCGAUCGUCAAUUUGGACAGCCCUAUCAUCGAAAACAAAUCGGUUAGUAAUGAACGCGUUCGUUUACUAGCCGAUUGUAUUCUAGUCAGAGUUGAGCUAGGAAUACUAUCGCGUAGUAACGGAGCCGUUUACCUCACCGAUUUGCUUCGAUGAUAGAGCUUCCAAAUUGACGAUCGGCUCCGUUAAAUAUGAUCUAAACUAUUUAAACUACCUAGAAAUUAAAUUUCACGCACUUUUGAUAUUGUUCUUUUAUUCAUCAAGUGAACAAAAAAAUGAAUGGCUGAAAAUAAAUACUCUUUAAAAAAUGAUGAUAGGAGUCUUGCAAUCAAGAUCAAGAGUAUAGAUCUUAAGUUUAAAAAAUUUUCUAAUAAAAAUUCAAUUGAUUUGGAUAUCUUUACGCCGUUAAACAAGAAAACGCCUCUUAUCGACUAUUAAAAUUACAAAUUUUGAAACCCUUUGAUCAUUAGGCAAAUGAUGUCGAAAAGAUUUAAAAUUUGAUUUCUAAACACUUCAAGUGGUAUAGAUCAUGUUCAACGGAGCCGAUUGUCAAUUUGAAAGUUCUAUCAUCAAAAACAAAUCGGUAGUAAAACGACUCGUUUACUACCGAUAGUAUUCUAGCUCAACUAUAUAUAUAUAUAAUAGCAAAAUAUGCUAAAAAUAUAUAUAUUCAUAAUAGCAAAAUAUGCUAAAAAUAUGCUAAACUUUUCAUUAUUGAAUUUCAAGAUUUUAGUUUUUUCUCAAGCGUUUUUUUUAUUCUUUUUCUACCCAAUUUACCAACCAACACAACAAAGCCAAUAAACAUAAAUAAAUAAAUAAAAGCAUCAUUAAUUUCAUCAUUGCCAUAACUAACAAUAUUAAUUAUUACUCAUAACCAUAUCAUGAUAUAGUAAUAUAAUAAUAAUAAUAAUAAUUGAACCUCAAAAGGAACUCAACCAGAGAUCACACAACAAACACUCUCCAAUUCUCCACCAUCGAUCUCAAUUAGAACCCCCCUCAACAAAAAGGAGAAAAGCAUAAAACAAAAACCAAAAAAAAAAAAGAGAAAAAAACAAAUGAAAAACUAAAACAUGCAUAUAUGCACCAUAUAUCAUCAUCCCCAGGCAACGUUAUACACACGUACGUAUUGUGUGUGUACGCAUGUAUGUAGAUUGAUCAGUACGUACGUACGUAGAAUUGUGAUUAAUGACUAGGCCGUGAGCUCUUCCUCCUUGUGGGUCUCGAUGACGAGGUCGGAGCGGGGGUAGGCGACGCAGGUGAGGACGUAGCCGGCGGCGAUCUGGUCGUCGUCGAGGAAGCUGCCGUCGGACUGGUCGAUCUCGCAGGACGAGCAGGAGCCGGCGCGGCAGGAGUAGGGCAGAUCGAUCCCCUGCUCCUCCACCGUGUCCAGGAUGUACACGUCCUCCGGGCAGCUCACCUCCACCUCCCCCGUCGGCGUUAUCAGCUUCACCUUGUACGCCAUCGCCGUCAUCCGUCCCCCCCGCCGCACUCCCACUCCCACUCCCACUCCCGCUCCCGCUCCCGCCCCGCCAAACAGACCGCCGCCACCCCCCGCCCUGCGGGGGAACGCGACGGUACUGCGCGGGGCAAACAAGGGCGUGGCCGUGGGCGGCGACGACAGAGCUGCUAUGGUAGCGGUGGCGGCCGCCAUUGAAUUGUUUAGACUUGGUGGUGGAGAAUGUGGAGGAGUGUGGAGAGGGAGAGAUAAGAGGAGGGCGGGGUAGGAUAUAAGAUGAGGGGGUGGAGGGUGGGGAGGGGUGACACGUGGAGGGAGAUGAGUGGGUGGGUUAUCCUGCGUUAGGGGAUAGGGGGAGUGAGCACGUCCACACGAUGGUUGAUGGGUGGUGAUUAGCGAUUGGUGAUCGGGGGAAGAGGGAGAGAUAGGGGGAGGAGAUCACGUGCAUCUGUUUUGGGUUGGAGGGUGGGAGAUCCGGUUUGAAUUUGUGGUUCGGAUUGAAGCUCAUUUUGUUCUCUCACCCAUUUUAGACUUAAAUAAGUGCUCAAAAGUCGGAAGUACUAGUUUCUUUAUAUUUUCAAUAAUAAAGCAGCUUUAUACACACACACACACGUAUAGAAUUGAGCUCCUAUACUUUUAGGCCAUGUUUGGUAAUAGGAUAAUUUCUUCGGGGUUAAAUUUUUUUAUUCCUAGAAUAUUGAGAUAUUCUAGGAUAGAGAGGAAUGAAAGUAAUUUUUUGUUUGGCAAAAUUUUUACUUAUUCUCUACAAUAGACAAAAUGAUGUUUGGUAACUUUCUUGAAAAAAGAGAAGAAUAAUUAGUAAAAUUGAUUGAAAUAUUUUAAAAUGCCAAGUUUGCCCUUAUAUAUACAGUGAAUUUUUUUCUUUGUAUAAUACAUAUACAAUACUUGAUAAAUUUGAAUAUAAUUUUUUCAAAUAUAAUUACAAUACAAAAAUUAUAAUUAAGAAAUAAUAAUUUUUUUGUGCAGAGCAGUGCAAUAUGCAGUAAGUAAGAUAAUUUUAAAUUAAUUUAUACAAUUAGAAAUCUAUAAUAACCAAUAAUAUAUGCAAUAGUAAUUAAUUUAUUUAACUGUCAAUAAAUUUACAUAGUUAAACAAAAAUCCUAAUAUAAAUUUACAUAGUUAAAUAAAAAUCCUAAUAUAAAUCUUAAUACAUUGAACAAACCAAAUCUCUAUAUGCUCAGAGAAGAUACGAGAGUUUUGAUAAGUGGGUAAAGUGGCGCGGUUUUCAAGGCAACCCAAAAAGAAGGCCGCUGCCUCUCGGGUUUCAGGAAUAAAUCUUAUUCCAUGGUUGGGAAAGAAUUAAAUUAACGGGUUAUUCUACUGAAAAUUGGAAUAGUCCGAUUUGACCAGUAUAAAUUGUUUUGGUACUUUUUUUUCGUUAGGCAGAAUAACGAGAAUAAAUUUGAUUAUUCUGUAGUUAUUCCGUUACCAAACGGAGCCUUUAAAAGCAUAAAGUCAUUGAUGCUUGUCAGUUUACAGCCUUUGGAUGAAGAUUUAUAGGGGUUAGGAUAACAGUGAUGACCUAUAGGGUUGAUAGGUGGCUGGUGGAAUAGCAUAAUCUAAGGAGCGGAGUUGGUCAAAGAAAUAAAUCUAACGGUAGAAAACUUAUAAGUACCAAAAGCUUGGUACUUUUAAAAAUGCCAUAGCUGGACUAUAUAGAGAGAGAGAGGGAGAGAGAGAGAGAGAGAGAGAGAGAGAGAGAGAUAUUAGAUAUUACUGUUUUUAGCAUUUGAAAUGCAAAUGAUGUCUAGGAUCUGGCCCAACUAAGAUUAACUGUAGAGCCCCACUAUCAAACUAGGCUCAUAAAAGUCCAGGCCCUGUUAUUGGCUUUUGUCCAUUCAGAUCCAACAAGGAAAAGCAUGGUCAUUUUGAAGUGGGCCUCAUCCUAGGUCUAAUACAUUUUUAACUUGUCCUAAAAAAACAAUUUUAAAGUGCUAAAUUUUGACCCAACCACAAUUUAAUGGGCUAGAGUAACAACAACACUAUGUAUCAAUUUGUUUCUUUUUUUUCAAAAUAAAAAUAAAAAUUGUUCCACCAAAAUUGUUCGGCUGGAUAAUUUAAAUUAUCGGAGAAGAAAGAAUUUUGAAGUUUAUUGAUUGUAAAGAAAAUUACAAUAGAUGAAAACAAAAGUAAUUUGGUUUGGAUUCUCUGCUUAGACUUGACCUUUCAAAGAACGCUACGUUCGGCCGUUUGGAACAAAUAGAACUAUAAAUCUUUGAGAACUUAUCAAUUCGGUCAAAAAUCUUAAUUAUGAUUGAAACCUUUGAAGAACUUGUCAAAGGAAAGAGUUAAAUCUAUUAACUACUUAAUCUGUUCUCCAACUAAAACUAGCAGAAACUACUGAAUGCUAAAACUACCUACACUCUCUAAACCUCUUUCUCGAACUCUUAAAUUUUUCUUGAAUGAAUGCAUCAAUCAGUAAUUCCUUUUACCCUCUCUCUUUAGGUAUAUAUAGCCUUUAUAAAUCGGACUCCGAGUCCUACAAAAUUUCAGUCAAAUUUUGAAAUCUUACUUUGCAGUUAUCUCUUUAUUUAUGAUGAAUGGCCGAGAUCGCUUGAUGCAAUGGUUUAGAUUUCUUCUUUCUUAUUCAAGUCUAUCUCAUCUUUUUUAAGUAUCAAAGGCUCAGAUCAAAAAUCGGGAAAGAUGUAACUCGUCCUAAACCCGCCCCUAUCCACCAAGCAAAUACAGCGGGAGACGAGAGACCCUUUUCUUUCUUUAAUCCGUCCCGAUCCGUCGAAAGUCUACCAAAAAUCUGCUCCAACCUUGAUUCACCCCGAAUAAAACAGUAAGUGAGAGCCAAAACUAGGAUUAAAAAUAAUUCGCUCAGAAUCUGCUCUGACUCGACAAGAAAUUUAGCAAAAAGUAAUUCAACGAAAAAUCCCUCCUGCACCCAGGAUCUAUCUUGUGCAUCUAACGCUAACAAACAAACUAGAUAUUGAAAAAACAAAGUAUGUAGAGAUAUGUAUUUAUGCUUUGCAAUGGAACCACAAAAAAUAUAUUAUCACCGAUUAAUUGCGAUAUAUGAAACACAAUAUUACUUAUGAAAAUAAAUAAAAAAUUAUUUAUUCAAGUAAAGUAAUCACCUCGUCAUACUAAACAAAGCCUUCUUAUUUCUCUAACAAUAACAAUAAAGAAAAGAAAAAACUUUAAAUAUCACUCCCUAUAUUUUCACGUUUUCUCACUUCAGUACUAUGUGAUUUAAAAUGUAUCUAUCCUAUAAUUUUAUUUUUCUCUUUCCGUUAUUCUCUAUAUUAAUUUUUUCGUUAAAUCAGUGACAAAAUUAAAACCAUAUAAUAUUACAGUACCAAUUCUGUAAACCAAAGAAUAAUAAGGUGAAUAUUUGAUAAAUUAUAGAUAGGGUAUCUGAACGAAAAGUUAACGGANAAAAAAAAAAAAAAAAAAAAAAAAAAAAAAAAAAAAAAAAAAAAAAAAAAAAAAAAAAAAAAAAAAAAAAAAAAAAAAAAAAAAAAAAAAAAAAAAAAAAAAAAAAAAAAAAAAAAAAAAAAAAAAAAAAAAAAAAAAAAAAAAAAAAAAAAAAAAAAAAAAAAAAAAAAAAAAAAAAAAAAAAAAAAAAAAAAAAAAAAAAAAAAAAAAAAAAAAAAAAAAAAAAAAAAAAAAAAAAAAAAAAAAAAAAAAAAAAAAAAAAAAAAAAAAAAAAAAAAAAAAAAAAAAAAAAAAAAAAAAAAAAAAAAAAAAAAAAAAAAAAAAAAAAAAAAAAAAAAAAAAAAAAAAAAAAAAAAAAAAAAAAAAAAAAAAAAAAAAAAAAAAAAAAAAAAAAAAAAAAAAAAAAAAAAAAAAAAAAAAAAAAAAAAAAAAAAAAAAAAAAAAAAAAAAAAAAAAAAAAAAAAAAAAAAAAAAAAAAAAAAAAAAAAAAAACUAUAGAAUACUAAAAUGAUAUAUUUUAAACUAUAAUUUUUUUUUUUUAGAGAAAGAUAGCAUACUAUCUGUUUCGUUUAUUUUUUGUAGAAAUAAACUCAGCUGGAAAUGUGAAUCAACUAGAAAUCGAAUUUGGGAUCUCGGGUACCAACCAUCGAACCUUUUGUCACUUGCGUGAGGAACGGUCGGUUAAAAAGUAUUAAAGUGAAAAAGUGCGAAAUUACAUAGAUGAUAUUUGAAGUUUACCCUAAUAAUAACAAUAAUAAUGAUAAUGAUAAUGAUAAUGAUAAUGGAGAUGAUAUGAUAUUGUUGAGCACGAUUGAGCAGAGAUGAAGCCACACGCGUCCACCAACCCUCGCAAGGUUUGGGGGUUGUCACGUGCGGGGAGCGUGCACACGUGGAGUUUGACCGGCUUCCAUUGUCACAAGGCACGCGUGAAAGGGUGACUCGGUUGCCGGCCGCCCGUAUACGUAGUUCAAUGAAUUUACUUUCUCGCUNUGAAGAGCUAAUAAUAGUAAGCAGGGAAAUUAGGGGUGGAGAAGGGGACGAGGGGGCGGGAGCAGGAGGAGCAGUGGAACCUGCGCUUGGUCCUGAAGCAGAUGGGGAGGAGGAAGCAGAACCUGCAGGCGCUCUCGACGUCGGCGGCGACGACGCCGCCUCCGCAGAACGGGCAGCUCCCCGGCGCCUGCUGCGGCGCCCCCACCACCCUCUCCUCCUCGUCGCACACCAACACCACCGGAAUACACAUCUCCUCCUCCCCCCUCCUCAAUUCCCUCAAUUCCCCCAAUUCCCCUACUACCGCUACUACUAAGAUCUCGAUUUCUCUCUCUCUCUCUCUCUCUCUCUCUCUCUCUCUCUCUCUAUAUAUAUAUAUAUAUACUUUUACGAAGAGGAAGGGGUUUGUUGUUGUUGAGAAGAAUCAGAUGCGCAACGGAGGGAAAGGAAGGUUCUAUAGACUUCUAGGAUCCUCUCUAAUUUCAAACACUAGAAAUUACUGUGAGACAAAAAAAAAAAAAAAAAAAAAAAAAAAAAAAAAAAACUUUAAAAAUAAUUACAAUCAAAUUUCACUAAUCCAAUUUAGUUGAUCACUUGGGCCGUUAGAACGAAACUCAAAAUGCUCCAGUCUUUUAUUUAUCAACAAACGUCACGUCACGUCACGUCUUUUUUUUUUGGAUAAAAUUUUUGAUUCUUCGAAAAUGCUACGCAAGCCCAUCAAACAGCUAAUUGGAUUCUGUCUAGUAAAAAAUAAAUAUACUGUGUGCUUUUUUCUUUUUCUUUUUUUGAGGAAUUCUUUAAUUCUGUAUCGUCUUAUUUUGUUUAAAUAAAUUUUUCGCUCUCGAGCAAUUUUCCUCAAAAAAAAAAAAAAUGACGCGUUCAUGUGAGAUAUUAAUUUUUGACGCAUCAUCAAUCACAAUACUGCUAUGUCACUUCCAUAUUAAUGAUGCAUCAAUAUUUAGUCAAUUGAAUUGGGUUGUAUGAAUUGAUUGUAAUAAUUUUGAAAAUUCAAAAUACAAAUCACAACAAAUUGAAUUUUGAUGAUCAAGGUAUCACCAAUAAAACAAAAAAAAAAGAGACUACUAUUGAUUUGGGAAAAAGAAGUAUUGAUUUUUGACAAAAUUGAAUAAAAAUUUAUCACAAGUAUUUUAUAAUAGUAAAGAUAUUCCUCCCACGGCGAAAAUAUGUUGGAAUGAAAGUACAAUGAAAGAUUUUUUUUUUUUUCUGCUAAUACUAUAGAAAUUAUAUUUUAAUUAACUUAUUACAAUAUGCGUGAUAUAAUAUUAUUUAUGAAAAUAAAUAAAUUACUUCCUAUUGGAACAAUCUUAAUAGUUUNUUUUUUUUUUUUUUUUUUUUUUUUUUUUUUUGCACAUAUACCCUCCAAAAGGUCAGGCUUUUACACUCCAAAAUCUUGUUAUUUAUUUAUAUUUUUGAAGACCCAAUUGCUUACAUAAAUGCACUAUUUCAGCUAGGAUUUUUUUUUUUAUUUUAAUUUUCUUUUGGUGAGGGUGCUUGUAGCCCCACUCCUCCCUCCCAACACAAGAGUCGCACAAAUUUAAUGGCUUAUCCAAAAAAAAAAAAAAAGUGAGAAAAUGAUACACAUUGCAAAUUAUAGAUUAUCCAUUUGAGAUUAUUAUGAUAGUCAAACUCAGAAACACAUAUAUAAUAAUAUGAGAAAAUGAUACACAUUGCAAGUAUAGAUUAUGCAAUGUGAAUUCUUUUUGAAAAAAAUGUAAAUAACCAGAUUGUUUAGCAUGCAUUUUUAUUGCGUGAGCUGAUUGAAGAGAUAAUAAAUCAAAAUUUAAAAAUGAAUGAGAAUGUCAUGUGCAAGCGACCUGAGUCCAUAAUCUUGUGAGAAUCGAGAACCUUUAUCUUUGUUGAUAUGAUAUCCAAUUUUAACACUAAAAUGUGGAUGAAUUUGAGGAUUGUUGGCUUAAAUGAGCCAGCAUUCUGCUCUGUGACAGGAGGCUAAGUAAGCCGAGUCACGUUCGAAUUGGCGUGAGGCUAGAUUGGGCCGAGUCAUGUUAGAAGGGGCGUAAGGCUAGGUGUGCCGAGUUAGAAUCCAGACCCUUGGGCGCUAUAUCUGUACGCUUUAAGUGAAUUAAUUGCGUAUUUCUAACAGCUCGAGCUUUUGGGAUUAAUAGUUAGCACCAACGAUCCGACAAGUGGUAUCAGAGCCAGAGUUCACGAGUUUGAUUCCCGCAUGCUGCGAAUUUGUGUAGGUACUGGAGGGGGGAUUGUCAGCUUAAAUGGGUCAGAGCCAGAGAUCACGACUUCAAUAAAAUUAAUGCUGCGAAUUUGUGCAAGUGAUGAAGGGGGGAUUGUCAGCUUAAAUGGGCUAGUAUCCUGCCUUCUGGCGUGAGACAGGAUUGGGCCGAGCCAUAUUCGAAGUGGCGCAAGGCUGAAUGGGCUCAGUCACAAUCGAGAUCCGUGAAUACUGUAUUUAUACGUUUUAAGUGAAUUGUUAUGUAUUUCUAACAGCUCAACCUUUUAGGGUUAAUGAUUAGCGCCGAGUCACAAUCGAGACCCGUGAACGCUGUAUCUGUAUGUUUUAAAUAAAUUGGUUAUGUAUUUCUAGUAACUCGAAUUUUUAGGAUCAAUGGUUAGCACCAACGAUCCGACAAGAAUUACAUGUGUACUAGACGGACAAAGCCAAGAAGGAUUUCGGCAUAAGAUUUGAGAUUUGACAGAGAGAUAUAGAUUUUACUGAAGACCGUUUCAAACGAACGCCACAGCAAAACCCAAAAAAGAAUGAUUUGAAAUGUAGGACCAUACAAAUAAUUGGAAUUCAAAUGAUUACUGUCGAAUACGGGCGUGAACGCGAGCGAGCUCGGUCUCAUGCCGAACACGAGCUAACCAACGGACAAUAAGUUAAAUGGAUUAGAUUAUAUAUAUACAAAAAAUAAAUUUAUAAAAUCUUACCCAUUAGACUUUGAUCUAAUAGUUAGAAUUUUACAUAUAAAUAAGUCUUUUUAUAAUUGAGCUCGGCUUUAUAUUUUUUCUUUACUAAACAUAAAAUAAUAAAAAUAUAUAUUAUAUAUAAUUAUUUAUUGAGGAAAACUUUAAAUACCAUCUAUGUGGUUUUACACUUUCUUAUUUUAGUGUCAUGUGGUUUAAAGUGUAUCAAUUUAGUACACUGUGGUUUUCUUUUCAUCCUUUUAUUAUCGAUUUCACUAAUUUUUUUUCGUUAAAUUAAUGACAAAGUUAAAACUAAAGGAUGCUAAAGUAAAUAUUCGAUAAAUCUAGGUGAGGUGUCUAAAUUUUUUUUACAUAAUUCAACGAAAUAUUAACGAAAAAGCUGACGAAAAGAUAAAAACGAAACCACAUGUGUCACGCCCCGGAUUACACUUUCCCCGGGCACGCCGACAAAUCCGCCGUAUACAAAGGAAUUUCCCCUAUAUACGAAGCGUUAGCUGUACCUGUAAAUCAAACACUACUACGAACAGUAGUAGAGAGCUGCUAGAGAAAACAGAAGCUAAACAAACUGAGUUUCAUAUACAUAGUCCAAAUCCAAAAUACAAAGCUACUCGCACUGGCGAGUUAAGUCCACUAUGUACAUAAACUCGAAACAAAACAUCUACCUGCAGUAGGGGCACCUCUAGCUCAGCACGUCGGGUAGGGCUCUAACUCGCGACGCCCUUACCUCGAUCCUGAUCCGCGGAAGGCGCAGCAGCCGAAACCUGUGGCUCUGCAAAACGGGGGUAACAACUGGGCGUGAGAACUACUAUAAAAACAAGUAGUCCUCAGUGGGUACCGCCCAAAACAACAUCGGUCCACCCACUAAGUCUACAGGAGGGAGCAAGAAUAGUAGGAAAAGCAGGAAACAAACUCAACCGCUACAAAUCACUAUACUAUCAUGCUCUACACUAACCAACUGUAGGAAAUGUCAAAUCUGACCCAAUCCAAUCGGGACUGUAGACAUACCCGUCCCUGGGACUGUGAACACACCCGUCCCUGCCCCGUUGCGACUAUCGGGCUCUAUCCACACUAACUGGUCCGUGGAGAGCAAGUCCAACUGGCAUGAGCGACACCAACGCAAAAGCACAAGCCUGACUCCGGAGUGGCACUCGUGGGCGCUACCCAACCGAGUAUGCAGCGUAUCUCUGUCGAGCUCAAUCAGGCUCCAACUAGCCAAAGUCAAGUAAUCGACUUAAACUGGUCUAACAACCAACAGGUAACGUGCCCUCGGCACAAUCUGACGCCAAAAAGGCGAUACGGUCCACCGUCAACUCUGACGGCACCCAACAGUCCGAAACGGCCUGAACGACCCUGCAAAAAUUCACUCGGCGAACCAGCACGAGUGUAAAUACAUUCUAAACUACCCAAGGUAUCCAUUGCACUGACUCGGCAACGAUACAAUCGAACACGGCUCCUAGAGCUAAAUCUGGUAGUUUAAGCAUAUGACGGGUCAAAACGCAGGUUUUCUCCUAAGUCAAAUUUCAAGUCCAACAUGUAUAAUUUAAAUAUUCAUUUCAGCAUGCUUCUACAUUCAUAUUACAUUCAAAAUGCUAAUCGAUGAAUUAAAGCAUGAUUUACAACACUCGAACUAUACACGUUGACUAACAUGCACUUAGGAGCGAAACCGAUGAAACACCCACCUCUAAUGCAAUUCCUGGCAGCAAUAGGGUCUCGGAUCCUCAAGCAACACUGCUGGAAACCUCUUCAAACCAGCAACAAAGCCCCUUAAGAUCUGGAUUUACAAUGCACCCAAAAAUCCAAUAAAAAUCAUCAAAAUCCACAAUUCAGUCCAAGUACACAGCAGCAGAGAAGAGAAGGGUUUCGACCAAGCUAACCUUCACCAAAAUCCACAAGUAAGGACUUCGUGGAUUCUUCUCGCAGUCCCGAAACCAACGAAUCAAGUCUCGACGAAAUCCGAUGCUCCUACGUCGAGUACGAGCUGAAAUACUAACAGUCGACGAUGAAUUUCAGCAAAACAGCAUUUAAGCUUAAAUAUCUCAAUUCCAAUGUCAAAACUCACCAAACGAACUCCAAAUCAGGUGGAGAGGGUCCCAAUUCCAGUACUGGGUGAUAGGGAAAAUAACUCAACUCCACAAAGCCCCUGCUUCCCAAGUUCACCCCAAGAAAACAUCAAAAAUUGGCAAAUUCUGUCCAAAGCAACAACAGCAGAGGAAAACCUGAGUUCGACUGAGCUAACCUUCACCAAAUUCUGCAAAUUAGGGCUUCGUGGAUUCCUCUGGAAGUCAAGAAUCCAGCAAACCAAGUUUCGUUGAAAUCCGACCUUCCUACGUCACGCACGAGCCAAAACACUGGAGGUCGUCGCUGAAGAACUGCAAAAUCAGCACCUUGCAAUUCUUGGAGAGGUGGAUCUUGAUGCAAAUUGGAAAGAUUUGAGGGAUUUGGGAGUAAAAUCUAAGUCCUCUGUGAAGAACAGGUAAAAGAGCUCAAAGGGGGCGCUUCUCAGCUAUUUAUAGGCUGCUGGAUAGAUCAGAUAAGCCCCAGGAAAAAUAGCCGCAAUCCAGUGCCCCUGCAGAAACGGGCGUUUCUGGGCGCCCGGAACCAUGUUCUGGGCGACCAGAACAUCCGGCCUGCACAAAAUGGGCCCCUCGGACUCUCCGCCCGCGGUGUGCUGCGCCCGUAAACGGCACCGGCGGAACUCACCUACCGCCCUGCCACGCGUCGAAGCAAGCGAUAUUCACGAGGUGAAAUUUCUGGACCCACUUCUGGGCGCCCGGAACAUAGGAUCCGAAUUGGCUUCCAGUUUCAAUUAAAAUCAACACUCGUUUCUGGGCGACCCUAACAAUGUUCUGGGCGCCCGAAUCUGGCAAAACUUCAGUUUUGCUUAUUUGAGUGCGCCGAGUCCAAUUCUGCAUCCAAUUCGUGCAGAAUUGACUCCGACUCAGUCCGACACUCUCCAGAGAUGUCGACCAGUCUAUAAUACUGAAGCCAAUCCUAUCCAAAGCUCAGGAACACUACAACAUGACACUAACUUAAUACACUUUAAACUACAGGGUACUAAAUUGAGAAAGUGUGAAACCACAGAGGUAGUAUUUGAAGUUUACCCUUAUUUAUUUAUAGGGGCAAUUUCAUAGAUACCCCUUUCAAAGCUUAAAAUAUUAUGUAUGCCCUUCUAAAGAUUAAAAUAUCAUAUAUACCCCUGUAAAUAUCGAAAAUUAACAUCAAUACCCCUACUGUUAGUUGUUCUAACUUUACCAUAGUUAUUAAAUGGUUAAAGAUGGGUUAACUUUUAAUAUNAAAUUAACAUCAAUACCCCUACUGUUAGUUGUUCUAACUUUACCAUAGUUAUUAAAUGGUUAAAGAUGGGUUAACUUUUAAUAUGACCAGUUUACCCUUAGCUCCCUUAAGUAAAAAUGUAUGGAGACCCCCUCAACUAUAUGUCCUUUUAAAACAGCUUCCUCAACUUUUAUAUUUUAGUUGACAUUCCAUUAAUUUUUAGUUUUUAAAAUAUUAACUAAUUUUAGUACAUGAAAAAUGAGAAUUUUGUCAAGUUUUUUUUGAUGAUUUCACUAAAUUUAGUGGCGCUAUUUAUAUUUUUAGCAAAUAAAUAACUAUGUAUAAAAAUUUAAAUAAAAAACAAAGUUGAGGAUUUUUUUCGAUCUUUCUUUAAUCUUGGAAGCUUCCAAAAUAUUUUAACCAAAAUUAUUCACGAUAAUUUUAUCUGUAUUAAAUGCAUUAAAAAACUGAAAUAUAAUAUAUUUUAGCUUUUGAACAAAACUCUCUCUCUUUUUUUUCAAUCGACAAAAAAAAUGCAUGCAUAUAGUUUUGUGAUUUAUUUUUGCUUAAAUAGAAAAAAAAAAUUAAAUCUACCAUUUAUUUCAAAAUUACUAUUACUGAUUAGGAAUGCGAAUUGAUAUAGGUAUAUCUGAACUCAAUUUUGAAUGGAUGAACUUAAUUGAUGCUGAGUAGAGAUAGUUUCAGUUAUAGGUGCAAAAAAAGAAGUCUCAUUAUAUUCUAAUUCAGUUAUGAUUUUGAUCUAUAUCCAAACGGAACUUGAACCGAAAUCCGAAGUCAAAAACAAAACCAAAAUUAUAUAAAAACAUAUUAUAUAUAAAAUACAUUUUUUUAUAUAUUUUUAAUAAAUAAUAUAUAUUAUAAUUUUUUAUAUAUUGGAGGGUAUUUAUGAUAUUAUCAAUUUUAGAAGGGUAUUGAUGAAAUUAAUGGUUUCCAUAAGGGCAUCUAUGAAAUUAUCCCUUAUUUAUAUAUAUAAAUAUAUAAUAUAAAUUAAAUAAAUUAUAUAAAUAUAAAAUAUAUAUAUUUCGAGCUGUUAUCGAGCCGAACACGAGCGAGCUGAUCCUAGCUCGUGUUUGGCUCGUUUAUUAAACGAGCUGAAAAAUUUAGCAUUUGCUCGGCUCGUUUAGUAAACGAACGAUUCGAACUCGAGCUCAUUUCAAACCGAAUAUGAGCUGGCUUGCGAACAGCGAGCUGGAUUACCACCCCUACUAUCGAAGAUAUAUUUCAAAAAUGGGUGCGAUAUUAGAGAAUAUCUCCUACAAUUUUACCUAGAGUCCUCCCACGUGAGAUUCGAACUCAUAACUACUUACAAAUGCACAUCCCAUGCACCCAGAUACCUUAUUCUUAAUGGAAUUUAUCUAUUUAUUUUAGGGAAGGACCAUCAAUGGAAACAUAUGUCACCGCAUGCAAAACAGCCCUUGCUGUUGAGUAGGGGUGGAAACGAGCUGAGCCCGAGCGAGCUUGCCUCAGCUCAAAUUCGGCUUGAAAUUAAUUUCGAGCCUAAAUUUAAGCUCAAGCUCGGCUUGAAAUUAAUUCGAGCCGAGCUCGAGCGAGCCUAAUUUCGAGUCGAGCGAGCUCGAGCCCUAAGCGAGCCGCUUGAAAUUCUCAACAUUGUACGAUUAAUAGUUUAAUUUGUAUAGAACAUUAUUUAUAAUUUGAUACAAAAAUAUAUCUAAUAGUUCAAGAUACAAAAUAAUUAUAUGAAAUACGAUAUUAUAAUAUAAAAAAAAAAUAAUUUACGAGUUGAAUAUCUAAUUUUUUCAGCUUCGCAUGUCUUCUCUUCCGCCUUCAAUUUUCAUAUUAUUCUUUUUCACCUAUGCGGUCAAAAAAUGAAUAAAUUAUAUAGACAAAUAUUAGAUUAAACUAUCUAAUUAUAUAUAACUAAAAUCAAAAUUUUAUAUAAAUAAUAAUUUUCUACCUUAAAAAUAUUCUGUAUAUUUUCUCAAGCACACAAUUAAUGGCAAGGUAGGCAACAGCGGGCGCGUGCUGUUACUUGAUAACUUGGGGGGCUUCAGGUUUGGCCGCUUGAGGAGAGAGAGAGAGAGAGAGAGAGAGAGAGAGAGAGAAGGAAUUUAAGGCUUUGUAAAAGAAAAGGAGGGAGAGAGUGUAAAUUUAGUAAAAUUUUACCUUUUUGUUGGCAUAUUGGGUUUGUUCUUAUGGCCCAGCAAUAUUGGCUCAAUUUUAACUAAACUUAGGUUACUCACUUAGCCUAUAUAUAUAUAUAUAUAUAUUCGAGCUUUUCGAGCCUAAUUCGAGCGAGCCGAGUAAUACUCAAGCUCGGCUUGAAAUGAAUUUCGAGCCUUUUUUUUUGUUCAAGCUCGGCUCAUCUAAUUUCGAGCCGAGCUCGAGCGAGCCGAAUAUCGAGCCGAACGCGAGUCGAACGCGAGCCGGCUCGCUCGUUUGCCAGCCCUACUGUUGAGAACAAGGUAACAAGUUUUUGUCUUAAAACCGACCAUUCCUAGAGCAAGUAGCAAGGGAUUGGUGAUUGGUACCCGAGGUCCCAAGUGCGAAUCCUAGUUGAUUCACAUUUCCAGCUAAGUUUAUUUCUAAAUGAAAUAAACGAAACAAGUAGCGUGCUACCUAUCUCUCAAAAAAAAAAAAAAAAAAGGUUUUUUCUCAAAAAAAAAAGAAAAGAAAUUAAUGAUCAAGGUCACAAGUUACAUAUAUAUAACUCUAUUAGUUUGAAAUAUAAUUUAAUGAGCAUUACUAUCGAUCAUUCCUACUGCAAGUGGCAAAGGAUUUGAUGGUUAAUACCUGAGGUUCAAAGUUUGAAUCCUAAUUGAUUCACAUUUCCAGCUAAGUUUAUUUUUAAAUGAAAUAAACGAAGUGGGUAGCAUGCUGUACCUAUUUCUCAAAAACAAAAUUUAAUGAGCAUUGUUCGAUCUAUGCACCAACAAAAAGUGGUGUAUAUCUUGCACCCCCUUAUUCAAUAAUCAAAAUUGAUCCUUGUCUUGUUAUUUUUUUUUUAAAUACUAAAAAUCUAAUAAUUUUAUAAUCUCUAGAAUAAAGGGAUGCAAGAUGUACACUCUAUUUUAUAGUGUACAAGUAUAAUUUUCUGUUAAAUAUAACAAGAUCAUUAUCUGUCAGUUUAAACUUUUAGAGUAUAACGAUUGUUUCACAUAAUUCAACGUGGUAUCACAGCAGGAGGUCCUGAGUUCGAGUCAAGCCAUGUCCUAGCAAAAUUAAUUUUCUCUUAUUUAAUUCAAAACCAGGUCAUGGACCUAUUAAAAAAUCUCGAGGCCAGAUUUGAAUAUAAAAAUACCAUUUUACCGGCUUAACUUUUUAGAGACAACUGUUUAUCAAAAAAUCUCGAACCCAAACGUGAAAAUAAAACUAUAAUAUUCUACCGACUUUAGUUUUUAGAAACAACUUCUUUAAAAAAAUCUCAAGCCAAGAUAGAGAGAAUGAUAAAUAUAAAAAUACAAUUUUCUGUCCGCUUAAGUUUUUAGAGUUAACCACUGUUCCGUAUAAUUUAAUAUUUUUCUAUUUUAAUAUAUUUCUCUAGCUCUAAAGUGCCUAAAUCAAAGCAAAAAUUAGAAGAGGAGAGAGAGAGAGAGAGAGAGAGAGAGAAAAGUGGAGAGAGAAAAAGGGGUGGAAAUAAGAACAAGCCUAGAUUAUACUUCAAGCUAUCAUUAAUUAAAGGGUAAACUUCAAAUAUCACCCUUGUGGUUUCUCACUUUCUCACUUUAGUAUCAUGUAGUUUAAAGUGUAUCAAGUUAGUGUCUCGUGGUUUUAUUUUUAUCUUUUCGUCAGUUUUUUCGUUAAUAUUGUAUUAAAUUAUAUGCAAAAAAUUUCAGAUAUCCCAUCUAGAUUUAUCGAAUAUUCACUUUAAUACUCUUUGGUUUUAAUUUUAUCACUGAUUUAACGAAAAAAAUUAGUAGAAUCGAUAAUAAAAAGAUAAAAAUAAAAUCACAGUGCAGUAAAUUGAUACACUUUAAACCACAGGGUAAUAAAGUGAGAAAGUGUGAAACUUAAGGGAUAGUAUUUGAAGGUUUUUAUUAAUUAAAUAAACUUCUUAAUAUAUUUUUACUUGGAAAACAUUAUGCACCAAAACUCCAAUCAUGCCAAAUAAGUUCCACAAGUACAAGGAAAGCAAGAAUUAAUUAAUGAAACUGCAAAGCGUGACAAAAAAGUAAUAUUCUCCUUAAAUACAUUAAUUGCAUUAAUUUAUACAUUUGAUGCUACAAAUUGUAGCCUAUAUAAUACGCUUAUUAAUUUAUUCUCUUCCAUAGGAAAACCCACAAAAUUAAGAAAUUAGCAUGGGUAUGAAAAAGGCCUUUUUAGUUAGUUAGGUUAUGUUAGGUCGACACAAAUCAAUGAGUAAAUUGUAUACGUGCAUGGUUGAUGAUAAGCCACAUACGAUUAUAAAUUCCAUGAAAAAAAAAAAAAAAAAAAAGCCCUCAUGUGAUUAUGAAGUUCAUGUUGAGCACAAUUAUUGGUAUGCUCAUUAAUUAUAUUCACAUAGGUGAAAAUAUAGUGAGACCCCCGCAAGUACGGGCGAUCUGAAAUAGCACCCCCAACUUUAAAUUUUUUUUUUGGCUAAAUUACAGAAAAUGCUCAUGCAAAUACCUUUUUUUUUUCAUUAAUUUGUCUUUCCUAACUUUCAAAAAUCUAUAUUUUGCCUCCUUUAAAAUUUAAAAAAUAUUUUCAAGGCCGGAGAGGGGGUUACAACGUUAAUGGAGAGGGUAAAAUGACCAAAAUUACUCUUAUUUUUUAUAUAAAAAAUAAUUUUUUAAUACAUUUAUGUCAUUUUUGAAGGACAUUUUUUGUAUAAAUUAUAAGAGGUGGACGGAAUAGUCAUGGAACCCUGACGAAGACGGCUAAAUGCAACAACUUGAAAUAUUAAUGGGGUAAAAUAUAAAUUUUUGAAAGUUAGAAAGGAAAAGUAAAAAAAUGAGUAUUUAUAAGGGGUUUUCUGUAAUUUAGCCUUAUUUUUAUUGACUAAUUUAACUUCUAAUUUUUUUGAAUUAUAUUCUUGUAGUUAACUAUGUUAGAAAAUUAAUAUUGUUGACUUUCAUGGCUCAAGUAGUCAUUAGUAGUUAAUUAAUCUAAUUUUAUUCACUAUAAAAUAGUUUAAAUAGAAUUAUUAAUUAAUUUGGCAAAAUUCUUAAACUUUUUGGCUAAAAUCGAUUAAUUCUAAAAAAAAUAAAGUUAAGAGGGUUUCAAGGAAAAAAAAACUGAAAAGUGAGGUUCCUUUUUAGAAUAGCAAAUAGUUAGAGGGUCUUCAUACAUUUUACCUACUCACAUAAAUAGAGAAUUGAUAUGGCAAAUGCAAUAAAUAUUAUUGUUACAACACAUGUAUUGUAUGUGAUCAUAUUUUGAAUCUUGUUGUUCUUGCAAUAGUAUACAUUGCUUUAGCAAUAAUAGUGUGUCACAGGAGUUUUCUUAUAUGUCAAUUUUAGUGAUCGAGCAUCUGAAUCGAUAAUUGGUAUUAUUAAACAUAAUCAAUUUAGUAUACUAAAAACUAAAUUUUAUAAUUUUGGCACAUCUAAUAUUCAAUUAUAUAUAGUUCAAAAAAAUUAACAAUUUUCGAAGACUAAUGUAAGAUGAAUUCAACGUCACUUGAUCACUAGGCAUAAAAUAACGUAAAAUCAUAAAAUUUGAAAUAGCUUAGAUCAUAUGUAACGAUAUCGAUCGUCGAUUCUAAUGCCUCAUCUUCAAAAUCAAUGCGGAAACAAACUCCUUGGUUUACCUCUAGAAGCAUUGUAGCCUAAUUCAGAUAAGAUACACAUGUACUUCAAAACUGCAUGAUUAGUUCAUGAUUGAGUGAUGAGUUGUAAAUUUGUAGAGGAAUAUGUGUUCUCUAGAUAGGAUUUUAUUUAUUUUUUUCUUUUUGAGAGAUGUGUUCUGUUGGAUCUAAUCAUCAAUACCUAUUUUUAUACAUUAGGCCCCCAUUAAUGAGCUCUUGAUGUGGAAAAUGACCCUGCUACAUAAGCCUUUAUCUCAUCAACACAUGACACCUGUAUAAUUUAUGAUUAAUUUGCAUUUGGUAAUGGACAAAUGAUUCAGAUCCUCUAUAGCUGCAUAUGUUCAAUGAUCAAUUGGAGAAUUUUUGUGUUAGUCAUCAAUAAGUAAUUGAUGGAAGAUAUAUCCGAUUCUGGAGGAGCUUCUAUUUUCUAUUUCUGGUGUAUUGUCAUAACUUAUACGCUAUUGAAGUAUCUGCCAUUCAUACCAUCUAUAGUGGGAAAGGCGAAGGAGAUGAGGAUCUUUUGGUUUGGUACGUAAACAAAACGUCGAUCUAAAAUUAUAGUGUAUGAGUCAAUCAUGUUCUAAGAGUGUUUACACAAUGUGUAUUGCGACAUAUCGUAUUGUAGCGAUAACUAGUUAUCACAUAGGCACAAUACAACUUGUAAAAUCAUGUAAGGGCCUAUUCGGCCUAAAUUUAAAAUUUGAACUAGAAUUUAAAUUUUGAUAUUUGAAAUGACAAACCAAAUUUCAAAUUAAAAAAUUUAGAAUUUUAAUGUUUAAAAAAUAAUACUUGAAUUUUAAAUUUGGAAGUUAAAAUUUAAAUUUUAAGCUUUAAAAUCUAAAUUAAAAUUUUAAACUAAAAUCGAAAAGUUAUCUAAAGUUUAAAAUCUAAAUUUAAAAUUUACAAUUCCAUAUUUAAAUUGAAAAUUCAAAUUUUAAAUUUUAAAAUUUUGAAUUUUAAAAAUUUAAAAGUUUAAAUUUAAAAUCUAAAUUUAAAAUUUGAAAUUUAAAAUAUAAAAUUUAAAAUUUAAAAUUUAAAAUUCAAAAGUAAAACUUUAAAAUGUAAAGUACCAAAUUUAGAAUUUUAAAAUUUUUUGAAAAAUAUUUGAAUUUUAAAUUAAAAUUAAAAUUAAAAAGUUAUCUAAAGUUUAAAAUCUAAAUUUAAAAUUCAAAAUUCCAAGUUUAAAUGAAAAUUGAAAUUUUAAAAUUUAAAUUUGAAUUUUAAAAUUUAAAGUUAAAAUUUAAAAUAUAUUUUGAAAUUUGAAAUAUAAAUUUAAAAAUAUAAAUAUAAAAUUCAAAGUAAACUUUAAAAAUAAAGUACAAAAUUAUCAUUUAAAAUUUAAAAUUUCAUAUUUAAAUCUAAAUUUGAGCAUUAAAAUUCAAAUUUUAAAUUUUAAAUUUUAAAACUUAAAAUUAAAUUUAAAAUCUAACAUAAAUUCAAAAGUUGAAUAAAAAAUUAAAAUUUAAACUCAAAAUUUUAGUCUAAAAUCAAAAUCAUAUUUCAAUAAGUAGAUCUUAACUACUUUUGAUUUUAGGUCUCUAAAAUUAGAGAAUCGAUUAUAAAAAUCAGAAUCAAAAUUUGAAAGAUAAAUUGUCAAAAGCUCUAUUGAGUAAAAAAUCACUUUUCAUACUAAAAUCACUUUUCAGAACUUAGGCCAAACACUCUCUAAUUUUGUAGUUACUGAAUUACCGUCCUAGAGAUUUGGAUUACGAUCCUCAUUUGUGUUUAUGUAAAUAGAGAUUCGUGUCCCAGCUUCUUGAAUAUAAAUAUAUAGGAUAAAUUUGUGGUUGUUUUCUUCUUGAGACCCUGUCUGCCUCACUCUAUAUAGCUAAAUUUAUUUACUUAAUAAAUGAACCAGAUAACGUGCUACUUUUCUCUCAAAAAAAUUAAUUGUGAUUGUUUGGAAUAAGAACCGACUCAUUCGCAAACUUGGAACACACACAAAAAAAAAGUCAAAAAUUGCUUUAUGCUUCAAUCAACUAGGAUAAAUUAAACGUUUGGUCCUCAAACUAUAAGGUGUGUGACACUUUGGUGUUUAAACAUUAAUAUAUAAUAAUUUUUGGCUCAGACUUUCAGAAUUAUUAUAAUCAAGUCUUAUAAUCCAAUUUAGGGGACGAAUUAUUGAUGUAUAGCCAAUGUAAAAGUCAUGUAGUACAGUUUAAGAUGUCUCAUCAUUUUUAUAUAAACAAUACAUCAAUAUUUAGUCAACUAAAUUUGAUUUAUAAAAUUUGAUUACAAUAAUUCUAAAAAUUCAAAUCAAAAAUUAUUAUAUAUUAAAGUUUGAGGACUAGAAUGUCACCUGCCUCAUAAUUUGAGGACCAAAAGUGUAAUUUACUCCUCAAGUAACAAAUUCAUUCUUUGUUCAUCAUUUUUUUAAAAAAAAUUAAAGAUUACAAAAAAUAAUGAUGCUGAUAUUGUAUUAAAUUUGCAAUUAUUAUAAUAUAAACAAGGUGAUAAAUGGUUGAAAAUAAUUGAAAUUGGGCAUUUAAUAUUUAUUUUAUUCGGAGAAUAAAAACAAAGUUAGAAAAAGAUAUUUUUGUCCACUUUAAAAUGAAAAACCGCGUAACAAAUGGGUCCCACCAAGUUGGAUUGUCCGAUCCAACCAUUGAUAACGUGAACUCUACAUUUUCUUUUUUUUUAAAAAAAAAUUGAGAUUUUCUUAAUUACUAAUUAUUCUAGUUUUAUUUAAUAAUAAGUAAUUAAUUUUUUUUCCCGUAUUUAAAGAACUAAAAUUGUUCAGUUUAGACAAAAUUAGAAGUUUUGAAAUAACAAAUAUAAAAAAAUAAAUAAGUUUGGAGUAAAUUUUAGAAUGGCUUAUAGUCAAGGGUGUAACCGGUUCGGUGUGGUUCGGUUUAUCUUUAUUUUUUAAAUUGAACUAAAUUUUUCAGUUUGGUUAAAUAUCAAACCGAACCAAAUUGAUCUAGCUUCUGAACCGAACCAAAACCGCGAUUCGAGCUACUCAUUUGGUUUCGUUUGGUUCCAAUAUUUGGUUUCAUCUUAUACCUAGAAAAAAAAAAUUAUUUACAAGUUUUCCAUGCUAAAUGGAUUAAUUUACAAGCAUUUUGAAACAAAAAUAAAAUAAAGAUACAAAAAAUUAAAAAACACUCAUCUCAAAUUAUUAUUUAAUAUACACUAAUAUAUAUAUAUAUAUAUAUAGAGAGAGAGAGAGAGAGAGAGAGAGAGAGAGAGAGAGAGAGAGCUAGCCUACUAUACUAUCGGUAGCACGGAGUGCUCCGUGCUACCAAGUUGUUUUCGAUGAUGUGGCUUCCAAAUCGACGAUCGGCUCCGUUAGACUUGAUCUACACUAUUGAAAGUAUUUAGAAACUAAAUUUUAUAAUUUUUCGAUAUCAUUUACCUAUCAAAUAAGUAGUCUAAAAUUGAACGGCUGAAAAUAAAAAUCUCAUAAAAAAUGAUGAUAAAAGAUUUAAAUUCAAAAUCAGAUAUACUGAUCUUACUCUAAAUAGUGAAAAGAAUUUUCUAUAAAAUUUUCAUCGCAUUUGGAUUGUUUUACACCGUUAAACUCACAAACACACCACAUCGGCCAUUAAAAAUUAUUGAUUUUGAGCCCUUCGAUCACUAGGCAAAUGAUAUCGAAAAAUCACAAAAUUUAUUUCUAUGUACUUCAAAUAUCUAGAUCAACUUCUAACGGAGCUGAUCGUCGAUUCGAAAGUCCGAACACUGAAAACAAAGUGAACACAGAGGGAUCCGUGCUUCCAUAAGCAUACAGCGCUCUAUAAUUAAUAUAUAUAUAUAUAUAUAUGGCCAAUUUGCAUAAAAAUCUCAAUAAUUUUACGCUUUUUGCAAAAUGGCCACCUUUUUAGUUUUUACAGAUUCGCCGAAUUUUCAGAAGGAUGACACAAUUACCUCUGUCAAAAUGCAUAAAAAUAUAUGCUUUAAAUGCCUAGAAAAUACAUUGUUAAGUCACUAAGUAUAAAAACUCUUGAAAUGACAACUGACUAAGCCAUAAUUAUAUGUACCUUUUCGUGAAACAGCAAAACCUCAUUCAGACAAAAUAAAAAAAUAAAGAAUAAUUAAUAAGAUGAAAGAGUGCAACAUCUCUUAAAUAGCGCACAAACUCUCAAAUAGUGCAUAUCUGUAUAAGUAGUCAACAUAUGCAUUGUUAAUAUACAUUUUGCAUGAUUUUUACACUAAAUUACGCACAGUUUAGUAUAUUACGUGAAAAUAAUAUAUUACAACAUACUAUAAAAAUUAUACAAUAUAUGUACAAACGGUGCAUAUUUUACACUAUUUAUUCAUAUAUUUACACCAUUUGUGUAAAUAUUGCACGAUUUUGAAAGGAUGUUGCACCAUUUAGAUGUGUGUUGCACUCUUUCUUUUUGAAAAUUAAAUUUUAUUGCAUAUUAAAUAAAAUGUAAAACUUCUUGAAAAUGACAAAUGCUAAGCCAUAAUUACAUGCAUGUAUCUUUCUCGUGAAACGAGAAACCUCAUUCAAGAGAAAAUAAAAAAAAUAAAGAUUAAUUAAUAAGAUGAAAGAGUGCAAUAUCCUCUCAAAUAGUGCAACAAUCUCUUCAAAAUAGUGCAAUAUCUGUAUAAGUAGUGCAACAUAUGCAUUGUUAAUACACAUUUUGCAUGAUUUUUACACUAAAUUACGCACAGUUUAGUAUAUUACACGAAAAUAAUAUAAUAUAUUACAACAUACUAUAAAAAUUAUACAAUAUAUGUACAAACGGUGCAUAUUUUACACUAUUUAUUCAUAUAUUUACACCAUUUGUGUAAAUAUUGCACGAUUUUGAAAGGAUGUUGCACCAUUUAGAUGUGUGUUGCACUCUUUCUUUUUGAAAAUUAAAUUUUAUUGCAUAUUAAAUAAAAUGUAAAACUUCUUGAAAAUGACAAAUGCUAAGCCAUAAUUACAUGCAUGUAUCUUUCUCGUGAAACGAGAAACCUCAUUCAAGAGAAAAUAAAAAAAAUAAAGAUUAAUUAAUAAGAUGAAAGAGUGCAAUAUCCUCUCAAAUAGUGCAACAAUCUCUUCAAAAUAGUGCAAUAUCUGUAUAAGUAGUGCAACAUAUGCAUUGUUAAUACACAUUUUGCAUAAUUUUUACACUAAAUUACGCACAGUUUAGUAUAUUACACGAAAAUAAUAUAAUAUAUUACACGAAAAUAAUAUAAUAUAUUACAACAUACUAUAAAAAUUAUACAAUAUAUGUACAAAUUGUGCAUAUUUUACACUAUUUAUUCAUAUAUUUACACCAUUUGUGUAAAUGUUGCACUAUUAUAAGAGGAUGUUGCACCAUUUAGGUGUGUUGCACUCUUUCUUUUUGAAAAUGAAAUUUCAUUACAUAUUAAAUGAAGUGUAAAACUUCUUGAAAAUGACAACUGCUAAACCAUAAUUACAUGCAUGUACCUUUCUCGUGAAACGAGAAGACUCAUUCAAGAGAAAAUAAAAAGAAUAAAGAAUAAUUAAUAAGAUGAAAGAGUGCAACAUCCUCUCAGAUAGUGUAACAAGCUCUUCAAAAUAGUGCAAUAUCUGUAUAAGUAGUGCAACAUAUGAAUUGUUAAUACACAUUUUGUAUGAUUUUUACACUAAAUUAAUUACAUACAGUUUAUUAUAUUAUAUGUUGCAUAUUAUUUUCGCGUAAUAUAUUAAACUGUAUGUAAUUUAGUGUAAAAAUUAUGUAAAAUGUGUAUUAACAAUGCGUAUGUUGCACUACUUAUACAGAUAUUGCACUAUUUUGAAGAGCUUGUUGCACUAUUUUAGAGGAUGUUGCACUCUUUCAUCUUACUAAUUAUUCUUUAUUUUUUUAUUUUCUUUUGAAUGAGGUUUCUCGUUUCACGAGAAAGGUAUAUGUAAUUAUGGCUUAGCAGUUGUCAUUUUCAAGAAGUUUGACACUUUAUUUAAUAUGUAAUGAAAUUUAAUUUUCAAAAAGAAAGAGUGCAACACACAUCUAAAUGGUGCAACAUUCUCUUAUAAUAGUACAACAUUUACACAAAUGGUGAAAAUAUAUGUAUAAAUAGUGUAAAAUAUGUACCGUUUGUACAUAUAUUGUAUAAUUUUUAUAAUAUAUUGUAAUAUAUUAUAUUAUUUUCGCAUAAUAUACUAAACUGUACGUAACUUAGUGUAAAAAUCAUGCAAAAUGUGUAUUAACAAUGCAUAUGUUGCACUAAUUAUACAGAUAUUGCACUAUUUUGAAGAGAUUGUUGCACUAUUUGNUCUCUCAAAUAGUGCAACAAUCUCUUCAAAAUAGUGCAAUAUCUGUAUAAGUAGUGCAACAUAUGCAUUGAUAAUAAAUAUUUUGUAUGAUUUUUACACUAAAUUACGCACAGUUUAGUAUAUUAUACGAAAAUAAUAUAUUAUAUUACAACAUACUAUAAAAAUUAUACAAUAUAUGUACAAACGGUGCAUAUUUUAUACUAUUUGUGUAGAUAUUUAUACCAUUUGUGUAAAUAUUGCACUAUUAUGAGAGAAUGUUGCACCAUUUAGAUGUGUGUUGCACUCUUUCUUUUUGAAAAUUAAAUUUCAUUGAAUAUUAAAUAAAGUAUAAAACUUCUUGGAAAUAACAACUGCUAAGUCAUAAUUAUAUGUAUGUACCUUUCUUGUAAAACGAGAAACCUCAUUCAAGAGAAAAUAAAAAAUAUAAAGAAUAAUUAAUAAGAUGAAAGAGUGCAAUAUUCUCUCAAAUAGUGCAACAAUUUUUUCAAAAUGGUGCAAUAUCUGUAUAAGUAGUGCAACAUAUGUAUUGUUAAUAUAUAUUUUGCAUGAUUUUUUUUUUUUGAGAGAUAAGUAGCACGCUACCCGCUUCGUUUACUUCAUUUAGAAAUAAACUUAGCUGGAAAUGUGAAUCAACUAGGAUUCGAACUUAGGCCUCGGGUACCAACCAUCAAGCUCUUUGCCACUUGCUUUAGAAAUAAACUGUAUGGCUUAGCAGUUGUAUUUUUUUAGGCAUUUAAAGUAUAUAAUUUUUAUGAAUUUUGAAAGAGGGGUAGUUUGGUCAUCCUUCUGAAAAUUCGGCCCGAAUCUGCAAAAACUAAAAAGAUGGUCCACGUUUGCAUAAGCGCCAAAUUAGUGAAUUUUUUAUGCAAAUUGGCCUAUAUAUAUUUAUGUUUAACUAUCUGAGUUUUGGUUCGGUUCGAUUAAUUUAGAAGUGCAAACUAAAUCCAAACGGGAAAUCAAAAUUUCACAAAAAUCACAAUGGAACUGAAGCAAAAACCAAUUUAACUAAACUAAAUAAACUUAUUUGAUUUGGUUCGAUAUGGAUCCAAAUUGUGAAUGAACACCCUUAUUUAUAUUUAACAGUUAAUUUUAUGCAGGUUCCUGCAAAUAUAGUGAAUAACAAAUAUAUUUCUGUAAAUUUCAACUUUUAUAUUUUGUCCCUACAAAAAUUCUAAAAUAUUAAAUACUAAUCAGGAUUAAGUAUUUAACCUACGGUUAACUAUAUUUUUCUAACGGAUUCUAACGGCAGAAAUAUAUUUGAAAAUGUCAGGACUUUUGAAGGAAUAACAUAUGAAAGUUAAACUUUAUAAAAAUAUAUUUGUUAUAGUAAAUUAUAUUUAUAAGGACCUGUAUAAAAUUAACCCUAUAUUUAAUAGUGUUUCCAUACAUUUGAGAUUUUUUUUUUUUUUUUGGCGUGUAGUUAGUUAGAUUCCCCACAACCCAAGUUUUUGAAAAGUUUGAUUCCAGGUUCAAACCCCAACGGUCAAAAACUGACAAAAAAAAAAAAAAAAAAAGUGGAUUCACUUUUUUGCCCCUCAAUUAAUGGUUGGUUCUAGAAUUGUUUACGAAGUCAAUGUUUCUUAUUCUAAAAGCAAAUUCAAAAAGAAGGCCCCAAAAUCACAUACACCAUGCAUUGUUGUUGGAAAAUAUGUACAAGUUCCAACUUCCAGGCACGUAGUCAAAGGAAUGUGAAAAAGUCGCAACGUAGUUGCGUAUGUUUUCACGAAAUAAUAAUACAGGUGGGAAAAAAAUAUAAAAUUUAGGCCUAUACGACAACGAUCUUUAAAUUCUUUAAAAAACUUAAUUAUGUUAUGUAGAAAUUUAAAAGUUUAUCUAAAUUAGAUGCCUACCACAAAAUGAUAAGCCGAAUGAGAUCAAACCAGAUUAGAAAAACUUUGGGCCAUUCUUUAGAAUCUCGAUGAAUCCAAUCCCAUUGUGCAAGAAUUAUUAAAUUAAUAUAAAUUAAAGGGUUAAUUUUAUAUUGGUCUCUGCGAAUUACAAAUAUAUUCCUAUAAAGUUCAAAUUUCAUAUGUUGCUCUUGGAAAAAUCUUAAUAUUCUCAAAUAUGUUCAUGUCGUUAAAAUCUAUUAGAAAAUUUUAGUUAAUCAUAGGUUAAAUACUUAAUUCUUAUUAAUUUAUGAUAUAACUUGACAUUUUUGUCCCUCUUAUAUUAUACUGUUGUGGCUUUUGGAGGGACAUAUUUCAGAUGGCAAAUUGAUACUUCACUUAAAAUAUGAAUAGUUUUAUAACAGUAACAAACCCAAGGGAUAUAUUUGAAAAUACUAAACUUUUAUAGACACAAUAUAUAGAAGUCGAGCUUUAUAGGGAUAUAUUUACAAUUUACUAUAUUCUAGACUUAACAUGUUUAACUUUCUUAACCUCUUGGAUUUAGUCAUUAUCCAAAAUGUUAUAGCUGGAUUAAGAGAUCCAGUCCUAUUAUACUUUAUAUAUAUAUAUAUAUAUAUAUAUAUAUACUACUAUAUGAUACGAGAGAGAGAGAGAGCAGAGAAAGGAGUAUGUCUUGUGUGCUUAUUAGGAGGCACGGAGGGGGUCUUCCGUGGCUCCUAAGCCGUUUUAGAUGAUCGGGAAUCUUUGAUCGACGAUCGGACUCCGUUAGAACUCCGCUUGAUCUAGGUAUUUGAGCUAUCGAGGAAAUAUUUUUGCAGUUUUUGAUAUCAUUUGCCAGUAAUGUGAAAGAUUCAGAUAACAUUUUUUAAUGGUUGAUAUACCUGCCGUUUGCAGUUUAAAAGGUGUAGAGUAUUCCAAAUGAGAUGAAAAUUUUGGUAAAAAUUUUUAUACUUCUAUAACAAAUCCAUAUUACUGAUCGAAACUUUAGUGGCUACAUCAUAGCUUUUUUGUGAUUUUUUAUUUUCAACUGUUGAUGUUUGAGUUACUUUCGAUCACAAGGUGAAUGAAUAUUGGAAAACCGCAAAAAUUAUUUCUAUAUAUUUCAAAUAUUGUUAGUAAGUCUACGGAGCCGAUCAUCAUCUCGAAAAUCCAUCAUCAAAAAACGGCUUAGAAGCACGGAGGCCUCCGUGCUCCUAAAAUACAACAACAAUCCUACUAUAUACUAUAAUAUAUAUAUACUAUAACAUAUAUAUAUACUAUAGAUAUAUAUAUUAUACUAUAUAUCUAAUAUAUAUAAUCAUAUAUAGACGAGAGAGAGAGAGAGACGCAGAGAGAGAGAGUUGGACUGGGGUAGCUAUUGUAGCCAAUCUAUUGUGCUAACAGCUUUUUUUAGCUUUGGAUCAACUUUUUUCAUUAUUUCAACAUUGGAUUAAUACUAUCACCAUUGGGGACCCUCAACCUAGCGCGCGGGACCACUCAACUCUAACCGACUAAUUCAUUCUGACCUACACAUUUUCAUCAGGUUUUUAAAACUUGAAUGAAAAAGGAGCGUUUUACUAUUGAUUCAGCUAAUUCUAUAAUUAUCUUAAUAUAUAUAUAGAGAGAAGAAGAGAGAGAGAGAGAGCAGGAGGCUUACUAAUGCUCAUCGGAAGCACGGAGCUUCGUGCUUCAGCUCGUUUUUCGAUAAUUAGCGAUUCUCAAUGGUCGAUCGCUCCAGUUCCUUGAUUAGAGUUUACAGUACCUAGAAAAUAAAUUUUAAUGAUUUUACCGAUAUCAUUUGCUUAGUGAAGAAGGGCUCAAAUCAACGGCUUGAAAUAAAAAUCUACCAAUAUAAUAUACACUUAAAUUUUUAAAUCAAGAUAUUGCCUCGUUUUAUAUAGUAAAGAAUUUUCUAUCAAUUUCAUGUGAAUUUCGAUAUUUUCUACAACGUUAACUUGCAGAUGGUCACUAUGGCCAUGAAUUUGUUAAUUUUGAGCUCAUUCGAUUACUAGGCAAAUGAUAUCGAAAAAUAAAUAAAUUUUUCUCUUAGUCUCAANNNNNNNNNNNNNNNNNNNNNNNNNNNNNNNNNNNNNNNNNNNNNNNNNNNNNNNNNNNNNNNNNNNNNNNNNNNNNNNNNNNNNNNNAUAUAUAUGAUAUUAUUAAUAUAUACUAUAAUAUAGUAUAUAUAUAUAUAUAGUUGAGCUAGAAUACUAUCGAUAGCAAAUCGGCACUUUUGCCAUCCAUUUGUUUUCGAUGAUGGAGCCUCCAUAUUGAUGAUCGGUACCGUUGAACAUAAUCUAUACCAUUUGAAGUAUUUAGAAAUUAAAUUUCAUACAUUUUCGAUAUUGCUCUCUUAUCCAUCGAGUGGACACAAAAAUGAACGGCUGAAAAUGAAUAUUCUUAAAAAAAUGAUGAUAAGAGUCUUGUAAUCAAGGUCAAGAGUAUAGAUCUUGUUUUAAAUAGUUUAAAGAAAUUUCUAACAAAAAUUCAAUUGAUUUGGAUAUCUUUACGCCGUUAAACGAAAAAACGCCUCAUAUCGACCAUUGAAAUUACAAAAUUUGAAACCCUUUGAUCAUUAGGCAAAUAAUGUCGAAAAUAUUUGAAAUUUGAUUUCUAAAUACUUCAAGUAGUAUAGAUCAUGUUCAACGGUGUCGAUCGUCGAUUUGGAGGCUCCAUCAUCGAAAACAAAUGGGUGUCAAAAGUGCCGGUUUACUAUCGAUAGCAUUCUAGCUCAACACUCUCUCUCUCUCUCUCUCUAUAUAUAUAUAUAUAUAAUCUUGGAGGUGACUACCAAUGAAUAAAAGACUUUAAUAGCUAAAUCAAAAUUUCAAAUAUUUCUCCCAAAAAUGGAUCAUAGUUCAAAUUAAUUCCAUGCAUUUUCAUCAUUGAUAAAAUUGUAGUCCUCUAUAUAUUGUAUGCUAAAUAACUACCUGUAUGGUUUAUAUAAUAUAAUAAUAAUAGUUUUUAUAUACAAAAGGGCUGCUUAUGACAAUUUAGUGGGGAAUAUUUUAUACUUUGACCAAAUUGGAUAGCUUUACAUAUAAAACAAUAUAUAUUUUACAAAACUGUGACAAAAUUUGAAAUGCUUUUUUUUUUCACAUCAAAAUUAAUGAACUAUAUAUAUAUGUUGCUGUAAUUAAUUAUUUGAUUUUCUCAUGAUGUAGCUUUUUCUGUCUUAUUUAAAGGAUGUCAAAGUCUAUUUGGAUUUUUUUUCUUUUUUAAUGUUAAGGAUUAUUUAUGUGAAUUAGGAGAAGGGGAUAAUGAAUUUGAAUAUGUUUUCUUCUAAUGUAAUCACAAAAAAAGUGCACUAUAGCUAUUUUUUUUUCCUUUGUUUUAUUUUGGUCAGGUCAAGGAUCAUUACUUUAUGGGAAAACUUAAAAAACCCCCCUGGUUUCGCACUUUUUCAUUUUAGUACCAUAUAGUUUAAAGUGUAUCAAGUUUGUACCCUAUGGUUUCUCACUUUAUCACUUUAGUAUCCUGUGGUUUAAAGUGUAUCAAGUUAGUUCCCUGUGGUUUCUCACUUUAUCACUUUAAUACCCUGUGGUUUAAAGUGUAUCAAGUUAGCAUUCUGUGAUUUUAUUUUUGUAUCAAGUUAGUACCAUAUGGUUUUAUUUUUGUAUCAAGUUAGUACCCUGCGGUUUUUAAACCACGGGUACUAAAUAAUAAAGUGUGAAACCACAAGGUACUAAAGUGAUAAAGUGCGAAACCAUAUGGUACUAACUUGAUACAUUUUUAAACUACAUAGUACUAAGUGAUAAAGUGAGAAACCAUAGAUACUAACUUGAUACACUUUAAACCACAUGGUACUAAAGUGAAAAAAAAUAAAACCACAGUGCGGGUAUUUGAAGUUUUCCCUUACUUUAUUGUAUCUUUCCCUCGUUUUUAUUAGAAUUUUUUUUCCACCCACUUGUUGUGAGGAUUUAUAUUUCAAUAAUUUUUUAAACCUUAUAUUCAAUCUCUUUUUUAAUGAAUAUUGCACACAGAUUCUCUCGCCAAAUAAAAAAAAAUAAAAAAAAAAGCUAUCCAUCCUUAAUGGCAUACCAAAUAAUAAGAACUACAUUAAAAGGUCGUUUAAUCAGAUAUAAUUAUAAACACANCUUGUUGUGAGGAUUUAUUUUUUAAUGAAUAUUGCACACAGAUUCUCUCGCCAAAUAAAAAAAAAUAAAAAAAAAAGCUAUCCAUCCUUAAUGGCCAACCAAAUAAUAAGAACUACAUUAAAAGGUCGUUUAAUCAGAUAUAAUUAUAAACACAGUACAAUUAGAGAUGCAUAUAGUUGAAAAUAUAGCAGUUGUAAUUAUAUGCAUUCUGUUUAGUUAAAUGUAGUAGAAAGCGCUGCAACUAUAAAUAAUUUAUUUGGUUGUAUACCGUUGAGAAAUAAUUUUUAAAAGUUUAUUAUUUUAUAUAUAUGAUGAUGAAAUUACCUCCAAUAUAAAAGAAAAAAAUAAUUAAGGAGAUAAUCAUACCUUUUGUUUAAAAUUACUCUCUCCAACUGCUGCAAUUGGACCUCCUCUUGCAGUUUCUACUUCUACAGUUGAAGUUAAACACAACAAACUAAACACUAAAUUAGCAUUUGUAUGCAGUUACAACUGCAGUGCAGUUGUAAUUACAUGCAACCAAACGGCCCCCUAAAAGGGAUUUAGGGACUGUUUGGUUUCGUGUAAGUGGAGGGGUGAAACUUAAGUUCCACCACUUUCGGUGUUUAUUUUGUUGUAAGUUAAAAAAAUAAUACAACUUAGGUUAUGUUAGACCCCAAAUCCAUUUGCUCUUGACUUUCCCCUCUAGAAUACUGAACUCAAAUUCCACCGUACUCAACUUUCUCUAAAAAAAUUAUUAAAUGUUAAAAUCUAAACUCUAUUUCUUUUAGAAUAAGUUAAAAUUACUUUUUUUUAAAAAAGGAAUUAAGAUUACUUUCAAACAAUAAUGAGAGAUUUAAUUAUUUAAUAGGUUGGAUUUUAUAGGAGCAACUUUACCACUAUAUUUAGGAGUUAACAUGAUCCAUUUAUUUACAUCAAAACAAACAAACAAACGAAACAAAAAAAUUUAAUUUCGUUGUAUCAAGUUACACCAAAAUAAACAUAAAAAUAAUUGAAUUCAACUUUCAGACUGUAUGAAUAGCAUCAAAAGAAACAAUAAAAAUAUAACCACACUUCAGGAAAACUCAAACAAUACUGCACUUCAGUUAUGUUGUAUCUAAAGAUUCAUCAAUCCAAACACGCCCUAAGCAGAUGUUAAAAGAUAAUUCCACUAGCUAGAUAUGGAUAGAAACGAGAACUCCGAAUAUAUAUGGAUAAAACUUUAGUAGGAAAGCGGGAUUCACUAUCACGUGUUAGUUUUGCUUCCAUCCAUUCAUUAGUUGGGCAAUUUUUUAAUAGUAAAUUAAAAAAGAUUAAAACUCUAGAUAGAAAGAUUAUAAUCUUUGUAUAAAGAUAAAAAUGACACGUGGCGAUAGAUUAGAUCUUCUUAAUGAUUAGACCUUCUUAGCAAUACUUCAUUGGUGAGCUUCCCACUAAAAUUCGUCAAAUAUUUUUUUAAUAUUAUAUCCAAAAAAUAUUAAAAUUCUAGAGUGAAAGAUUAUAACCUUUGGAUAGAGAUAAAAACGACACACGGUGAUCGAUUAGGUCUUCUUAACACAACUUCGUUGGAGAGAUCCCCAUUAAAGAUUUUGUUCUGAAAAUAUAAGUCCAAACUAAUUCAAAUAAAGUAAAGAUGUGUUCUUUUUCGAAAAGUCUAAAAUUAUUGUUCUCAAGAGCUCUUUGGUUUCUAGGAAAAAAAAUAUUACAAUUAAAUUUCAAAGCUAAUUUAUGACUAAAUAUUGACAUAUUGCUGAAAUAAAAAUAAUAUAAUAUUUUAAUUAUUGGCGCACCACCAAUCACAAUACUGCUACAUCAUUUCUACCUUAACGAUAUAUCAAUAUUUGAAUAAUUAAAUUUAGUUACAGGGUUUAAUUGCAAUAAUUUUAAAAGUUCGAGUCAAAAUUUAUAAUAAUGUAAAGUUUGAGGGCGAAAAUGUGAUGACUCUCAUAGUUUGAGGGGCAAACAUGCAAUUUACCCCCUUUUUUUUCCCUCCUCUCUUAAAUUUCUCUUUUUAUAUAUCAUUUAUAUAAUAAUGUAAAGAGAAGCAUAAUUAAUAUUGUUCACUAAUUAAAAAAAAAGGUUUUUGUCUCCUUAUCAAUAUAAAAUAUACUUAUUUUAAAUAAUCAUUUAAUAUUCUUUUUACAAUCACAAACACAAUUAUUGCAUGAAUGUGGUCCACCAUGUCAAUUAAUGAGUGCUUAUUUGUUCGCUUAUGUGGAUUUAUUGAGUUUUUUUUAUUGUACUUUCAGUUAUUAUUACAUAUAUAUAAUUUAUUUUUUUUAGCACUGUUAAUUCACUGAAAAUUUUUGCAAUUUUUUCUUCCUUAUUAAUGAUUUAUCAAUUAUAUCUUAAAAUUAUUUGACUUAUUUAUUCAUAUGUCGGUUGAUAUAACAAAUAAGUACUGUCAGUAAAAUCGUUGAAUAAGGUAGUGCUCUUUUCGAUGGAUGUUCAAUAAAUUAUAAUAUUUUUAGAUUAAAAGUUGUUUAUAAUACGUAGCAAAUUAUUAUUAAAAUGAAACCCAAAAUGAGAAAAAUGAGAUGGUUCAUAGAUGACGUGGUGGACCAGGUUCACGUAGCAGCCCUUUUUCUCACGCAAGCCACCAAAUAAAUAAAUAAAUAAAUAAAUAAUAAAUUACCUAAUUCCCGUUUCCCGUUUCCAGUAUCCCGUAUAUUAUUAUUAUACAAAGAAACAAACGAAUACGGCUACGAGGCCGCAUUUUUGGCCUCUGUAAUCAUCCUAUCUUACAGUGCAAGUUAUUGUCGUUAUUAAACCUCUCACUAAUUAAUUAAUUAAUUUAAUUAAGUAAUUAAUUAUACUUAAAAUAAUGUUAAAAAAAUAACUAAUUAUUUAUUACAUAGUGUCCGUGUGGGCCCCACUCUCGACGAACCUUUCCUUCUCUUCUCCGUCCCCCCUCUUCUUCCUCCUCUCUCUCUCUCUCUCUCUCUCUCUCUCUCUCUCUCUCGUCUUCGUUCCCAUUUAAACCCCCCGUUCUCGUCUCUCUCAUCUUCUCCUCGCCGAAUCGAGAGCUCUGAAUCGAAUCCUCUUCGAUCGCUUCCGUGUUCGCAUCGGUCGCGUAGAUCUCUUGGAGUCGCGGGGGAGUGCGGAUCGAGAACGGCGCGCGCUCGGCGCGGGAAUCGGUGGUGGUUGGUCUCCGUCUCCUCGCGGAAUCGGGCUCCGAAUCUUCUUGGAUUCGUUAGGUGUUCGAGUCGAUCGUGUGGAUCUCGUGGAGGAGGCGAAGGGUGUGGAUUGUUGUUUGGGUUUUGCCGAUUCGGUAAGCGAUCGAGCUUCGGGUUCUCCUUCAAUUUGUUAAUUACUCGAAUCGGUCGUGUGUAGAGGGUCGAGAAGAGUGUAGUUGGAGAAGGACGGUUUUGACGCGGGAAUUGGUAGUUGUUGUUUGGAUUUUGCCGAUUAGGUGAGUGGCGGGGCUCUAGAUCCUCUUCGAUUCGUUGAUUGCUCGAAAUCGAUCGCGUAGUUUAGGAGAAGGAGAGUGUCGUAGGAGAAAGGCGUUUUCAACGCGGGAAUUGGUGGUUUUUGUUUGAAUUCUGCCGGUUAAUUAAGCGAUCGAGCUUCAACUCCUUUUCAAUUUGUUACUUGUUCGAAUCGAUGGCGUAGAUGAGGAGGAGGAGAGCAUAGUAGGACAAAAAGCGUUUUUGAUCCGCGAAUCGAUCGUAGUUCUUAGGAUCUUAGCGAUUGGGAAAAUGAUCGAGCUCCAAAUCGUCUUCAUUUUUUGUUCUUCAUUUUUUGUUUCUUUGGAUCUUACCAAGUUGGUAAACGAUUUUGGUUUGGGGAUCUGAGUAUACUUAAAGGAUGUAGAUCGAUGCAUUGAAAGGGAGAAGAGGAGGUUGAGUUUUGCGGUGUUAUUUAGCUGGAUUAGUAUUUUCUUUGUCUUUUUUUUUUUCUUGUAAUUUCUUGGGUAUUUGAGGGUUUUGUCUAAGAUUCGGGAUGUAUGGUCCUUGAAUUCGAUGCAAUUAUUGACAGAUUUGGUGUCGUUCAAUUGUGGAUCUGAUUAUUGUUUGUUAGAUUACUCGCUUGUGUCUUCUUCCAUUUACUUAUUUAUUUAUUUUUUGUCUCUGUCCUCAUAGGUUGCUGUCCUCGUCGGGGAAUGCUUUUUGAGGGGUGCGUAAUCUUUUCCCCCUUUUUUUGAGUUUCUUUUCUUGUUUUUUUCAUAUAUAUUGCAACUGAAUUUUUUAGGAGAACUAAGUCUCGUUCUCUCGUCUACCUAAAUUAAUUGGAACAUAUCUAUGUAGGUUUAUAUUCCCAUGCAUUAGUAGAUUUAUAAGGUUCUAUAUUUUUUUUGUUUUUCUGAUAAAAAAAAAUCUCCUGGCUCAGAAGACGAAUUUUUACCCUCUGUUAAUGCCAAGUAGCUCAUAUUCUAUCCACCGCUAGUGAUUGAUCGUAGUAAAUUUCACGAAAUUUUUGGUAGGGCCUUAAUAAAAUUGAUUUCUGAUCUCUUUAAAAUGUUCAUUUUAUUUUGGCUGUUCAGGCCAUCGUAAAAAAUGGUUAUAAUCUGGAACUUGAUUGAUGAGAUUAUUGGCUUUUUUUUUUUUUUUUGUGGUUCGAAUCACAUUUACCAAAGGAAUUUGUGCAUGCUGCUUUCACCAAGUGCCUAUUUGGCCUAAUGUUUGGAACAGCUUUUUUUUUUUUUUCCAGAUUAAGAACUAGUAACUGGAUAUUUCAGCCGGUUGAAAAUAUGAAGCUUUUGCUUGAUAUGAAGGCAAAAUGAAAUUCUUACUCCAGAAACAGAUGCUCCAUUAGAAGCUUUCACUAACAUAAAGUCGUUGGGGGUAUUUUAUUGGAAAAGCUGGUAGUUCUCCAAAUAGCUCUACUUCAAAAGCAUUUCUAUAGAAGCUCCACUUGGGCCAACUAGGACCUAAAGUAUGUAGUAUUAUACGAUACCAUAGUGUCAUAUUUUUUGUUCGGACUUCGGACUUUGGAAGAGGAAACACUGGACCAAUUAUCUAUUUGUAAUAGUCGCAAUAAUUAGUUUAUUUUUAGUGCGAGAAUUGAGAAAUGGGAUGCACAUGACACAAACAUUGAAGCUGCUUAUUAAGUCUUUUUAACGAGUUCCUUUUUCAAACAUGCGCUGUCUUGUGUUAUUUAUUGAUGCAAUGAUGUAUGCUAUUUAUAAUUUUCUUUAUUAUAAAAGUGAAUAAACACUUACUUUUUUUAUUUCUUUUACAGGAUUCCCUUGUUGAAAUGAGUACACUGAGCAGGUAGAUAUUGUUUCCCUAAUGCUCCAUGUUCAAAUAUUGGAGGAGUCUCAUUCUCAGCUCUUUGUCUAGAUUUGUCUUGUAAUAACAUGAGAUUUUCUUUUAUUUUACUUUCAUCUUCAUAGCAAUUCUUAUUUGGUCUUUAGCCGCUACAUGGGAUAUAGAUAUAGAAUGCUUUAAAAAUGGAAUCAUUAGGACAAUGCGAUGAUUUAGUUGUUUCAAUUUCACUGUAGGAAAUCGUGUAUUCAUUGCAUCCAAAUAUAAGUUUAGAACUCAAGUAGAUGGAGGAGAAAUACAUGAGAAGCACUUCACCCUAGGAAUCUAUUGUUUUAUCAGCAAGGUACAUAUACUAAUUCAUAAAACACACCGUGUCGAAUGUUUCAGACCAUACAGUGUAGUGCAUAUUUUCACGUUAGGCUCUCAAAGAGUGUACUUGGAAUGCAUACUCCCAACAUCACCCAGAAUCCCCUUAACGUUCUGAAUACUAUGUUCUUGCUGGUUUUCAUUCUAAUUGCUAAGUUCAUCAUUUGGCUAUGUAUUGGUAAGUUGAUGUUCACAUUUAGAUGGUUACUUAGUCUUGUAUGAAGACUUUCUACUCUGUUAGGGCUAUUGAUUUUCUUUUUAAGUGAUUUUAUGUUAUCAUGAAGACUAUAAUUCUGUGUCAAAUUUAGUUGGCAAGUGAAGCGAUUAUUGACAAAACGUUACUGAAAAAUCAUGAAAAAAUUGUGAAACCUGCAGGGAGGAGGAAGUUGAGGUUCUAGACACUGGUCAGAGUCAACUAAACUUACAAAAUGUCGAUCACCUUAAAGAGAAUGGAAUUGGAGGUUCAGUUAAUGAAGUUGAAGUUCACUCUUCCCACACUAUGGCCCCUAUAAAUAGCAGAAUACUUCCCGCAUCAGCAGAAGAAAAGUCAAAUCCACUACUACUGGAAAAUCAUCUAGAUGGUGAUUAUGGGGAAGUCGGACACACUAAUAAUUUAUCUAGUGACGGUCACUCCCCAAGUGCUGGUGAUGAUUCAGAUGGAACAGAUAAUGAUACCGACAGCAUUAGUCCGCCAAUCUCAUCUGUUUUUUAUGCUGAUCCAGACAUCUGGAUGCCGCCUCAACCAGAUGAUGCGGAAAAUGAUGCGGAAAGUGUUGCAAACAACGAUGAUGAUGACUACCAAAGUGAUGGUACAAAGUGGGUACAAUCAAGUUUCCCAAGUAUUGUCGAUGAAGAACAACAAAGAAACCACAACCAUAAAGAGGAAAGGAAAAGAGCAAUGUUGGAAGCUAUGAAUGGGCAAUUCAGGAUGCUUGUAGGCCGAUUUCUAGCAUCUGAGGGUAUUGGGUUUCCUGAAAGCGAGAGGAGUGAGAGUUGGCUUGACAUUGUGACUUCUUUAUCUUGGGAAGCUGCUUUUUUUGUCAGGCCUGAUGCCAGCGAGGGGAAGGAAAUGGAUCCGUGUUCGUACGUGAAGGUGAAAUGCAUUGCAUCUGGUACUCGCCAGCAAAGGUACAGUUUAUUUUUGUGGUUUUAUUAUAUCUCAUUGAUCGAAAAGCCUUACCUUAAUUUGUGAUAUAAUAUUUGAUUACAGUGAAGUGAUCAAGGGUUUAGUUUUCAAGAAGAAUGCUGCUCAUAAGCACAUGCCCACCAAAUUCAAUAACCCUAGACUGCUACUUCUUCGGGGAGUCCUUGGGCACUCUGAUGUUGGCUUGUCAUCAUUCAAUUCCAUGGAACAGGUAAGCUAGGGCCUAGGAUAAUUCUUUUUAUUCAAUAGUCAAAGUUACAUGACUGGGAAAAAAGGGAAAAUAUGUCAAACAUCCCUGAACUUUAGCAUGGUUUCCCUGAACUUUAGCAUGGUUACAGAUCGUUAUGCAAACUUGGAAAAGUUAAAAGGAGAACUACAUGAACAAUCUGCCUAUUUCAAUCACUAUCCACAGCUGGUUCCCAUCAGUUUUAAAAAACGGUCAGUCACAUGAAAGCCGAAUGACUCAAUGCCCUAAAUUAAAGGCCUAAGUUUCUCAGGGUCACUUCACACUUGAAGAUCAUGUGCUAACACCAAUUCCAAAAAUAGUGAGAAAUUGGGGUUUGAAAAUGGCAGAUUGUUAUGUAUUUCUUAACUUUCGAAAAGUUCGGCCGGUGAACUGCAAUGGGCUUUAAAGUUCAUUGGGAAUCUGGAUAUUAUUCCAAAACAGUAAUAAUACUUAAAACACUGUUCUGAUGAUUUAUUUCUUCUUUUUUAACCAGGAGAAAGACCAUUUAGAGAAGUCCAUUGGUAAAAUGCUGGAAACAUGCCAUCCCGAAGUCAUUCUGGUAGAGAAAACUGUUUCACGUAAUAUACAAGAACUUCUUCUAAAAGGAGGGGUAACACUGGUUCUUGAUAUGAAGCUCCAUCGUUUGGAAAGAAUUGCUCGGUGUCUUGGUUCUCCCAUAAUUUCCUUUGCUGAUGUUCUGAUGAAACCAAAGCUGAAUAAAUGUGACUUCUUCCAUAUUGAAAAAUUUGUGGAGGAUCAUGAUAGUAGUGAAGUUGGAAAGAGGCCUUCCAAAACUUUGAUGUUCUUUGAGGGCUUUCCGAAACCUUUGGGAUGCACGGUUGGUUCAAUCUUCUUAUGUUGCCUUACAGCUGCAUAUUAGUGAAGAUAUUUUAAAGAAAAUGAAAACCUGCAUCUAACCCCUCCAAUAGUUCAAUGUUUAGACUUUGCUCUUACUCCCUUUUGCACCACAUUUUCUCUUUGGUAUUGUCAGGUAGUCUUAAAACAUGAUCUUAAUCUUUUUAUGGGAAAGAUCAUUUUUAACCGAAUAUGUGAUGGGAAGGGGGUUAAUUGCUAAUUGUCUAAAGUAUAUCUCAGGGAAGCAAAGUGUAAAUGGUGUCAUUUUAGUAGGUUCUCCCAUUUUAGCCAUUUUUCUCUAUUCUCUCUGAGACAUUUUAUUAUCUGAUUGCUUGUUUCUUGUUGCAGAUAUUGCUGAGAGGAGAAAAUAGUGAAGAACUAAAAAAGAUUAAGCGAGUCAUGCAUUACACAGUCUUUGCGGCAUACCAUUUGAUCCUUGAAACUUCAUUUUUUGCUGAUCAAAGGGUGUUUUUAACUGAUAAGAACGCGAACAAAGAGGAAAAUUCUGUUAGAUCUAAAACGAAGCCAUUUGUGGCUUCUGAUGUUGCUCCUAUUCCAGAUGUUUCAGGGCCAGAAGGUUCCACUGGUAUAGAUGCUUCAGUACAUGGAUUAGAUAUUCCGAUCUCUAAUGGCACAUUAACAAAAUAUACCAAUGGGGAAACACUGUUAAAUUCUUAUUCACAUCUGGAAGUAUCUGCAGUUAAUUCUGAUAAUUGUUUGGCUGGAAAGAGUGUUGGUCAUGGUGAUGUUGUUGAUUCGUCGCUACCACUUAAAUGUGAGCCAUUACCAUCUUCUGUCUCAGAAACUUUAAAGAGCUUUUAUGGAGGUCACUUCUGCUUUGAUGUGCUUGGUGCAAAGACUGUCGAUAUACCUGUUCCUUCAUCUCCAAAAACAAGUGUUCAUCCAGAAGGAACCUGUAAAACUAGUCAAGAAAAGCUGGAUGAUGAAUCCUGCAUCAUCAACAAGGAUGAAUCCAUUAUUAGCAAAAAGGAGGGGCAACAAUCAGAUGUCAUUAGAUAUUCUGAGAAUCAAAGUGCUGACUGCUCUGUAAAAGUGAGAAGCAAUGAUGAAAUUGUGAAUAUAUUAGAUCCUAAAAGCAUAGUGCUUUUGACGUCUAGUCAGUCUAUCAAAAAGGAGGCUGUUUGUGAGCAGGGCCAGUUUUCCCGCAUAAAUUACUAUGGUUUUUUUGAUAUGUCUCUAGGCCGAUAUUUUCGAGAUAUCUUACUUAAUCAGGUUUGUUGUUUUAUCUCAUUGAUUAUUCUAAUGAUAUGAUAUGCAUCAUCAUCCAUCUAAGCAAAAGCUUCAUAAAUCCCUUUUGCAACAGGGAUUUAAGUGCUCAUCGGCAUAAGCUGUAUCUACCGUGCCAUAUCGUGCUAACAAGAUAUCGGUACAAUACAGCCUCCAUGCCGAUGACACAGCUUAAAACUCUCUGUUCUUUAAAUUAGUAAAUAAUUUUCUCAAUAAAGUUCAAAAGACUUGAUAAAGAUAUAUAAUUAGCAAUUAGAAUAUUUUGUUGCUAAAGAAAAAAAUAUUUCAUGCAAUUAUGUGUUGGCACACUUUUUUUUGUGACCGGCAAACAUCUGUACGGUCCGUCAUGCACCAUGCUGUACUGUGCUGGUAAGUUUUCGGCACAACCUCAUUCCACGACACUUAAAUUCUUGCUUUGCAAUAUACUAUAUGUUGAGGGGUGAAUCUUGAAAGUGUACUGCUUUGCAUCAACAGUAGUUAUCAAUGAAAAUGCUCUUGAAAGCAUUCUUAUUGACUUGCCUAAUUAUAGUAGUUUAAUGUCAUGUGAUUGUCACAUGGCAUCUUAACGGUGCUUAACAGAAAAUCACAUGGCAUCUUAACAGUGCUUAACAGAAAAAUGGCAUUUUAACGGCAGUUUACAUUUUGAACCUUGGAUUGGCAAGGCAAAAUCGAUCUAUGCCUUGGGGUGUUUCUGAAGUUUUUUCCUACUUUUAUUAGUGUAUUUUCAAUAAUGAAUGCUUGUUAUUGUUGUAGAAACACAUUUGCUCCUCAUGUGGUGACCCUCCGGAGGCUCAUGUGUACUCCUACACCCACCGCAAUGGCAAUAUCACUGUUCUUGUCAACCAGCUUCCUCCAGAGAAGUGUUUGUCCGGUGAAAGAGAUGGAAAAAUUUGGAUGUGGACCCGAUGUUUAAGAUGUGAACCUCAAAGUAUGAUGAAAACCAGCCCGAGGGUUUCAUUUUCUACUGAAUCACUAAGUCUUUCCUUUGGGAAGUUCUUGGAACUCGGGUUCUCAAGCCACUUUGCUGCUAUAAAGCUUAAAUGUGGGCAUUCAUUGCACAGGGACUGCCUAAGAUUUUUUGGGUAUGUGCAUCAUAAUUAGAUAUUUCCUAAAAAAUUCUUGAAAUUUAGCUCGUAAGAUUUGAUGCGGGUUUCAAUUUCUUCUUGCGAAUUCCAGUUAUAAAGAUUUAUUCCCUGAAGAUUAAUCCUUCUUGGUGUUUCAUUAUUAGAAUUUCAAUUUUAACGCUGAAGUUUGACCUCAAUUUCAAUUUCUUUCCUAAAGUUGUCUUGGUUCUAGUUUCAUCCUCAGUUUCAAUUAUAAAAAAAAAAGAAUCUAAUAAUGGUGCUCAUGCAUUUUUUUUUUUUUCAAGCAGUAGACGUAAGGAAGGACUCAUUCGUUACGCAUAACAAACUCCAGGGGCUAAAUUGUUAUAGUUAAAACUACAAUGAUGAGAUCAAAAUCUGGGCCAAAUUUUCAAGAACCAAGCUUGUCAUUAAAGUAUUUGUUACGGGUUGUAGACCUUCUUUAAAGUGGUCAUUAAUUUUUCGUUUCCCCAUCACUUCAGGUUGGGGUCCAAAGUUGCAAUGUUCAGGUAUUCAUCAGUUGAAAUAUAUGCAGCAUGUAAGCCACCGGCAACACUUGAGUUCCAUAACCCUAACAGACAAGAGUGGCUUAUUGAAGAAGCAAGAUAUGUAUGUUUUGCCAAAUUAUAGUUUGCUUGAUGCCUCAUACAUGAAUUUUUUUUUUUUCUGUUUUACUUGUAUUUCAUAAUAACCUUAUAAUAUUACUCUUGAAGGUUCGCGACAGAGGAAACCUGCUCUUCAUGAAGGUUGCAGAGAAGUUGGAGGAGUUUAAUAGCCUGCUCUCAACGGAAUCAACUUUUUCGGCCCAUGCUGAAGAUUUUUCUGAAGUCACUGAGUUGUUGAUGAAAGAAAAAACUGAAUUUGAGGUUAUUAUUCUUAUAUAUAUGUUUACUUUUUAUAUGUGCUAGGCUGCAUGACUUUUUUCAUGACGAUAUCUUUAUCUAGAUGCAUAGUAUAUUUUUUUUACUGGUUUCGUCUCUUCUGCUGUUACCAAACAGGCUUCCGUAUUGAAGGUGGUCGAUUAUAGUGGGAAAUCAGGCACAACUGUUGAUGAGCUUCUUGAUCUGAAUUUGCUCUACCAGGAUCUCCUUCUCGAGCAUUAUGUUUGGGACCGUCGUUUGAAUCAGCUUCUGCUGUGUAAACAAGUCAAACAAGGAGAUGCUGCUUUAACAAGCAAAAGCUCUAUAGAUAAUAAAAUAUCCGAAGAUAUCCCUCAAGUUCCAGAAGAUUCUAAUCAUGCCAGUGUGGAUGUUGAUGAGCCUUCUUAUAGUGGAAUCAAUUAUGUUCAAGAUAAACAAGACAAGCUUGGGAUGGCAUUGCCCGAAGUUAUUGAAGAUAUGAGCAGCAAGAUUUUUCCAGCUAAUGGUAUUUCACAUUCUAGUGAUGGAUCAAUAAGUGAGGAGAAUGUAGCUACAGGAAGUGACAAAGAUGAUCAAGAAGUAUGCAUGCCCGUUAUAGAUAGAAAUAUGCAGGUGGGCAAUUCAAUACAAGUUAUUGGGGAAUCUUUUCUUGGAAAUUCAACUGGUUUAGAAGUAAAGACCAAUGAUUCAUUUAAUGACGGUGGAACAAAUUCCUUAGAAUUGAAGAAGGAACAUGGAUUUCUUCAUGACUUGAAAUGCAGGUGUGAAGAUACAGAUAGAUGGAUUUGGGCUCCAUUUUCUGAAUCACGACUGGUGUACCGAAAGGAGCUUCAAUUUGGUUCUUUGUAUAAGUUUAAUCUUAUCAAUUCCUAUUGUCCAUCCCAUCUACCUCCAGUGUGGCAAAAUUCUCCAGAGGAAACGAAUUUGAUGCAAUUUACAAUUGGCCCUGGUGGUAAUGUUUUAUCUAUAUCUGAAGAUGAGGUAUCAAGUAUAAUUGCUCAUGCCCUAGUAAUAUCUGAGGACCGCCGCCAUUUUUUGGAUGCAGUGGUGGAUAAGGAAGCAGGGGAAGGCAAAGAAGAAUUCAUGUCAGCACUAGAGAAAUCGCGUAGCUUCAGCUCCGAGAGUUCUGGGAAUUCAUCUUAUUGGUCAUCCACAGGAUCUUUCGAUUUUGAAGGGAACCAAUUGUUUAGUAGUUUCUCUUCAGGUUCAUAUAGUUUCUCAUCAUCGUCAUCUGAUGAGUUGAAUUCUGGUUCUGACAGCUCAUCUUUAUUGGUUUCGAAUGAACUACAUCCCGAAAUUCGUAUCAAUGGGAAAGUUGUCCUAAAGAGUAAAUAUACAGUUACUUGUAUUUGCGCCAAGGAAUUUUAUAAUCUCCGAAAGAAGUGUUGCCCAUCAGAACUUGCCUACAUAUCUUCCCUGAGCCGUUGCAAGAAGUGGGACGCACAAGGUGGAAAGAGCAAGGCUUUCUUUGCAAAGACGAUGGAUGAUAGGUUCAUCAUUAAGCAAAUCAAGAAGACAGAAUUUGAGUCCUUUUUGAAGUUUGCCCCUGAUUACUUCAAGCAUGUUUCUCAUACGUUGGACACCAGAAGCCAAACAUGCCUUGCUAAAAUACUUGGAAUAUAUCAGGUUGCUUUGCUACGAUGUUUAAAGGGUUCUACUUUUUAUUUGGGGAAAGCUUGAAAAGAAAAGAAAAACAUACCAUGAUUUUUCAAAUGUAACACUGUGUGGUAGCCGUAACAAGAUAUUAAUCUAGGCAUAUGACAGUCAUAUGAUUCAUUAGAAGCUACUCUUUAAUAAGGAUUAGUUCUUUAAUCAGACAUGUUCUUUAUAAUGUUUCAAUUAGUCUGGUGAUUGUCAUUGAUUAGUUUUAAAGAUAUUCCUUAUGAUACAUGGACAACAACCAUAGGCUAGUGUGGUGUUACACUUUGAAUAACCGGGUAGCGAACUGACAUCAGACUAUAUUGUAGUGCUUUUCUUUUGUUUUUUUGUUUUUCGUGGCUUGUAGAUUUUUUUUUUCCUUAAUUUCUCUGACCUCUUCCUAAUUUAAUGUUACUUUUGCUGCAGGUCAGGCAAAUCAAAAACGGCAAAGAAAUAAGGAUUGAUCUUAUGGUGAUGGAAAACCUUCUCUUUGGCCGUAAUGUCUCACGCACCUACGAUCUCAAAGGCGCUGUUUUCUCCCGACAUGUUUCUGAUUCAAAAGGCACCGGGAAAGUUUUAUUGGAUCAAAAUUUCGUUGAGGACAUGCGUCUUUCUCCCAUAUAUGUUGGCGGAAAAAACAAGCAUCUUUUACAACGGGCCAUCUGGAAUGAUACAGCUUUUCUUACCGUACGUAUUCAGCCAAUUUUUUUUACAUGGCAACCCACUCUGAAACUAGUGCCAUUUGCAGUCUCCCCACUGAAAGUUAAAAGCCCAUAUUUAACCCUCUCAAUGCUUAGACCGUUAAGUAUGUCAUUCAUGUUGCAUUUUUCAGUUCAAGGAUUGUUAGGUAGUCUUAAAAUAUGAUCUGAAACGCAUUACUCUCCUUUUAUGGUGGAAAAGAUCAUAUUUUAGGACUUUCUAAAAUUUUCUGAAUGAAAAAUGUGUUGGGAAGGGACUUGAGUGCUACUAGGCUAGAUACUAUGAGGUUUAAGUUUUGGCUUUUAUAUCUCAGAAUAGCAAAGUGCUAAUGGCAUUAUUUUCAGGGGGGGGUUCUGCAUUUUAGAUGUUAUGCAUAGCCUAGAUAUGAUUGUAUUUUGGAAUUGGAAAUUUAUAGAAUUUCACCCUUGCAGUCAAUUAAUGUUAUGGACUACUCUUUACUUGUGGGAGUGGACAAGCAACGGCAUGAGCUUGUAUUUGGCAUCAUAGAUUACUUGAGGCAGUAUACAUGGGACAAACAACUCGAGACUUGGGUGAAAGCUUCGCUCGUCGUUCCUAAGAAUGUCUCGCCAACUGUGAUUACCCCAAAGGAGUACAGGAUAAGAUUUAGGAAAUUUGUUACCAAAUAUUUCCUUAUUGUUCCGGAUGCUCUGAGUUCUGAGCCAUGCGUUGUACCUUGUAAAUUCUGUACUCAUGGCAAUUCAAAGUUGCCAAGGGAACUCGACAACAAGCAGAUGGAGCAGCCAAUUGAAGCUUGCGCGUGAAUAAUUUUGUACACGAUUUCCACUAUCACUUGUUAUUUUAAAACAAGACACUAUGAAGAAUCUGUAUCUUUAUUUUUUUUUUUUUCUUGUUGUUGCCUUAUAAAGAUUGUAUAUAGGGAGUUCCUCGCUUACUAGUCCUAAAAAAUUUGCAGUUUUUUAGCAAAUUAGCGGUCGCAAGUGGGGUCUCCAAUAUGUGUGUAUUAUAAGUAUUCUUUGUUCAUUCAUAGUAACCGUAGAGAAAAAAGCAAGUUUAUCAUAUAUCGUCCUCUGGGAACAAAUAUCUUUGAUAUAGCAUGUGAUUUAUGUCCUGAAAGCUUUUUUAACUUGCUUUCACUGUAUUCUCUUUUGACAUGGACAUUUAUAUAGUUAUGCUGGGGCCUUAUUCAGCUUAUUCUGAGAUCCUUUAAUGACUGCCACUUUGGAAAUGUGGGAUCUUUGUUCAUUUCCUUGCUGGGUAUCAGUAUAAUUAAACUUCAUUAUUUCUCUUUCCUUUUCAGCUAUAAAUAUUUCAUACUGCCAUUUGAGGUAAUUACUAUUAAUAACUGUUGUUGUCUUUUCUUUUAAGCACAUUCAAGGAAGCAAUUGAGAAGCUACUGUGCUUGGGAGAUCUGUCCUCUGUUCCCGUACUACCAACCGCUCGUAUGAUUCAUAACGCUGUUAAGGUGAAUCUAAUUUAAAAUUUGCAUGCAACUAAGUAUUACUAUUAUUUAUAUACAUUAAGGCCCUUCAUAUAAUAUCUACUUAGUUUGUUAGGCAUUUUUCUGCUGGUGAGUCGAUUAUACAUUGAUUAAGUAGAGCUUAUGCAUGGUUAUUAAAUUGUUCUCGUUACUGGUUCUGAACUUGUGCAUGAAGUAGGAUAGAGUGGAGAAUUUAAAAUAUUUUGAUUCUUGAACUUCUGUUUUUUUUUUUUUUUUUUUUUUUUUUUCAUUUAUCACUUCAUAUAUUGUUUGGUCAUUUGAAUAUAUACCCCUUAAAGUUCACGUAUUUGUAUGUAUAAUCAUCACUAGGACCCGACCUUUAUUAGUAUGGUCUCUUUUUGCACAAUCUGACAUCUUUUAUUCAGUUGUUUCUAAGUUCUAGUGUAUUCUAUCUAACUUGUGUGAGAUAAUAAAACACCGUUCAUUAGUAGCUUAAGCGUUUAGAGAAAAAUGACUAUUUCACAACAUGCUUGUUGAAUUAGGACUUCAAUUAAUGUGCUUAAUCAAUCAAUAAGAGAUCUCGGAAAAAAAAAAACUUUGGUAUUAUCUUCCUCUUUGUAACUUGAUUGACAUUAUUAAUUUUAAUUUGUUAUAAUCUACUAAACAACUGUGAGUUUUUUUAAAAAAAAAAACUUGUGUUUACUUCGGCACUCUAAGACUCUAUUUGGAUGUCAGAAUAAGUUAUCCAGUGAUAACAUACACAAUAUGAAGAUUUUCUUAUGUAAUACAACAAAGAGUUAGAUUUUUUGCUCCUUAAAAGUUUUUGGUAUUCAUAAUUCGGCCGGUAUAUUUUACGUACAAGAUUUAUCUUAUUUCGAAAAAAUGACUUGAAAACCGAAUAUGGUAUUUCAUUCUAAAUAUUUGAUUACACUCCUCAUCUGCCAGUAAUACAAGCUUGUUGAGUAAAUUAGAUUUGCUCAUCAGUGGUGAAAUCUUUGCAAGUUCCUAAUUAGGUCCUUGGUAGCUUCUCAAAAUUGUUACUACCUAUUUUUAGUGUAAUAAUUGUAGCUUCUCAAAAUUGUUACUACCUAUUUUUAUUUCAGGGCCUUCACAAUGCAGGGAAUAUAAAGAUUUUAUAGCAAUAAAAAGUAACAUUUAUUUGGGAUUGUGUUGGGCUUGGGCCGCUAUAUACUACUGGAAUGAGAGAAAAAGGUUUACAAAAUCUUAUUGAUAAUAAUAACAUAACUUUAUAGGAUAAGAGUAAUUGAAAUAAAUUUAGAUAAAAUUGGCUAAAAAGUAGAGGAAGACAAAAGAGUAUCAAAGGUGUACAAUGGUCUAUGAGUAAUAAAAUUAUUUACAAUAUUUAAAUAAAUUAAUAUAUAUAUAUAUAUAUAUAAUAUAUAUAUAUAUAUAUAUAUAAUAUUAUAUAAUGAUCCGGCUACUAUAUUUAACGAGUAUUAGCUUUCUUAUAACUUCAGUAGUUUCAGCCUUAGAUUUAUUCCCAUGAUCAUUUUCAUGCCGUGUAGAUUGAUACUAUUCACCAAUCUACCCACUUAAGCUCUAGGGUAACUAGUCAUUCUAAGUCAGGACCGCCAUUAUCUAGACGCUAGGGGUGUCAAACGGGCCAGGCGGCCCGCGCCGCGCUCGGCCGACGCAGUGGUCGCGGGCCAGCACGGCACGAUACACUGGUAGCGUGGCCGUGCCGGCCCGGCGCGGGCCAGUUAAAUGGCGGGCCGUGGCUGGGGCGCUCCGCGACCAAAUGGCCCGCACAACCCGGGCAGCGGGACAUAGGCUUGGGCGUGCCAGCCUAGAGGGUAACCAGGCCCGCCGCGCGCACGGCACGGCCUGGCCCGCUCGUGACCAAGGCCCUCCCGAAGCCGCGCCCAGCAGGGUCUUGGAGUUAGUGCCCUGCACCAAUCUCCAAUGCUUUGGUAGGCACCAACUCUACAAUGGUUGGGUGUGGGACCGUGGCUUGGACCCCAACAGUCAAACGAUAUGGGCUGUGCUUUGAGUUGGGCUUAACUAAAAUGCCCUCUCCAACAGUCAAAAAUUUGGGUACUGUGUGUGAGGGUAUUUUGGUCCCAAAAAAUUUAAAAAUUUAAAAUAAUUUAAAUUUAAUUAUUUCUUUAUAAAUAUAUUUUUAAUUUUUAAUUUUUUUACUGAUAUAUUAUUUUUAAAAAAUUAAUAUUGUUAUUUAUUUUCUAAAAAAAUAAAAUUUUAAAUAAAAUUAAUAAAAUAAAAAGGGCUGGCACCGAACCCGCGCUCGCAGCGCACGGCCCGUGCCAGUUCGGCCCGGGGACCGUGCUAGGUCGCGGUUCCAAAACUUUGGCCGCACGCAACGGCCCGAUUUUGGGGCGGCUGUGUCGCUGGACUGGCCCGCGCCCGUUCGCCCGACAAAAAUGUGGGCCGUGCCGGCCCGGCACGGCCCACAUUACAUCCCUAUCCUAACCACACAUCCCAUCAAUCAACGGUUAAAAAUUUAUGAGUACAAGGGGUUCUAUAUUCAUAAGAGUAUAGUAGCCCUAGCAUAUAUAUAUAUAUAUAUAUAUAUAUAUAUAGACUUAGGUUGGAAUACUAUCAAUAGCACCAAGCAUUUUGUGCUAUUAAGUUUUCGGUUCUUGGAUUAAAAAAUGUACGAUUAGGAUGAUGUGGGCCUCUUAGGGUUGAGUGAGUUGUUGAUUUAAUAGUAUAAUCUAACAGGUGAAAAUAGUCAAAUGAUUAAAUCUAAGGGUGGAAAAUUUAAUAGCAUCAAAUAUAUGGUACUAUUGAUAGUAUCCCAGUUGGACUAUAUAGAUAUAGAUAUAAAAAGGGUUAGUGAAGGGUUAGUGAGGGACGUACGUGUUGCCCUUCGACUCCCCUAACCCUGCUUUAACGCAAUAAAAUAAUAUCAUACAAAUAAAAUAUGGCCUAUGGGCCAUUGCUUUUUAAAUAUCCGACUCCUUUUUAACCCCAUCAAAUCUCAACCGUCCACCACUCUCACCAUCGCCACUUUCAGCGAGGACACGUGUCCGACAAAAUCCAACACGUGUCGACGCCUCCCUCACGUGCUCCCCCCCUAUAAAUUACGUGUGCAGCGUAAUUAGUUGUAGUAGAAGAUGCAAUUAAUUAACACCACUAAUUAAACAAAGCAACUGAUCAGUGUUACUGCAACACUAACAAUUUCAAUUCCAAGGACGUACGAUAUAAACAAACAUGGCACAGAGCAAGGAGGAUAUCAAGUACGGCGCAGCUCAGGCGAAGGUGUCCGAGGAUGAGUCGCUGAGGGUGGCGUACAAGCACGGCACGCCCUUGGAAGGCGGCAAGAUCGCGGAGUCGAAGCCUGUUGAUCUCUUCGCCGACGCCGGCAGGAUCGACUCAGCGAAUCGCGGGGGCGGCGACAGAGACGGCGACAGCGACGGCGACAACUCCGCCGCCCGCCCUGGGGAGGAGCCGGGAGCAGGCGAGGAGAAAGAUGGCGCAAAAAUUGCAGACUGAUGAAAUCAGGUCUAGUUUGAAAAUGUGUCGUCUUUCUGUGUGUCGUGAUGUGUCGGUACCUAUUGUGAUAUUAGUUUGUACUAAUUAAAUAGAAGUGCUUUCAACUAAACUUUUUUAAGGUUUUAUUUCGAAUUGCGGAGUGCUUGUGUUACGUCGGGUAAAAGAAAUAUAAUAAAAAAAACUUGUUUAUAUUUUUAUAUAUAAUAUCGCAUUCUGCGCAUAUUGUAAAAGCCCGUUUAUUAUAUUUUUUCUAUAAUUUCAUCAGAAAACAUUACAAUAUAUUUAUAUAGGAUUAAUUUCAUACAGAUUCAUUUCUCAAAAAAAAAAAUAUUCAUACAGAUUCUUACAAACAUAAUGAAUGACAAAUGUACUUUUAUAAAAUUCAACUUUCGUAUGUUGUUUCGGUAAAAGUUCUGAUAUUUUCAAAUAUAUUCUUCUGAUUCUUUACCGUUAAAGAACCGUUAGAAAACUGUUUAUAUUUUAAUUUUGCUAUCACAAAUAUAUUCAUCCAAGAGGUAUAACAGUAUAAUAUAAAUGGGUAAAAAUAUCCAAAACUAAUUAGUGUUUAGUAUUUAAUCUAUAGUUAAUUAAAUUUUUCUAACGGAUUUUAACGAUAGGGGCAUAUUUGAAAACAUUCAAGAUUUUUGUAGGGACAAUAUAUGAACGUUGAAUUUUGUAGUGAUAUGUUUGUUAUUCACUAUGUUUGUAAUGAGUUGUAUGAAAUUAACCUAUUUAUGUAUAUACUGUCACCCUAAUUUCAUUUUAUUUAUUAACAUUAGUCGUUAGAUGACUUAAAGCGCAAUAGUUAUAUUUUUUAAGUAGUGUGUUAUUAUUGUUGUGCUCUGCGAUCCUCAUUAUCAGGAGUUAAAAUAAUAGUAAAUUCUUAAUUACUUAGCUAAUGUGAAUAUACUGCUAGAAAAGUGUGUACACUAGGUUUACACUAUACUCGUUUGAGCUCUCUUAGUUAAUAUUAACUUCAAACUCUUUCCUGAAAAUAUAUAUAUAAAAAACUCAAAUAUUGCUUAAAUCUGACAAUCUAAUUGAAUUUAAGGACUGCGUGAUUGGAUGCAAUUAAAAACACAAUAUACUUGAAAAUACAUGAAUUGAAAAUAUGAUAGUUAUAACUAUAUACAUUUUGUUUCGUUGGAUGUAGUAGAAAAUACUGCAAAUACAAAUUAUUUGUUUAGCUGUACAUAGUUGAGAAAUUUAUUUUUAAAAUUUCAUUACUCUAUAUAUAUAUAUAUUAUGUGGUGGUGAUAAAACUUCCAGCGUAAGAAAGAAAAAAAAUUGUUUUUAAAAUGUGAUUAGACAAGCAAGCUUAUCUUUUAUUUAAAACGACUCUUUUCAAUGUUAUAAUUAGAACUACGGCCAAGUUAAGGGGCUGUUUGGUUGGUGUAAUUAGAAAUAUAAUGUAGUCGGAGAUAUGAUAAUUAUAAUUAUAUAUAUCUUGUUUGGAUGAAUACGGUAAAAAAUGCUACAAUUAUAAAUAAUUUAUUUGGUUGCAUAUAGUUGAGUGCGUUUGUAAACUUUUAUUACUAUUACAUCCUUAAUUACUUUUUAAAUAAUUUUUUAUAUUAGUAGAAGUAAUUUCACCAUCAUAUAUAUAAUUAGGGCUACUAUACUCUUAUAAGUGUAAACUCUUUUAUACUCAUAAAUUUUCGUCUAUUAAAUCUACUCCUUUGACCAUUUCCACCCAUUAGAUCAUACUAUUCAACCAACAACCUACUCAACCCCAGGGGACCACUAUCAUCUUAACCACACAUCUUUUAAUUCAAAGGCCGAAAGCCUACAAGCACCAAGAACUUAGUACUCUUAAAAGUAUAGGAGCUCAAUUCUAGAUAUACAUAUACAUAUUUUAUGUACUAAGUACCAAGAACUUAGUACUCUUGAAAUUUAUAAUUUGAAGAUUAAAAUUUAUAAAUUUUUAAUUUUAAAAAUUUGAAAUUUAUAAUUUGAAGAUUAAAAUUUAUAAUUUAAAAUUUAAAAAUUUUAAAUUUUUACAUUUAAAUUUUAAAAUCUAAAUUGUCAAAUUUGAAAUUUAAAAUUUGAAAUUUGAAAUUUAAAAUUUAAAAUUUGAAAUUUAAAAUUUAAAAUUUAAAUUUAAAAUUUAAAAUUUGAACUUUGAAAUUUGAAAUUUUAAAAUCUGAAAUUUGAAAUUUGAAAUUUGAAAUUUGAAAUAAAAUUUGAAAAUUUAAAAUCUAAAAUUUGAGAUUUGAAAUUUAAAAUUAAAAUUUAAAAUUUAAAAUCUAUAUUUCAAAUUUUAAAAUUUAAAAGUUAAAAUUUAAAAAUUUUAAAAUGAAUCUGAAAAUUAAAAUUUAAAAUUUAAAAUUAAAAUUAAAUUUAAAUUUAAAUAUUAAAACUAAAAUAAAAUAAAAUUUUGAAGUUUAAAUCCAAAAUCAGAAUCAGUUUUCAAGAAGUAGCUUUUUUCUGUUUCUGAUUUUGAGGCCUUCAAAAUCAGUUUUCUGAUUCUAAAAAGUAGAAUCAGAUUUUAAAAGUGAGUUGCCAAACGCUCUAUUGAGCCAAAAAUCACUUUUCAGCCCAAAAGUGUUUUUUAAAAGCUAGGCCUAACACCCCCUAUAUGUUUUCUGAACAAUACUGCUUGUACAUUCCUAGACUAUUUGUAAGAUUUACACCUAUCCAUCCAAUCCAUUAACUAAAAAACUCAAAUGAAUUUUUGUGAAUCUUAGGAAGGUGUAAGAUUUAUACGUAUAUAAAUAGGUAUAAAUGUAGCGUUUACGGUGACAAUUCAUGGGCGCGAGGCCCACAUUAUUUGGAUUUGAGCCCACCACAAUACUUAGUCUCAUGGGUUGGGCUGGCUCGGAUUUACGCUUAAUAAAAACUGCGGCCCAACCCAACCCGUGAACAAGCGUAAUUUUAAUGUUGUUUAAUAAAGUGCCAUUGAGAUUUUAGAAGUUCUCGACCUCUUUUUUACAGCAAAACUGAAAUUUUCAAUAGUUUCUACUAUUGGAUUUCGCGAUAUAACUUCUGCUUUUCGUCGUAGUAAAAAUUUUAGAUUUAUUAUCGAAUGCUCUAAGACACGAUACGACAUUAUCCAAACAAAAAGAUCAUACCAAAUUUAAGGCAUGGAACCCCUAAACCUAAUAAUAGUCCACGCCAACUAGAAGGGUGAUGAUCACUAAAUGCAACAAUUAUAUCCAACAUAGUGAAAUAUACUUGACACAACCAUUUCUCUCUCCCUUUUAUUAACUCUUAUUAUGGUAUAAACCAUAAAUAAUCAAAUAGAGCAAUAGUAAUAGUGACUACAAUAAUACAAUACCAAUCUCCAAUGCAAGUAAUAAAUCACAUGUAAGAAAUUGGGCAUAAAUAUAAUCUAUAUCAUUUCCUUGUAAGAGCUUCUUUAUAUGAAUAUUAUAAUUUCUCACUCCUUGUUAUUAUUUCUAAAAAAAAAAGGCCAAUUUGCAUAAAAAAUCCACUUAUUUUGGGCUUUUGCAGAAUCGGGCCACCUUUUUCGUUUUUGCAGAUUCGGUCCGUUUUUUCAACAAACUGACCAAAAUACCCUUAUUACUUUUUCUCUUUCCUCUUUCUCUCUCCUCUUCGUUUUCUCGUUUUUUUUUUUUUUUCUUCCGCCACGCCAUGUCCCGCUGGGUCGCCCGCUCCAUCCACCUCCGCCUCCUCCCCAUCCUCUCCCACGCCGUCGACGCCCGCUCCCCCGUCGACCUCCAGGACUUGCUGCUCCGCAAAAUUAAUUAAAUAUUAAUAAAAAUUUACUAUUAAAUUAUCUCCAUCUCCAUCUCCAUCUCCAUCUCCAUUUCCACACCCCCAAAAGCUUCGAUCGCCAUGAGUCCCGUGGUGACUAAGUCCUCUCCAACCCUCGUACCCCCCGCGUCGCCGACCCCGACCUCGACGCUCCUCCUCCCCCUCUCCUCCAUCUAUCGCGCCGCCAACGCGCGCGUCUCCGUCGAAUUCAUCCAGGUCUUCUCCCGCGGCGGCAGCGGCGGCACCGUCGCCGCCAUCAGAGAGGGUCGCCGCCAUUAGAGAGGGCUUCGCCCGCGCCCUCGUCCCCUACUUCCCCGUCGCCGGGAGGAUCAUCGAGAGCGUCCCCGGCGAGCCCAUGGUCGAGUGCUCCGGCGACGGGAUCUGGUUCGUGGAGGCGGAGGUCGAUUGCGCCCUGGACGACGUGAACCAGCACGCGCGGAGCGGGCGCUGCUCCCGGCUAGAGGCCCUCGGCCGGGCUGCGGCGAUCCGCCGACAUCCCGCGGAAGCUCUACCCGGCGAGUCCCGCGACACUCGGUAAUGAGUCGUAAUGGUGCAGUCUCGAGCGGGUCCGCUCGCACGCAGCGUGCGGCGGCGGGCAACGCGGGAGCGCUGACGGUAAUAUUCUUUCUUCGUCGUAAAGGAAGUAAUAGGGCACCAUAUACACCAUUAAUUUGUACGCAUUAACACCCGUUUGAAGGGUAAUUUCAACCAUUACACCAUUAAGGGUUAUGAUGUAAUUACACUCAAUUAAUGGUGUAAACCAUUACACCUGUUAAUGGGUUAAUUCCGCAUUAACAUUAAUGGUAAUGGUGACCAUUACACCAUUAAUGGUGAAAUUACCCAUUACCACAUUAAUGGUGUAAUGGUGAAUUACACCAUAACGGUGCGACACGCCCACGGAGCGGAGCCAGGGGUUGAAGCUCUGACGGGCAUGCAAGGCUGCCGAAGGCGCCUCCGAAGCGCGCGGCGAUCGCACAGCGUGCCGUGGCGCUCCGCGCGACAGAAACGAAUCGAGAGGAAAGAGACAAGAGUGCGCGACAGAAACGAAAGGAUGUCAAUCUGGCGGGAGAGAACCGAAGCGAUCAGAAAUAAGGUGGAUGGAGCGGGCUAGACCUCCUCUCGCGCCUUCUCAUGAAGCGGGAGACGAGCUCGAGCUUGCGGGCCUUGAAUGGUGGCGGAGAGGUAGUGAGUCGACGUGGGCCGAGGCGCUGCUUGGAAGCGUAGGUCUCCAUGCCGAAACUGGAGGCGGCUUCUUGAACAUGCCAAAGCGAACUGGGGAAGAUGAACGCUGCAGGGUGGCCUCGGUGGCGCUGAUCGAAGCGACGGCGAAGGCGUCUCGGGCAGCCGGGAGAGCAUCUCGGAGUAUCCCAUUGUGAAGCAGAGCCACAGAUGUGUCGAAGGUUAGAGGCGGACAGCAGGUCCUGGAGGUCGACGGGGGAGCGGGCGUCGACGGCGCGUGGGAGAGGAUGGGAGAGGCGGAGUGGAUGGAGCGGCGACCCAGCGGACAUGCGUGGCGGAAAAAAAAAAAAAAAAAAAAAAAAAAAAAAAGAACAACGAGAGAACGAAGAGGAGAGAGAAAGAGGAAAGAGAAAAAGUAAUAAGGGUAUUUUGGUCAGUUUGCUGAAAAAACGGACCGAAUCUGCAAAAACGAAAAAGGUGGCCCGAUUCUGCAAAAGCCCAAAAUAAGUGGAUUUUUUAUGCAAAUUGGCCAAAAAAAAAAGUGUGUCAUCUUUUUUUUUUGGCUAAAUUUUAAUUGAAAUGAAAGAAAUUUUGCUCACUUGAAUAGAUUUUACUGUAAUUUACUGUGCUGAUGUAUGUAGACCCUUAUUAAUUCUCGAGUAAUGCUAUACCUACUUAGAAAUCUUAUAAAAGAGUAAUUUAAUCCAAGAUAACAUCUAUAAUCUAUAAAUCUAUAAAUAAAUCUAUAUGAAGCUAUAAUAUUUUUUGCCACGUUGCAUGUUAUCCUUAAUUCUCAUAGCCAAAUUUAAAUCAAAUCACCUUCACCUUUUCUCAACGCCCAAUCCUUUACUUCCCCACUCCUCUAAUUACAUGCAAAGUGCAACAUUUAAUUAUAUGCAACUUUAAAUCCAACUUUAAAUCAAACCACAUUCUCCUCUUCUCAACGCCCAACUCACCUUCCUACUCCUCUAAUUACAUGCAAGGUGCAACAUUUAAUUACACGCACCAUAUUAAUAUUCUAUCAAUGAGUGGGUUUUAUAACUUUAAUCUACUUUCCUCCUCCAUAAUCCCCUACCCUCUCUCUUUUGUAAUUCUUUUACAUGCACCAUAAAAAAAAAUAUCAUCGUCUAAUCUCCUACUCCGCACUCAUCUCCCUCUUCCUCUCAUUGUGUUAACGAAGAAGAAGAAGAAGAAGAAGAGCCUCUCAAGAGCAUUGUCUCCUUCGAGAAGCAUCGUCCGGCGAAACCGAGCUGCGGCUCAUAUAAGUGCCCGCUGAGCCGGUCCGCGCGAGGCCUCUGCUUACCAUGCGAAUUUAGUCAUACAAAUUGGCUGUGCUUAAUGCGAUAUAGCUUCCUAUAUAUCAAUAAAUUAAAAUAUAAAAUUUAUUAAAAUUUUUAAAUUUUGCUUUUAUUAUCUACACUAGUGUUAUUAAUAGACCAAAAGAACUAAAAAGAAAUUGCCAUGCAAACUCCAGUAAGAAAUUAUAACAAACUAGUAAAUGGGCAAACCAUUUUUCAUUUGCCCACUUUGGAUAGUAUAAUUAUCAUUUUACCCAUAAAUUAUACCAUCCUUCUAUGACUUGUAUGAAACAUUUAAAUUAUAACUUCUAAUCUUAGUACGUAAUUAUAAAAAAUAAAACUAAAAGGGCCUAACACUUUCAUCCUCUAACUUUAAAUUUUACAAUCCAAUUUCGUUGAUUAAUGAUGAUGAGUUACUGAUAUGUCAGCAUUAUGAUAUUUUUUAGUCACCAUCAUGUUAUUAGUCGUAGCAAUCCACAUUAACAACACAUUAAGUUAACUAAAUUUUAUUAUGAACUCAACAGUCUACAAACCAUAAGUAAAAAAUAAAUAUUUUAAUCAUUAUUAUGUCAUCAAUUAUAAUACUAUUAUAUUAGCGAUACAUCACUAUUAUACUAUGAAACUACAUAAUUCAUAAAAUUAGAACAGAAGUUAUAUUGGAUUAAAAUUCUAAAGAUUGUGUGCUUUCAAAAGUACUAGGUACGGAACCUGCGCGAUGCAGCGGGACGACAAUACAACAGUAAAUUAUUAUAACUAUUAAUAUCAUUUUUUUUCUAUUAUGCAUUAGUAUUUUUAAAUAUUAAUAUUUUGAACCUAUAAGGGUUUCGAUUAAUAGGUUUGAUGUGGUAAGAAGAUAAAAUUUCAAGAGUUGUGAGAGAGAUAGCUCGAGUGCAUUUCACGUAACACAGCGGAGUUGUCCACCCGCAGGGGGGGUGUUUUUUCGGAAAAAGUUGGUCGUACAUCCGACCCGUGAGCCCAGCGGGUGUUUCUCUUUUGUUGGCUAGGGUACAUGCAGGGGAGAGUGUGAGAAGAUAGUGGCUUUUGCUGAGGUCCUUGGGAUCGGACACGGCGGCUUUAGAUGGUACUUUUUGGGAUUCUCGGUUCGGUUGACGCAUAUGCUAUAGUAGCGGAUUUGCAUAUUACUUCCAGUUUCUUUCUUUACAGUUGUCUCUCGCUACUAUAUGUAUGAUAUCCUUGCUCAUGCCUGCAGUUGAAAUUACAGUAGCGGUAGUGUUUUUCAUAUAUAUAUUUAUCUGUUCGUCCAUUAUCGUUGCUACUGUAUUUUACUUACCCAUAUUUGUUGGUUUAUCUCUUCCUGAUCCGAGUUGAGUACUCCUCGCCUUCUAGACUUGCCGGGUACCACUGGGAGGGGAGACAUGUUUUACAUGUUCUCACCUCCCCACCCAUUUUUCAGGUAUCGUUGUGGCGUUGAGUAGUUGGGCGAGACGUGAGGUACGUGUAGCGGUCCGAUAGAGCUUCCGAGCCUAGCGCUUAUGUCGAUUAUAGCUAUUACCUUUUUAUUUCUGUGGAUAUUUAUAGGCUUAGUCGGUCUACCAUGGUUCAGUUUUGUUUUAUUAAUUGAAUACUCUAAGUUUUCAGUUGGGUUUUUUGGAAUGUAAUAAAGGAAUUGUGAUUUCUUGAAAUAAAGGGUUUUCUACCUCGUGGGUAGCGUUUCUUAAAGAAUUAAAGGUUUCGUGGUAGCGUAACAGUUUCAAAAGAAUUUUCCAGUGAUUUUUCUAUUUAAACACUGAAAUGUAAAAACUGUGAUGUGAAUGAUGUAUGUAUGAAUGAUCUAUAUUAUUCCUUAAUAUUCAAUCUGAGUGUGCGUUGUAAAUAUCCUAGAGUUGUACUGUGUAUUUGAUCGACUGCCGUGCAAUUAGGGAGACUUCUGUCCGUUGCGUGAACAGUGGAUUCCUGUAUUUGUGGGAAUCUGGAAUACCCUUGGGCAAGUGUUUAAAAAAAAAAAAAAUUAUCAGUCGCUUUCGUUUGUUUUAAACUGAAAAGGGGACCACGGAGGCGUGACAGAUUAAUGUGGUAUCAGAGCAAGGUUACAACCACAACACCAUUCACAGGUUUGUUUUGAAAAGUAAAUGAACUGAACAAUUGGUUAGGUGACCAUAUAAGGAAGACUCACGGUAAUAUAGGCAAGGAUGUGGGGUUUGGGUUGUGUCCCGGUAUGUAUUCGAGUUAGGUAAACUCGAUGGCGCGUUACUUCUUUUCGUACUUCGGUUUUCGCACAAGCUGGUGUCUAAGUCGGAUAAAGUUAGUGGCGGUGCACCUUUUUCGAACAUCGAGUGGUGGACACGUUUCCUAGUGGUUCCAGUCCUGUCAGAUCGGAGUGGGGCCUUGAAAGGCCAGAUGAUUCUGGGCCUAUGGCGAGUGUCAUGACUGCGACGCCCAGGGCCAUCUCUCUACUUAGGACACGAGAGCUGUUGCGAUGUCUCUACGGAGACGGGUGUAUAGGACCAGUCUGGGUCGCCGAAUUUGUAGGCGUUAUAGGGUGUAGCCCAGGGUUUGGAUUGCGGUUGUUUCAGCGACUGCAUUGUUAGUUGUUGCUUCCGCAGACUUUGGGUAAAUUGUUGAUGCCUACCUCUCUUUCCUGAUUGCUGGUGGAAAUCAGCGUUCGGAAUCUUUUGACUUUUACCUCGUUCAUUUCUUACCGACCAGAAGUCGGAAUUGACACAGUUUUGGUGUCAUGUUUUCAUUAAGGCAUACAUCGUAUGCGGUUAUUCUACACCCAAAUUUGGUGUGUUGUGGGUUAGUUCGUAGUUGGGUCUAUAUUCGAGAUGUUCUUAGGGUCGUUCUAAGUUCGAAAUGUCGACUUGUAAAGUCAGAUGUUUCCAGACUAGUAUUGAUUUGAGCUUUCUGGUUCAGUAGAGAGGUAUCAAGUGGCUUUGAUACAAUAAUAUUCGAGUACUGUCUCAACUGGUUGUUGGUAGUGGAUCUAUAGGAUAUUUCGCUUUUUUUUUGAUGAGUAUAUUGGCUGCAGACAUAUACUGUCGAAAGAGAAAAGAAAAUAUUCUUCCUUCCUGUUUUGGGACUCAUGGAUUGGGUCGGUAUUUCUUUCCUUCGUAGAUAGUCUUGUGAGGAUGGUUGGGUUGGUAUUCUUUGACCACGUAGUGGCCUUGAUUAUCUUGGCAGGUUUGCGCAGUUGAUUUCUAUCACUGCAGCGUGGUUCUGAACUCUGAGUUCGAGUCUUGGUGUUCAUAGCUUUGUUGUGCUUCCAUUUAACUAAAAGGUUUGUUGGUUUAGUUAGUUUCAGUUGUUGUCUUGAGGAUAGUUGUUUAGCUUUGAUUGUCAUGUAAGGUGUUUAUUUUUGAAGGAUUGUAACUUCGGCCUUUUGUGGACUUUGGAUUGAUGCUUGCGGUUAAUUAGGUGAACAGGUGCGCCGGGUGGUUCUCAAAAGAUAGUUAUCUGGUGUUUGCUCGAAAACACGAUAAGCUAGGUCCCUUGUAGGACGCAGCGAAGGGUCUCGUAGAGACAGGUAGUGAGCAUCACCGAUGGUUGGUUCGUAUAGUGGCAUUGGCAAUCCUGUGCACCAAGUUUUGGACUUGAUGGCGAGUUUAUUGGUUUAGUCGAACCAGUUUUAUUUGAGCAAGCGAGCGAAUUGUCGGAGCUCAAUUUAGUUUUGUCAGCCUUCGACCUUGUUGGUCAGGUGAAAGGUGAGUUUGUGGGACCUUAGGACAGAAUGUCAAAGGGGCUUUCCGUAGAUGUGGAAUUGACUUCGCAGUUGCCAUGAUCGGUUAUGGGAGGACUGUAGCUUCAAGAGGUGUUUCUACGACUCGAGUUUUGGGAGAACGUUUGUUUUUCCGCUCGUGAGUGAGCAAUGUUGAAUUUUUGUUGGCUUAGUCGGAAUAUAUUUUGCUCCGAUCCAGGUAUUUAAACUCCAAGUUUGGUGGUGUUGCGUAGUGAUUCUUUUCUGUGAACCUUAGGACAUGUGGUCGAGUCGGUUGAGGCUUUUUCGGACCAAGGUUUACAGGAUGUUGUUGAUCACGCGGUGUGUUUAUGGUCCGCAGACUUUGGGAUUUGCGUACGUGUCCCUCGAUGCUCCUGUUCUUGUAGAACGCAGUUUAUUCUCCCCUUUUCAGAGGUUUGUCUGUCAAUUCUUAGAAUUUGUUGACUGGGAUCAGUAUCCAAAGGUGUUACGCGUGGGGGCAAUGUCAAGAGUUUGAUUACUGUGUGGGUACGUGGUUUCAAGUUUCGAUGGACGAAACUUCUUUUUAAGGGGGGGUGAUGUAAGGGACUUUGAGAUUUCUGACAGUGAAUAAAACUCUCUGUUUGAUAUGUUUAUGUGUGUAAUUUAAUUACAUUAAGCCCUCGUCAAGUUUCAGGGAAAACUGAGUAAUAUGGAAGGAAGAUACGCGAUUUUUAGUUUUCACCUUUAAAGUGAAUAGUAACUCGGUUUCCGGAAAGUACGGCAGUACGUUGAGCUUCUUGGUGCGUUAUCGGACUCCGUCUAUAUCGGUCCAAUAGCUCGUUUCGACCGGACCAAGCUGUUCUGGAAAAUUAGUGCGCUUGACGGAUUUUUGAUAGUUUCGACGCACGGAUUUCGGAGAAAUCCAAAUACAUGUUUUAUAUGUUCAUUUGUGUGUUUGCAUUCUUUAUUGAAGAAGGUUGGAGUUUGUAUGUGAAUCCCGUGAUCGAUCGAGAGCGAACGAAAGUGUAGCUUUGUUGUCUCUGAGUGCUGAUUGCACUGGUGCGAUCACGUUCGCAAAUCUGAACGGACAGAUCUGCAGAGAAUUUGCACGGCUUGAGAUCGAGGAAGAGCGAUCGGUGUGGGGAAAACGGUAUUUUUGCAUUAAGUCUGCACAAUUUUAUUACGAAUUCGAAUGAGGAUCAAACGCUGGAGGUGCGUACCACGCGAUUUACUCGUGCUUGUGAAGGUUUUGAGUUGGAAUUAACCGGUCGGAGGGAUUUGUGCAAGCGGGCUUUGUAUAUUUAUUGUCUUUAGGGUUUCUAUGCAACGACCCUAGUUUCGGCCGACCUAGUCUUCCAGCUAUGCGUAGGUAGACUCAGCAGGCUCUUACCCUGGCCGUGCUCGCGCCGGACCCGGCGUGCGACUCGAUGCCGCCGGAAAACUCUAAAUGGCGGUCAUCUCAUUCUCCACCCUCUCGGCCCGCGUUACUCAGGGAAACGCCCGAAGCGAGAUCCUUCACCCUAGUGGCCAGAGAUGUUACCUCCGGCGCGACCUCGCACGCCCCCGCCGUCGGCACGCGCGGCCGACGCCGCCGAGAAGCACACCUGUCCCUGCGUCACCUGGCUUAUCACCCAGGCCCUGAGUCUGUGUGAUCUUGCAUCGCGCGCCGCCACCGGCUCCCCGUGGCCGCGCCGGCCUCUAGAACCUCCGGCGACUUCGGGUGCCUCACCGUCGUUCCCCGGCGCUGGCCGGUCGAUGCGUGCACCCUGCGGCCGCCCAGAGCUUGACAUGCGGGGCUGAGGCAGAAGCACCUCGGGCACCGCAGACAGCACCGCCACGGUAGUGAUGCACCAUGACCCCUUCGGCCCCGGCGACGGAUCGCCGUCGCCCCGACUCCUCCGGUCGCCGCAAGUGGCCCGUCGCCGCCGCUACCCUCCCCCUGCGGGCGGCCAGUUCUGUUGCAGGCCGAGCCACACCCAGCCACCGCGCGCUGCCCUACGCCGGGCUGGCGUGAGCAUAGGCUCCGCCUGGUCGGCCGCACUCGUCGCGCGCCGGCCUCCCUGUCGCCGGAGCUCCCUGUUUGGCGGAUCUGGGUCAGUCCCUUCUCCUAGGAUUCAGGUGGGACUUUAAGGCAUCAAUGACCGCCGUCUGUCGCUGCCUCCGUCGUCCUGACGCGCCGAGCCCCGGCCUCAUCUGGACUUGGAUGUACCCCCCUAUGCGCCUGCCGUGUCCGGCGCGGCCGGCCACCCGAGCCCUGCUAGCUCCGGGUAAGACUAUUUUUAGAUUCCAGCACAGUAGCUUAGCUUUCCGGCCACCUUCCCGGUGUUCGAACGACUCCCCGAACGCCAGGAGGUGAGGCACGGUGAUCAUUGGGUUGUGCUUGAACACGAUUGCUCACUCUGUGAGGGGUUACGGGAUGCCGGUAUAGCGGGUUUAGGUAAGAUUUCAUGAUCAACCGCCCUGCGCGGGCGUUUUUGUUUUCGUCUGAAACGAUCGCGCCGCAAUCCGUGCGCGCGCGUGUUAGACGGCGGCAGUUGCUCCGAAUGGUGAGCACGGGCCUCAGGCAUGCUGAAACUCUUAGCGAGCAAGGUGUGAGUCACCCUUCGUUGAUCCCUGGUCUUGCUUAUACGGACUAGUCGGAGCAUGAAAUACAUUAAAAUGGAUGUGGAUUUCAUGUAUCGUUAGGAAUUGUAUGCCGUUCGCUUUGUUGUAGCUGUUGUUGGCGGCAGGUGGGCUGGGCCUAAUGGACUGGAUUGUCAAGGCCCGACCCUUUGCGAGAUCGAAAUGCAUUUCGGUGGUUUUUCGCGAAAAAUCCGCCGAGCGGAACGCAGGGUUCGGUUCGGAAUUUAUUUCGACGAUGCUUUGUGAGCUAUUGUGUAGUCGCUGAGCCUUGUUGGGGUCACAUUCAUCACAUUGUGAGGUUCGGUAGAUUGAUGGUAGUGCAGCGAGGUGGAUUCAGUGUCGAAAUAAGAACUGUCCGGGAACCCGAGAUUCGCACAAAUUAUCGGCGAAUAAUUGUGUAGGGGGUGUUAUCUUGUGUGUUACUACCAAAAACUCCAAAUUGGAGUGUUGGGGCAACAGGUGAAUCGUGCACGAGUCGGUGAGUUCGGGAACUUAAGUGGAAUCCCGACUGGCGGUGGUGUGUUUCGGGACUUCGGUGAGUUACGAUGCAUCGGUUUUUGGGAAACGAUACGGGGUUCUGUGUGGUGGUUUGUGGACGUGUAUGUUCAAGUGGUGGGUUGGUUUACUGAACCCGUGCGGAUUCGUUAGGUGCACGGUCGACUUGUGAGUACGACAGUGUUCCGAGCGCAGAGUGACAGGUGGGUACUUCGUCCGAAGAUGUCCGGUACAGUGGGUGCACGCUCAGGUGAUAUUUUUCGCUAUCCCUAUUCUUCUGUGCUAUUUUUCGUAUUAUAUAUUGGAGCUUGCAUCCCGUCGUUUUAUUAUUACUAUAAUAUAUUGUUUCGUAUGUAUUAGUUAUGUGUAGGAGUAGAGUAAUUAUCCACUUGCUGAUAUCGGUAGACCUGAUUGGUCUGUUUCUCGUACUUUUGUUCGGUGACCUUUGAUGUGUCGGUUUCAGUAACUUUUCGUUUUUUUUUUCGAGUGACCUAUGAUCGGGAUGCUUUUAUCUUAUAUCUGUUGACCUGGUGAUUGGUCGGUUGUUGCUUUAUUGUAUUGGGUUGGUCUUUCUUGAAUUCUGUUGUUCGAUGACCUUUGAUGUCGGUGUACCCUGAGGGAGUAGGAUUGUUCGGCUAGGUGCUGACGGUUUAGUUCUGCGACUAUAUCAUUACACUCCUGUGACCUAUCGGUCGGUUUUGCGUUCGUACUUUAGUGAACUCGAUUCAGUAUCUUAAUUUUAUUCUUUUUAUUUACUCUGCUCUGGUUGUUCUAUGUGUGUAUCCUGUAUGGAGUAGAUAAGAUGGCAAUUCGAUUGAUAUAUACUUGUGACCUGGUUGGUCGGUUUCUCCUGUUUGCAAUCGGUGACACUGUUUGGUCAGGUUGUUUACUUUCGAUAUUGACCUAUCAUCGGUCGGAUUUCACGUUGUUACUUGAUGGACCUAACGGUCGGUAUGCCCAGAGGGCAGUGAUUGUCGGCUGAUUGCACGGUUGAGCUAUUGGAAUAUGUUCGCAUUGAUCGGCCACAGUCGAGUGAUUUUCACGUUACACCAGCGCGGUUGAUCCCCGCCAGGAGGGUGUUCUUAUUUCGAAAAGUGCGUCGUACAUGACCCGUGAGAGCAGCGGUGUUCUCUUUGUAGCUAGGGUUACAUGCAGGGUGUGAGCAGAUAGUGGCUUUUUCCUGAGGUCCUUAGCCCGGACACGGCGGUUUAGAUUGGUUACUUUUGGGGACUUCGUCGCGGUAUGACGGCAUAUAGCUUAUAGUAUGCCGGUUGUUUGCAGUAUGUACUUCCAAGUUCUUUUCUUUACAGUUGUUUGCUUACAUUAGUAUUGAUAUCCUGAUUGUAUGCAUGAGUUGUACUUACAGUAGCGGUAGUUGUGUUAUUCAUAUUAUAUAUUCUCGUAUCAGUCCAUUAUAGUUGAUAGUGUUAUUUUACUUACCAUAUUGUUUGGUUAUCUCUUCUGAUUCGGGUGAUGUACUCCUCGCCGUCUUUCGGCUUGCGGUACCCACUGGGAGGGGAGACAUGUUUACUGUUCUCACCGUCCCCACCAUUUUUCACGGUAUCGUGGGCGUUGAGUAGUUGGGACGCAGACGUGAGGUACGUGUGUAAGCGGUUCGAUAGAGCUUCCGACCAGGUUAUUUUCGAUUUAGCUAUUACCUUUUAUUUAUGUGGCAUAUUUAUAGCUAGUCGGUCUACAUGUGUUUCAGUUUUGUUUUAUUAAUUGAAAUAUCUAAGUUUUCGUGGUUUGGGAAUGUAAUAGGAAUUGUGAUUUCUUUGAAUAAAAGGUUUUUACACUCGUCGGUAGCGUUUCUUAAAAGAAUAAGGUUUCCGUGUAGGGACAGUUUUCAAAGAAUUUUUGUGAUUUUCUAUUUAAACAUCUGAAUGUAAAACUGUUGAUGUGAUUGAUGUAUGUAUGAAUGUUAUAGUUAUCUUAUAUUCAUCUGUUGUGGUUGUAUCCUGGUCUUGUACUGUGUAAUUUUGAUCAGACGCCGUGCAAAUAAUAGGCGGAGCUUGCUCCUGUGACAGUGGAUUCCUGUAUUGUGGCUGGAAUCUGGCAUACCUGGGGUCGGUUUUCAAAAAGAAAAAAAAUAUUCAGUCGUCUUUCGCUUUGUUUUAAACGUGAAAAGGACCCCGGGGCGUGACAGUUUUGUUGUGAACUACCUUGGGUUUAUUAAUUAUCUAGGAAUUAAACUAUAUAUGAGGAUUCAUAUUUUAUUUUUUUUAUUAUUGUUCAAAAUAAUCUGUCUUAUAUAACUUAUAUUGUUCAAUAUUUAUGCGAAUAAUUGACGGGAAGGGCCAUCCAAUUUGCAAAGACAUUCCUAGAGAUAUUGUUAAGUAGAUCCGUAAACAGGACAUUGUGAGAAAGUAUUCUCAAAUAUGUUUCAUAUUUAAUAAUUUUUUAAAUUUUUUAAUUCUUUGGAGACCAAAAUCAGAACUUUAGUUCUUUUUGAUUCAAUCUUAAAAUAAUUUUAAAAAUGGAAUCUAAAUUUUUAUAUUGUUGGAAUGCUAAUGUGCCAUCUCCCGCAAUCCUACGUGGUCCGCGGGCGGGUACUUCAUGGGGACGGCUGAGGGAGCUGAGGGAGGAGAAGGGUAUGGACCCCUCUUCCUCUUUGUUGAAUCAAUUAUAUAUAUAUAAUAUAUAUAUAAUAUAAUAUAUAUAUAUAUAUAUAUAUAUAAUAUAUAUAUAUAAUAAUAUAUAAUAUAUCNNNNNNNNNNNNNNNNNNNNNNNNNNNNNNNNNNNNNNNNNNNNNNNNNNNNNNNNNNNNNNNNNNNNNNNNNNNNNNNNNNNNNNNNNNNNNNNNNNNNUGGGAAAGAAGAAGAAGAAGAAGAAGAAGAAGAAGAAAAAGAAGAAGAAGAAGAAGAAGAAGAAGAAGAGAGGAAACUGAGAGAUGAGAACAAUAAUGAGGGAAAUAGUGUUAUUAUAUAUAUAUAUAUAUAUAUAUAUAUAUAUAUAUAUAUAUAUAUAUAUAUUUCCCAUACAGAGAAAUAAAUGAUUAUUAUACAAGAAAUAAACAAUAUAUCUUCUUAGAAAAUUAAUUAAGAACAAAAGUAUAAUGUUUGUAAAUAUUAAUGAUAUAUUUAAGCUAAAAGUAAAAGAACCAAUAUUAUUAAAAGGAACUAUAAAGCAAACUUCUUGCCACUAUUUAUUUUGAAAUUAACCCUUAAUGAUUUUUUAUUUAAAAUGUUCAGUGGAUUGAUGAUAUAUUGAGAGCUCCAAAGUAAUAGUCUAUUUUUAUUUUUUUUAAUAUUUUUCCUUAAAAUCGAGUUUUUCUAAAAUUUAGUUGUGGACCCUCUGUGGUUAAUUUGUCUUUCUUUAGGGUUAUAACUAUAUUUUAUUAACUUUAUUCCUUAAAAUCGAGCUCUUAAUUAAUUUUUGUAUUUUUUUACAAAAUAAAAUAUUUAACUAGAUAUUUUUAUUUCUAAAUUACGUUGUCAAUUAUUAGUUGGAUUUAGUUCGUAUUAUUUGUUUUUUAGAUGGAUCGUAUAUUUGGAAGGGCUAUAAUUUUCUAAGAAAUACUAAAUUUAGAACUGGGGUUGACAAAUGAGCGAGCCAAGCUUGUGUUCGGUUCGCUCGAGAUCGAUUCAAAAUUAAAUGAGCUGAGCUUGAAUAGAAAAUAAAACUCGAAAUAUAUUUCAAGCUGGGCUUGAGUAUAUAAUAUGUAUAUUAAUUAUAUGUGCAUAGAGUUUAAGUUAUUGGGCAUAUUUGUUGGCCCACAAAAUCAAAACAACAAAACCUUACUCUUAAGUAUUCUCUGUCCCUCUCUUUCACUUGCUUAUAAUGUCGCUUUACCUAAAUUAUUUUCUUAAUAUUAUAAUAUCGUAUUUCAUGCAUUUAUUUUGUAUAUUAAAUUACUAGACAUAUUUUUCGUAUUAAAUUUAAGAUAAUAUUUAUAAAAUUAAACUAUAAAUUAUAUGAUUUAAGAAUUUCAAGCAGCUCAUUUAGGGCUCAAGCUCGCUCGACUCGAAGUUAGGCUUGCUCGAGCUUGGCUUGAAUUAAUUUCAGCCGAACUUGAGCCUAAAUUUAGGCUCGAAAUUAAUUUCAAGCCAAGCUUGAGCUGAGAUAAGCUCGCUCAAGCUCGACUCGUUUCCGGUUUCCACCCCUAUUUAGAACUAAGAAGAGGUAUAAUCUUAUAAUCCUUCAUCCUAGUGCUAUAAUCUUAUAACCUUUUUUGUGAGGGUUACAAUUUUUUGGCGAAUGCUAAAUUUAGAACCAAAAAGGACUAUAAUCUUAUAAUCCUUGUUCCUAGGGCCUCCUAAAAUUUAGUGAACUAUUAAAUGGUCCUAAUGAUGGUGUUGUUGGAUUCCUAAAAAUGGUGCUAUAGAAUCCCUGGGUUAUUUUUAAGGGUAAUAUCAGAUAUCCAAUGGAAAAUAAUUGGUCCUAAUGAUGGUGUUGUAGGAUUCCUAACAAUGGUGUUAUAGGAUCCUUGGGUUAUUUUUAAGGAUGAUAUCAGAUCUCCAGCUCACUUCGCACUGUAAUUCUAGCACUCCCUGCAGGCUACUGCCAAAAGUUUUUUUUGUCUACUCAUUUUAUCAUUUGUUUAAUUAAAAAUAAAAAAAACAAAGGUUAGCAAAUCCUAAAGAUUAAACUUUACAACCUUUAGACGAGGGAUUGUAGAGUUCAUAAUUUGGUUGUAGACUAUGCUUUUUUCCUUUUUAUUUUUUAGUGUCAAUGUCACCAAAGUCCGAACGCCCUAAAUAAUAUUUAAAAAAAGCACGUUUCCUGCACAAGCCAUCCCGUACAACUUGUGGCAUAUAUAAAAGAGAGAAAUCAUUGCCAGGUCAAUUUUACUAGACCCAAUAAAUCAAACCGCAGGUUGGUAGAAGCUAUGUUAUUGACUCCUUUCACCAGGUGGCGAAUCCAUUUUUUGUUAGUAGCUGUGUGUCGCAUUCCAACUGGAUGGAUAUACGGAUGACCGAGUAGACGAGAUGAUUUUACAUCUUGUUUGAUAUACUUGGAGAGGAGAGAGGGGAUGGGUCGAUUCUUAGGCUGCUAAUGCAAUUAUAGGGGACCUACUUUAGAUUAGAGGUUGUAGAUACUCUCGUGGGCCUACCACGUUCAAAGUGGAUGUGAAGAUUCAAGGUCGAAGAUACUCUUCCAUUUCUUUUCAUCUUGUCUUGAGCAUUAAAAAUUUGUCCACUUCUUUGCUCUUGAAAAUUAUUUGCCCUUGUCUGAAAGAAAACUUGACUCAACGCAAUCUGGUUACUUUUUUUUUUUCCUUUUGUUUUUUCUUUUAAAAAGUCAUAGGCUUGCAUGCACCAGCAUAUUCAAGCUCCUAAGUGUAACUUGAAUAUGAAAUCCGUAAGUUUUUGAAGGAUGCCAGCCCUACAGUUAUUCUACAUAGGAUUUACAACAUCUAAUCAAAUAUUUUCAUAUUGCAUAAAGAUACAUAUUAUAUUUCCAACAUCAUUUGACUAUGAAAUCUCUCUUUUACAUCUGAUUAGACCUUCUUCUAUCCUGUGUGGCAUAAUAUGAUUGGCUUGUGGUAUAUUAUAUGUGGUGUAACUAUUACAACAAAUACUUCCUUUUCCUUUAGAUCACUGUUCUUAUGUAUUAAAGAUCAAUGAUAUUGACAUACAUAAUCUAGAGGUAUUACUUUGAUUUAUGCAUGUAUUUCAAGGUGCCAUGAAUUUGCUAAUACUUCUAUAAUAUUGUAUAAUAACCUGCUAUGGAAUCCAAAGGAUUUCGCGUAUGCAUUGGGUGGAAAUUUUUGGAAGUGCUGUUCCAUUUUUUAAGUAGAAUAUUGUUUUCAUAAGCUAUUGCUUUAUUAGUAUACAUAGUAUUAAAGUCUUUGACUGGUUCAUACAUAUAAGUUAAGAGCGUUAUAUGUAUUAGCCAAUAUUUCAACAAUUAUUAAAAACAAUAUUCUUGAGAACUUCUUAAUUUAAUUCCACGUGCUAAAUUUACACCAGUUGGUUUACAUUAUUGUAUUUUAUGUUGACAGUGCAUCAUUGGCAUCCCUGACCCGGGAGAAUGGUCCCAAUGUGGUGAAAGGUGAUCCAGCAAGAAAGGGUGAGACCACACCCAAAGUAAGCUCAGCGCACUACCACCGCUUCGUGCCCAACCUCAAUGUCACCGACAGUUACCUCAAGUUCACCCAUUUCCUCCACAACCUCUCCCCUGCUGGUAUGCUUGCUUCUUUUAUCUUAUUAUUGCAGCUUCCAAUCAUUAUGUUUAGUUGGUAACAUUGUAUCCUCUCCCCUGCUGCUAUGCAUGGCUCUUUUAUCUUAUUAUCGCAGCUUCCAAUCAUUAUGUUUAGUUGGUAACAUAUGUAGAGUUGUAGACCCCUUUACUACAUGAGAAAUUUUUGCCAACAACCCCAAAGAUGCAUCUGUACUACGCGUGCACUGCAUACACUGUAUCCUGCUGUCCCCUCAUUAUAUCUCAUGCUUCAAUUUCCACCAUUUAUUAUUCACAACGAAUUAUUUGUGGUGGUUGGAUGGCGGAGAUUGUAGUAUGAGAUAUGAUGGGGGUUUGGACGAUUGUGGAAGUUAUGGACGCAAAAAACAGUUUCCUCUCAACUAUGGGCUAUGUUGACCCCAGAAUAUCUUGGAUCUGACAACCCCUCUACAUUCAGCUUUUUGAUUUUCUGUAAUUCAGUCUGUUGAGUUCAGAACUUUGUUUAAAUCAAUAGCUUAUCUAUUCGACAGAAGAGCUAAUAGGAUCAUUAAAUUUGAUAGUAUCAUUGUUUAAUUUAUUGAAUAAUCAAUUUUCUUAGUUAAAAUCUCAGGUGUCUUCUCUGAAAAAGGGCAAAAAAAUCUUGGGUGGAAGUUGGGGGUUAUCGAUCAGAAAAUACUGAAAUCCCUUGGGCCUAUUUUGAUAUGUACUAUAGUUGAGAGCAUCGCCGUAAACUUUUACAGUUUUGCUAGGAUGUUACUCACCAUUAAUGUCCUUAUAUAUAUCCAUGUGCAUGUAGAAUUGUACGAGCAAGCCAUUAGGUAUGAGAAGGGUUCAUUCAUUACGUCCACUGGUGCAUUGGCGACCUUGUCGGGAGCCAAGACGGGUCGUUCUCCGCGGGACAGACGAAUCGUGAAAGAUGACGCCACCACCGCCCUCGAGCUCUGGUGGGGAAAGUAAGAAUUCUCACUCUCACCUUUUUUUUCUGAAAUUAUUGUUCUCGUUUGAAAUUUUAUUCAUGUCUUUAAAUCUUCAAUCUUCUUUUUUGACCUGUAUUUGUGUAGGGGCUCACCAAACAUUGAGAUGGAUGAGCACACAUUUCUCGUCAACCGAGAGAGGGCCGUUGAUUAUUUGAAGUCUCUGGAGAAGGUACUAGCAUUGCCCUGUAUGCCACCCUAUCUUACUGUCCAUCUAUUGUCCAACAUUAUCUAGGAAAUUAGGUCUUUAAUCUUUUGUAUGUUACUAGUUGAUUUCUAGUACAAAUCUAAUGUUAUUAUUCCUAUUACAGUUAGGAGAAAAGAAAACAAAAUAUUGUGGCUUGGAAAUUCCUUAAUCAUGUAGAGUAUAAAUAACUAAAACACUGUUAUUUGUUAGAUUAUGCUGUUAAAAAAGUUCUUUUAGGUCUCACCAAGAGAUUCUGAAUGAAAUUGUUGGAGACUCGUAGUGUCAUUUAAUUCAAAUCCGCUAGGUGGGAUCAUGGUCAAAAUUGGCCUACACACACGGGGGAGUGUGAGUAUCAAUGAUUAGGUUACUCUUUAUCUUUCUUCUUUCAAAAGAAAGAAAAAAAAAACUUUGUUGGUAGUGACUAAGGACCCACUAAUCAAAUAUUAACUAGAGAAUCAAGAUACUCGUUUCUUUAAGCUUAAGUCGAUAGAAAUAAUGGUUGUUUCAUCAAUCCUAACUAUGAUGUAGUAUGGUCUAAACAUACAUCUCCGUCAGUGGACCUAUUCUCUUGUAAUUUAUGGCCUAUUGAUUUCACUGUCACAUGCCCUUAGGUAAGACGCAGCUCAAUGACAUAUGCCUCCAAAAUUCAUGAUUAGCAUGAAAAUUCAGCAUACCUCGUCAAACCUCAGUCAUUCUUUCAAUAUACGUUGGCCUUGGUGUAUGUUUCUAAUUGAAAUUGUGUAUAUUGAUAAAUGACUAUUCUACACGUUUGAAUAGUGGUCCUGAUUAAUAUGCUUGUCCUCUUAAGUUCCUGGCAUUUUCUUCACGUGUGCUUCCCUCCCAUUCAUCAUCCCCAUUUAGAUUCGCUCCAUCACGACAAAUUUCCAUGCUUGUAAGAUUUGUAUAGUGUGCACCGGUGUCUUGAAAGACUAUUUUGCUACUAUGCUAUUGCUCUUCUCAUCGAUUCCAGAUGUUAUGGGUAUUCAAACAUGAUAUAAAGUCAAGCAAAGCUCUCCCUCUUCUCUUUUUUAGGUGUAUGUAAAUGAUCAAUUCCUGAACUGGGAUCCCGAGAACAGGAUCAAAGUCCGGAUUGUCUCCGCAAGGGCGUAUCACUCACUCUUCAUGCAUAACAUGUAAGCAUUUAUAUUAAAACUUUUAAAUUAAUUCUCCAGCCCUGGCUCAGUACCGUUUCCCAGAUAAGUCCAUCUUGACGUUGCCUACAUUAUAUUAACUAAAAAUAUUAGUUAAAAUAGUAAAACUCCUCUUGCCUUCUGAGACAGUGGGGAUCAAUAUCUUGAGACUUGAGUGAAAUACUUGGUACACAUAGCUGUUGUAUGUACAUACGAUAACUGCGUGGGUGACAGGUGUAUCCGGCCCACGCCUGAAGAGCUAGAGGACUUCGGCGAUCCGGACUUCACAAUAUACAAUGCGGGCCAGUUCCCGUGUAAUCGUUACACACACUACAUGACCUCCUCGACCAGCAUAGACGUUAACCUUGCGAGGAGGGAAAUGGUUAUCCUCGGCACACAGUAUGCGGGGGAGAUGAAGAAGGGUCUUUUCAGUGUGAUGCACUAUCUCAUGCCUAAAAGAGGAAUCCUCUCGUUGCACUCUGGAUGCAAUAUGGGCAAGGAUGGUGACGUGGCACUCUUCUUUGGUUUAUCAGGUAAGUUGAAAUACGAAAUGGAUCAACAGAUUGUGGUGCCCGUACCCGCCUGCCCACCUGCAUCCACACUUUUUCUUUUGCCCUCUUGGAAUUAAAUCCUAUUGAUUAGUAGUACCUCGAUAAUGAGUAUAUGAAUGGUGAUGCUAUAAUCUUUUACCAUACUUCUGUUAUGUCUGAAACUUCCCUUCUUGUAUAUCUUUUCCAGGUACUGGAAAGACCACACUGUCCACAGACCAUAAUAGACUCUUAAUCGGCGAUGAUGAGCAUUGUUGGAGUGACAAUGGUGUUUCGAACAUUGAGGGUGGUUGUUAUGCAAAAUGCAUUGACCUGUCCCGGGAAAAGGAGCCUGAUAUCUGGAAUGCCAUUAAAUUUGGAACUGGUGAUUAAGUUGCUCUUUUGCUCUGUGUACCUCCUUUUGAAUUAAUUCCCUACUGGCUAUCAUUCAGAUCCCUUUAUGUACUUUUUGGUUGUCAUUCAGUGUUGGAGAAUGUGGUUUUCGAUGAGCACACUCGUGAAGUGGAUUACACGGAUAAAUCUGUCACAGGUAACACAUUUAGAUUCAUCUCGAGAUGAAGAUCUUAUUCAUGAUCUUGGAAGCUAAUGAAUUCUCUCAAAGAUGCUGUAGAUGUUAUUGAAGCGUAAGAGUAAUUUGUGUUUAACAUGCAGAGAACACCCGGGCAGCUUAUCCUAUAGAGUUCAUCCCUAACGCAAAGAUGCCCUGUGUUGGGCCUCAUCCUAGGAAUGUUAUUCUCUUAGCAUGCGAUGCCUUUGGCGUCCUACCACCUGUUAGCAAGCUGAAUUUGCCUCAGACUAUGUACCAUUUCAUCAGUGGCUACACUGCUCUGGUACACAGAAACACUCAUUAUGUUUAACCCUUGAAAUCUAUUUUAUUGAAACUUAAUCGGAUCGGAGAAGAGUGUCAAAGCUGUUUGAUUUAUCUGUUGUGUUGGUCAUGGAAAAUAUGUAGGUGGCUGGCACAGAGGAUGGUAUUAAGGAGCCGCAGGCUACUUUCUCAGCUUGCUUUGGGGCGGCAUUCAUUAUGCUGCACCCUACCAGGUAUGCGGCCAUGCUUGCCGAGAAGAUGCAGAAGUAUGGUGCAACAGGAUGGCUCGUCAACACUGGCUGGUCUGGUGGAAGGUACCCAUUUUAGAUUUUGGCACGAGUAAAGGAUUUCAGAAUUGUUUUAAAAAUUAGUCCUGGAAUUUUGGCUCUGUUUGAGUUGUGUUCUGGGAGAUUCAGAAACAAUUUAAUUUCUGCAGUUUGAUCUUUGUGAUGACGAUAGUAGUUCUAUGUGCCUACGGUUUGAAAACGAUGCAAAGCAGGCGUCAUCGUUUUAGUCUGUAGGCAUGACAACUUUUUGGAGGUUUCAGUUUUAUGAUGACGCAGCUCUUCCACCCCCACCCCCCCUCGGUUCAAAAAAUGUGCAGCUUUUCUUGAUUGUAGGUGAAGGGUAGAGCUAGGGAUGUACUGUGGGCUGCGCCGGGCCGGCAUGGCCCACAUUUACCCGGGCCGAAAUGGGCCGGAGAAAUAGGCCUAUCUCCCAAGGGUCUGUCAUAGCAGACCAAGCAGACCCUUGGGAGAGCCCCAAAGCCUAAACCCAACUCGGCACCUGUUUGGUUCGGGGUUAAGAGGUGGAAUAACCCCUUGAUCCCGAAGUUAUUCCCAAACACCUAAUUUGGGGAGUGGGGUUACCUAACCCAACCCCACCCCACUACUCCAAUCAAACAAAACACUAUUUUAUCCACUAUCCUUCUUAUCUUAUCUACUCCAAUCAAAUACUAUUUUAUCUAUAGCUGGACUAAAUCCAAUUCUCAAUCAAACACAAAAUUACUCUAACCCCACCUUAACCCUGAACUUAACUCUAUCCCUGGAAUAACAAGUUUUUACUUUAACCUUGAACCAAACGGUGGAGCAUUGGGAGUUGGGGUGGUGCAGGGGGCCUUGGGAGUUGGAUACAACUCAACUCUCUGCCCGGGCCCAGCUCGGGAGGCACGGGCCGGGCCGGGCUGUGUCUGGCCAGGGCAUCCCCUCAAGCCCGGCACAAGUGCUAUGGUGCUCGUGCCAUGCUUGGCCCGGCCCACUCUUGUGCUGGGCCGACCGGCCCGUUUGACACCCCUAGGUAGAGCUCAGUUGUUAUGUAGAACAAAUUUUAGCUACUUUAAUUAUUUUAAUUAAAUUUGUACGCAGUUUAGUGGAAUCAGGAUGAAAUUUUUUGGGGACCAACAUUUGCAAAUAACCCCCGAAUCUAAUUGUUGUUAGUUGUUAUCUUUUUUGACAUGCACUAUUCUCGCUUUCUUUUGUUCCAGGUAUGGUGUGGGCAAGCGGAUCAAGCUGCAGUACACGAGGAAGAUCAUUGAUGCCAUUCACUCUGGCAAACUUCUCAAAGCCAACUACAAGAAAACUGAUGUGUUUGGGCUGGAGAUACCAACUGAGCUGGAAGGAGUGCCGUCAGAGAUUCUCGACCCGAUAAACACUGUAAGAUGGCCUUUUCAAGAAUGUAUCUUCCAACAGGUAAUUUUCUUGUGGUGUAUGAUGUGGGUGUUUGUUGGUUGUUAUGAUGAUAGUGGGAGGACAAGGCAGAAUAUCGGGAGAUGCUGCUGAAGCUGGCGGGGCUGUUCAAGAAGAACUUUGAGGUGUUCGCGACCUACAAGAUUGGCAAGGAUGGCACGCUCACCGAUGAGAUCCUCGCUGCUGGCCCAAACUUGUGAGGCGUCAAUCCUCAUCAAAAUUAAGCGGAAGGAGAGGGUGAGGCAUAAAAAGUGGGAGGAGGAAGAAAUCUAGCGGUUGAAAGUGUGAUAUGGUAAUAUGUAGGGGAGUAGCGUAUGUUUGUUUCAUCUGCAAUGUCAAUUUGGUUGGUUUAUAUAUUUAUGCUAAAUUAGGAUCAACAAAUGCUGCGUGGGGUAUGGUAUAUGUUAUAUAUGAAAUCAAUGCAAGUUCGGUGUUAAUCAUAAUCAUCUCUCUCUGUCCAUUCUGCGUCAGGCUAAUUCUAGUGCGUCUGCUAAAUAAGACUCGGGAUUUCGGACCUGCACACUCUUUGGUCCACAGAAUUAUUCUCUUUGCAAUGUAUCAAGACCCCCACAGCUAUUUUGAAAUGAUUCCAGAAAAUUAUUUUUCUAUUUAAUAUCUACUCAACUUUUAUUUUAUUUUACUUCAGGUUAUUUGCGAUUUAUUUUAAUAACUUUAUGAAAGGUGUUUCAGAAGCUAUUCAUCAUUUAUUACUUUUUACUCACUUGAGGUAGUUGAAGUCAGUCACAAAGUUGAGGGGCUUAUUAACCCACCCAUAGUUUUAUGCUCAAAGUUGUUGCCUGCAGACAUUAUCUGCAGCAAGUCUCAACACAAAAACUUUACACAAAUUAUACGGGGGAACAAAGAAAAAGAAAAGAAAAGAAAAAAGAUGAGGAGGAAAGCAUACAAAUGAGCCAUUUAUGCUCUACCUGAUGCUAGAGCAAAACAUCGACACACAAACACACACAUUUGAGGGACGGUUCAUUCUAUACAGGAGGCCCUCCUCAGAAUGCUAAACUAAACAUUUCACUAGGACGUGUACUAGAAUCCUUAUAUAGAAAACGAGGGGAAAAUUGCAAUGUUAGUAAAGUCAACCUACUGGUCAAUAACAGCUUGACGAACUGCUUAAGGUGUCUUCUCAAACACCGAUAAAUCCUCUGCUAUGCUUCUCAAACACCGAUAAAUCCUCUGCGCUGUUUUCAUUUUCCGUGGUAUUCCUACCCACAGAAUGCAGUUCCAUCUCCUCUGGCAACGGUUCGGACUUUGUUAUUGAUUGUUCAUGUUCUCUUUGGUUCUCCUCAAGAGGAUGAGGUGAUGAUUUAGUUACAGUGACUCCUUUGGCUUUGAUCUUGGCCUCAAUGGCCCUGAUCAAAGAUGCUGCGGCCUUGGGAGGAACGACACGUGCCCCACAUGCAAUGGCAGUGGCAUGAACUAAAGGGUUGGGCCCUCUAUAUUGGUCGGAGUGACCAGAUGGAGCUAGAUUCUGCGAUUGCGAGACAGGUUGUUCUGCAGGGCAAGAAGAGAGAGGGAGUGCUUCGACAGGAGUAGCCACAAGUGUGUAAGACCUGCCUGGUGUCGCUGCUGAUUCACCCACAUUAAAAAUAAAUAAUAAUAAUAAGUAGAGCCGUUAAGUAAUUGCUGAAAGCAGAUGGUGAGAAAUAGAGAGACGCAUAUUAUGCAUAAUGCAGGUUCCAUAAACUGAGAAAGUCGUGAUAGUACAUCUACGAUAGUAUAGCACAUGCACGCUCAAGUACCUUUGAUAAAACUACUACUUUCUUACAGGUUCUUUAGAAAUAUCACGUUUUCCCCAUUUUCAAGAAUAGGUAACAGUGCAUCAUCCUUUAAUGACCCUUCUUGGCUCGGUUUCCUAGAUUGAUGAAAAUAAAGCAAAACAAGAUCAUGGUACAUGCAUGCAGUUAUACUGCAGUUUGAAAAAUAAAAAACUCUUGAUAAUGAUUUAGUCAUAAACAAGUAUUUACAUCCGUAACAUGCCUUUUCCAGGUAUUUUCUCAUCAAACAGAAAUAUUUCUUUUUCCACCAAAAUUUUAGGCACUAUAUAGGGUAAGUUGAACUUACUGUGAAUUUACAUUGAUUACUUGGAUAAUGUUCUCAAUCCUAGUCAAAAAAAUGUUCUCACUCCCACAAUAUCAUUGCAGCAAAUAAGACUAAAAGACCUAAUUCUUUGGACAUUAAUCUGAGUAGGCAAGCAAAACAAUUUUAACCGGGUUAGAACUAGUCUGACAAGUGACAAAGUAGGCAAACUUCUAAAUUAACGGUUUGAUAAACUGGGAGAACUAAUUUUAACUCUGCUGUAUCAAAUAACAACAAUUGUCUAGAUUUGCCACUCCUAUACCGAGCAGAUUUUUCUUUCCCCCUCAAAUCUUGAUCACCAAAAGCUUAGUAGUGUAAAUGAAAUAUAGAAGAACCAAGGACAAAGUUGCUGCCUUACUCGUGAAUUUUAAAAUAAACUUGAAAGGAACAUAGGUUAAAAGUCAUGGCGGUAAGUAAUGUUUUAUCUUCAAAGCUUGACAUUCAUAAAGAGUUUUGAGAACCAACAGAAUGGUAUCCAGUAGACAUUUAGUGGAAGUUUUCAAACACUCGGCUCAUUCUGAUAUCUGCCAUUCUGUGCUCAACAUUACAGCUUCAAGUAAAACUACCACAAGACAAGUAAAUUCUAAAAUCCAACAUUCAUAUAUCCUCACAGAACUUGAAACAGUUACUACAUGCGCAUGGCAUACAAAGAUUACAAGUAAAUUUAAUAAAGUGAAGUUUAUUAACUUAUAGUAUUAAAAUGGGACAAAAAGGAUAAGGAUGGUAACCUGCACAAGCUGUUGGUAAGCUUCCCAUAACAGGCAUAUACAGUGUGACUGGAAGUGCAGGAACAGCCACCAUAUUUGCUUUUGAAGGUCCAGAAAUGCUUCUGUCGCUACACUGUAUUAUGCUGAUUUGGCCAUCGCCGACCUCCUGCAAAUGUCAAAAAAAAAGAUUUUUGUUUAUUUAAAAAAAAGGCAAUGCUCGUAGAUGUAAUGACUAGAAAUAGGUUUUGUAAAGAAAAAAAAAAUAAUCAAGGAAAAGAAGACCAUGGAGAGGACUUUUUAGAGCCUGAAAUAGCAAGUUACUAAGAGGUCUCUGAGAUUAUUUGUAGUAUAAAGGUUAAUGACUACUUGCAACAAUUAAGACUAAUCACAAGCGGAUUUCUAGUGAUAAUGUUGAAAUAAGCGUAAUAAGCAAUUUAUUUGGAUAAUAAUCAGUCAGCAUGAAGAUAACACAUAGAUUCAAUACUUUACAAGUGUUAGAGGUAGAUACCUGAGAAUUCUGGGAAGAUCCAGAUCCAUUAACAUGCAUAUCUUUAUCAGUUGACUGCACUUCCCUUUUGUUUUCUGUAGGCAAAUCCAAAUCUUCUGGUCUAUCUCCACCUUGCCCUCCUGUAGAUGAUUGUGACACAGAGAUAAAUAAUUAAUUAAUUAGCAACAAAGUCAAACAGAGUCUUCAGACCCAUUAACUACUAAGGGAAGUGAAAUAUACCAUUUGAAGGAACACUUAGCAUCACCGAGCCUUUAGUAGAACAAUUAGAUGAGCCUGAAUUGCCUAAAAAGUUCGAUGGGAUUAGCACAAGACUGACUGGCUGUUGCUGUAGAAGCUUGAGUUGCUGUUCUGUAUUUGCCAGUUGGACCUCAUUGGAACAUUGUACCUCAUUCAAAGAUUUUCCUUGUGUCGUGUUAGUAAAGUUACUUCUGUGGGAAACAAUAAAAGUAUGUUUCCUCAAAAUCCCUCUUUUAGCUGCAGAAACCUUCUCCACUGCCUCUUUCAAAGCAGACAUGGCAACAUUGUAAAUUUCUUCUGUCACUGACCCUUCUUGUGCAUAUUUAAUGGCUUCAUGACAUAACUGAUUAUAGAGAACUGUUAGAGAUUCACGAGAAGCACCACCUUGAGUCCCAUAAUAACAUUCUCCUUCAAUUUUUACCCCAUUAGGCCCUAGAUUGUCAUCUAGUGAAUUGAAUAGUUCUUUUCCAGAGCCAAUAUCCAACUGACCAUAAGGCACUUUCUUUGUAGUUAGUAAAUCAUGGUUAUGCUCCUUCUCGAACUUGGUCACCACCCAUUUUCCAGAAUUUACCUUCUUGACAAUGAUCAUUGCUUUGCAACCAAUUCUUGUUAUCAUUCUAGGGCGCUUGGCUUUUCCUUCAUCUGCACUUAUCUCCUUCUUCACCCUCAUUUCCCGAAAACCUUCUUUAGAACAAACAAUUUGGCGAGAAAUAAUAGAAUUAUCACGUCUUGACCGACAAUACUUACUUAUGCGUGCUCUAAAACCUGUACUUCUAGCAUAGUUUAUGUAGAACAACUUCGCCGCAUCUUCAGAAUCAAAUUCCAUACCCUCAAAUGGUUCUUGAAGAGUAUCACCUCCAAUAAGGUAUGGCUUCCCAAUCAAAUCAUGAUCAGGCCGAACUGACGUAAUCUCGGCUUUUCUUGGUGGCACUGGCCCGUGGUUGUGUUCCUUCACAAAUUUGGUAACUACCCAUUUGCCAGGUUCAAACUUUUUAACCAUAAUCAUUGCCUUGCAGCCAACCCUAGUGAUCGCUCGGUGCCUGUGUCUUUGCUCCUUUAAGAAGCCUUCAUGGGCACGCACUUCACGAAAACCCUCUUUGGAACACACUAAUCUCCGAGAAAUAAUAGAGUUGUCCCGCCUAGACCGGGUGUACCUACUGAUGCGGAUCCUAAAGCCAACAUGUCGCGCAUACGCACUGUAGAAUGCCCUAGCAGCUUCUUCUGAUUCAAACUCCAUUCCUUCACAUGGUUCCAUGUCUAUGUCACUUUGUGAUGCAACUAGUUUACCUCUAUCGAGGUCAUGUGCAGAUGAAGGUUCAAUAUCGAUGGAAACCAUGGAAACUUCCGUUUUGGCAUCUUCUGACUCAAUGUCAGCUUUGGCCUCACUAGUGGUGCUAAUUAGUUCACCUUCCAUUUCUGACAUCCACUGCCAUAGAAUGCACCAAAAUUUAGGAAAUAAAAAUUAUAGAUCCACAAAACAUGGUUCAAGAGAGAGGCGACAUAGUCAUCCAUGAUUAUUAAUCAUUGAAUUUGCAUAUGUAAUUAGCUUUGCAAGAACUUGUUGGGUAUUACAUAUUGACAGAUAAAAUAAUAAAAACAUCGUUCUCUGGUUGUUUCACAUGCUAUUAAUGCAAGAGUUCCCAAGAUUAAAUCUCACAAGGCUCCUAAUUUGGUUUAAUUUUCUCCCGUUUAAUUUAAGUCCACAUCUUGUGCUCAAAUCCCAGACAAGAGAGAGCGAGAGAGAGAGAGAGAGAGAGAGUGGACACAAAGAUAUGAAAAAUACCAUUCUCUAAUAGCUUAAGCUUUAUAGAAUAAUAGUUUUACAUUAAGAACAUUUUGCAGUGAAACAUAAUGUCUACAGCAGAUAGGCAGUUUUUCAGAAUUAGAUGCCAAAAUUAAAAUAAAAUGAUGGAAAAUUUACAGAUUGCAGACCCAUAAUGCAUACUUAAAUAAUAAAUAUAUCAACAUUCCUGGCACGCAGACGCGCUAACAUGUUGUAAUCCUCCCACUGCAUUGCAAGAAGACUAAUUAAAAACUCCCUCAUUAGGCCGAAAUGAUUACAACUUCUAAAACUGGUACCAAAAAAAAUAAAAGUAUGGUUUGCUUUAAAUUUGGAGGAGCAAAACUAUAUAUGGCGCAAACCCAUCAACCAGUCCCCCCAUUUUAGAUACUCGAAAGGGCAAAUAUUCCAACCAAAACCAACCUCCUUUUAAAGCCAAACAACAACAUUAAAAAGCUACUUUGUGUACCCGCAUUAGCUACUCUAAUGCUACUUUACAAGAAAGAACGUACUAAACUCAUCCAAAAAAAACCUUCGGCGACUCAGUUUAGAGCCAAUUACCUCGAUUGAGACGUAUGAAGCUCCGCGUUUAGGAGCUAAGAAUCGUCCUAAACCAUGGUCGAAAAUGGAGAGCCGGGACACCCUAGCUUGGUGAGCUAUGAUUCUACGACCACAGCGACCAUGGAAUGAGAGAUUCUGAGCUUCGAUCCAAGGAGGUGAAUGGUGUAGAGAGAGAGAUAGAGAGAGAGAGAUCGCGGAGGAGAGAGACAGAGAGAGAUGGAGAGGGAGGGAGAUGGACGGUGGAGGUUGCGAGGUGGGCGGAGAUCUCGAUGAAGGAAAGGGCAACGACUAAUGAGGGGUCACAAAUUAUUGCUGUCCGUUUUCUUGGGCCUUCAUAGGGCCCGCAGCUCGGCGUGAUAUCCAUAAUUCAUCUGAUGCCUGAAAUGGGAAAAUAUUGGGCCGAUUUUGCUUUCCGGAAUGUACUUGUUGGCCUCCAAUACGUUAGGCGAGAAUCGGUUGCUCGUAAAAUAUAUGGAUCGCCCCUGUACUAUCCCAAUAUUACAACUUUGUCCCGGUAAGUUUUAACUUGAACAACGGCAAUAUCUUUUACUUUUUCGCUGACAAAUAUAUAUUUUCUGACAAAAAUGUAUUUUUUUUUUAACUCUGCUUUGAACGCCUAUACUUUGGUAUUCUGUUUUGUUCGGCUUCUUGCCAUUUUUUGGUAAUAAAAAUUUAGUUUUUUUUGGAAAAAAAAAAAACAACGACAAUGUCAAUGAAAUACUAGAAGUUUAUAGAUAGAAAAUGUAAAGGCUAAAUUGCGAUUUGAUUCUUAAAUAAGGCACGUGACGCUUCGAUUCUCAAUUUUAAUUUAUUAUAAUUUUUUUUUCGAGUUUUCUUACAUUAUUAUAACUAAGGCUCACAACUUAAGUUAGUUAACUAAAUAUUAAUACGUCGCUAAAAAAAAGUAACGUAGUAGUUUUAUGAUUGAUUGUGCAAUAAUAAUUAAUAAAAUGCUAGUAUUUAGUCAGCUAAACUAGAUUGUAAAAUUGAAUUAUAAUAGUUUCUAAAGUUUGAAUAAAAAAUAAUAAUAAAUUAAAAUUUAAGGAUUAAAAUGUCACCCGCGGGCCGCGGCAUAGUUUGAGAAUUAAAAGUGAAAUUUAGCUGAAGUGUUUAUGUCUGGGAUAAAUGUAUAAAUGCUCAUGACCUUUACCACUUUGGCACCAUAAGAUUAAUGGAAUAGUUCAAUAAAUUUCUCCUCUAAAACAAAAGUAGUAAUUAAACAGUCGCAGCUUAUUAGUAGCCUUGUGAAUCACUGAAAUCAUGGGCAGCUCCCUAAUGAAAUUCAAACCAGCAUCAUAGUGCAUGUAGGCGAUAUGCACGCACAUACCUCACCCAAAAUGAGAAUCAAAGUCAACUUUUGCCAAAUGAAAAGAGAGUAUUUACUAAGGUUGAUUUGUAAAUAUCUAUUUUAUGUUUUGGAAGAUUUGAAAAAUUUAAUAUAAUUAAUUUUUUUUAAUAUCAUAAAAUUGUGAUGACAAUUGUCAUUGAAGAAGCAGGUAAACAUAGUAGUGAUUAUCCGGAUAACUUUAUUAUUAUUAUUAUUAUUAUAGCAUAAAAACUAUGGAAAACACUUUAAUAAAAUUUUAUAAACUUCUUAUUAAGAUAUAAAAAAAAGUAUUUUCAGCAGCAAACUAGACCUAUGCGCACACGGCUGUGGUGGACUACCCGGUGGCUUCUUUCUUGGGCCGUGUCAGUAGGACUAAAACUUGCGCUCGCAGAGGGGAACCAGCUAGCUGUCCCCCAUUCUAGUGAUCACGGUACAACAGAGAGCAAAUUCGUAAAUUCACCACGGGGCCCGAUAACCUUCGGGUACAACCUAGGGUAAGCAACAGCAACACCAACAGCAACACCAACAACUCACUUCCCUUCACCAUUCUCUGCCCCUGGGACAAUCCCCCCUCCUCCCCUCCCCUCCCCUCCCCCCACCACACUCACUAGCCUUUUGCGCCUCUGCUGCCGAUAGUCGGCGGCGAUUGCCGAGUUCGCCGCCGACUUUCUCACCUAGCCUCGUCACCACCGGUUUGUUCUCCUCCCCUCCUCUGUGCGUCAAUAUUCGCGUUCGUUCCUCGAAUUUUGUCUGCGUUUUUUUAUUACCUGGGAGUUUUUUUUUUUUUUUUUUUUUUUGCAAUCAUCAUUUUCUUGUAGGCUAAUUCUUGAUUGAUUUAUGCAUACCAAAAAGAGGGGAAUGGAAAACCUAUUCAGAGACUCUUCGGAUAGUUCCUCUCCGAGCGACCGCGGCGGCGGCGGCGACGAAUCGGAGCGAUCUCUGGAGCGAGAAAUUGCUUCUGAUGGGAGCUACGAUAGCCACGGCGAAGAAUCCGAGGAUAAGGGCGGGGGCGGGGAGGAUAACGACAAUGCCGAAGACAGGGACGGGGACGAUGAUCCGUCGGCGGAGGAGGAAGCGGAUGAUUCGACUGAGAAACCCGAAGCGAUUGCUGAUACCCAUGAGGACGGGAACAAUGACGACGAUCCGGUUCGCACACCGGAUGUUCAAUGUAUUCAAAAGAGGGAGUACUAUAGCGAGGAAGAAGACGAGGAGAACGAGUAUAUCCCGAAAGAUUUGGACGACGCCCUGACACCGAGGGUCGGAAUGGUGUUCGGAUCGGUCAACGAGGCCUUCGGCUUCUACAAGACCUACGCCUACAGGACGGGCUUCACCGCGGUGAGACGAACGAGCCAUAACCUCGACGGGACCCGAUACAGCUCCACCUUCGCAUGCAUCAGAGCCGGGAAGCCCACAUUCGAUCCGUACCGCAAGCUCGAUCCGUUCCCUCGGAAUCGAAGACGGCAAUCCGAUAAGAAGACGGAGUGCCGGGCCACCAUGGUGGUGAAGGAUGCGAGGCUGAAAAAUCGAUGGAGGGUGCAGUUUCUCGAGCUCAGGCAUAAUCAUCCGUGUGAGCCCGACAUGGUCAGGUUUAUGAAGUGCUUCAGAGAGUUGCCGGAUUCGGUGAAGGAGAGACAUAAGAUCAGCGAAGGGAAUCUUGGCGAAUCCCUUAAGAAGUCGUUCAAUGCAGCGACCCAAGGAAGGAGAUGCACAAUUAACCCUAGGAAGGGAGGUAGCAGGAUGGAAGGGGGGAUAAGGUUUAAGGCGGGAGAUAUUGAGGCUCUUUUGAAGUUCUUUGAUUCCAUGCAAGCGAAAGACCCAAACUUCUUUUACAAUUGGGAUCUUGACCAAGAAGGGAGGCUAAGAAAAGUUUUUUGGGCUGAUGCAAGAUCUCGAGCUGCGUAUCAUUUCUAUGGUGAUGUAAUCGCAGUAGAGACGAUGUGUUUUUCUGGUCAACCCGCUAGUCAUUUGGCUGCGCUUGUAGGAGUGAACAACCAUGGUCAGCUUGUGUUGUUGGGGUGUGCUGUGUUCUCCGAUGAAGCUAAGGAAACUUAUGCGUGGCUUCUCACGAAGUGGUUAAGGUGUAUGGAUGGUAAACCGCCGGAGGCGGUGAUUAUCCCAUAUUCUGAAGCGAUAGCAGAAGCAGUUGCAGAGGUAAUACCUGGUGCUCGGUGUCGCUUCUGUGUGUGGAAUAUCAUGAGAAAGAUUCAUGAAAGGAUGGUGCUUCAAGAUAGGGAUGUGAUAUGCUCCAAAUUCAAAAAGGUUGUUUUUGAUACCAUCACUAUUACGGAUUUCGAAAAUGUAUGGGGGAAAGUAAUUGAAAAACAUCGGCUCGGUAAUGAUGCUUGGUUGUCUUCCUUAUAUGAACAUAGGAAGCAAUGGGCGCCCGUCUUUGUGAAUCACUCGUUUUGGGCAGGUAUGUCUACCAUCAAAAGGAAUGAAAAGUUUGAUACCUUUUUUGAGGGGCAAAUGAGUUCGAAGACUUCUCUUAAAGCGUUUCUGGACCAGUACGAUGCUGUAUUGAAAAGCAGGUUAGAGAAAGAGACUUAUGAGGAUCUUCAGUCAUUUUAUUCUAGGCCACAGAUUUUAUCUGGUUUUCAGUUUGAGGAGCAGAUUGCUGAUCUCUACACGGUUAACAUUUAUCAGAAGUUUCAGAACGAGGUGAAACAAUUAAUGCAUGUUAUUUGCAAGGAAGCUGAUAGGAGCGGGCCCACAGUUACAUAUAUGGUCAGUGAGUUGGCAGAGGGGAAAAAGGUCGACUACACAGUUGUUUACAACAAUGCUGAGAAAGAUGCUUGGUGUAUAUGCCGAUCUUUCCAGUUUAGAGGUAUUUUAUGCAGCCAUGUGUUGGCUGUGCUGAGACAAGAGUAUGUAAUGUUGAUACCACCAAAGUACAUUCUUGACCGUUGGAAAAAGGAUUUUAAAAGAAUCCAUGUAACAACAAACUCACCAAAUGAGGCAAUGGUGCGGGACCUGCGAAGCUACGAUGAUGUGUACAAGCGUGGUCACCGAUUUUUUGCAGACAUUGUAGAUUUAGGAUCGUUGGAACCUGAAUUGAAGGAGUUUGUUUUGUCAGUUAUGAAGGAUGUGAGGGACAAAAUGGUCAGAUAUGUGGAGAUGCAGGCAGAGAGGUUAGUUGAUGUUAAUAUGGCUUCCACUGGCAAUGUUGUGAAUGUGAAUAUGGAAAAUGAGCAAUUGUCUAUGGCUCCAACUGAUUUCAUGCAAGUACACCGUACUGAUUUCCCACAGAAAAGGUUUAAUACUCAGAGGGAUAAGACUGUGGAGGAUGCAAAUAAGAGGUUGAACAUGCAAAGGGGCAUUUAUUUCACGAGUUCUGGCAUGCAUGUAAGUUUUAUUGGUUCAUCUCAAUUGUUUCCCAGAUUUGAUAAUCUGUAGACAGGCUUUAACUCAUUCUUUUGGUUUAAUAAUGGUCCUUUUUUUUUUUUUUCCUGAACAGGUGUAAAAGGACAAAUGCCAAGUACGUGCAACAACUGAUCUAAAAGCUUUAUAGUAGUGUUGUUCCAUCUCAUAUCCUUGUUGGUCUCUUCUUUAUCUCUUCAAACCAUUGUUUUAUUUUUCUGUUUAUUUCUCUUGAACCUCUCGCUGUACAUUCUCGCUUCUUAUUUCCGAAUGCUGCUAUUGGUAGGUUAGAUUUCUUUGCUCAACAUGUACCUUUUGGUGUAAACAUACUAGAUUGUUCUGCAAAUGUGUACUUUUUGUUCUUCUAGUGAAAUCAUCCCUAUUUUUUAGUUACAAUUUGGCAAAUUUUAACUUUGUAGACAUUUUUUUAUUUAAUUUCUAUUAUGUUUAUACUGUCUUGUACUUAUUAGUGAAGGAACUUAAAUAGAAUGAGGCUGGCAGGGACUACAACCGCCCCAAGUUCUUCAAAUUUCCAUAUGUAGAUGCGACUCCGUAAAGUAUCCAGGUUAAUAGUUGUUGGCUGUUCCAUUUUCUUCAAUGGAUCAGUAAUCAUAUGGAAAACAUGUGGACUGUUAAUCUGACAUGAGCAGUUUUGUCGUAAAUAAUUAAGAGAGAGAGCUCAAUUAGAAUCUGUUAGUUUCCUUGCUUAUUGGGUUGUUAUCUCUCUAUUUAUCUUUUAACAUAUAGAUAAAUAUAAUUAUUCUAACAUUUAAUCCCUCAAGGCUUGUGAUGCCUCACCCAUGUAGUUUAAUUCACCUUUUCAAUAAAUGAAGCGGGUAGUCUGCUACCUUUUCCUCAAAAAAAAAAAGAAAACAUUUAAUCACAUUUGCAUACUUUUCAUUCAAUCCAUUAUCAAGAAAAAAGCUAUCUUUCUACUGUAAAAUUGGGUAUAACUAUUGACCACUUGGAUAAUUUUUCUUUCAUAUAUGUAAUAACUUAAAAUGCAACUUUUAUGCACCUUUUUAAAAUGUUUUAUUAAAUACCAUACUUUCGUAAUCACUUUUCACAUAUUUAUUUGUUGGCCCCUACAUUUAGUAAAUCCCGGUUCUGCCCUUGCUAGUAGCAAUGCUCAAAAUGCUUAUGCUCAAGUUGUAUAUAUGCAUUUACUCACUUACCCAAUAUCUUCAGGAUAACUAUAAAAAUCUGACAAAGUACCUCAGAACAUAUCCACUAUGGGUUUGCAUGGUUGGAAGACUAAUCAAACUUGUGUGCCCUUCCUCCUUGUCCUAUUGCUCCAGUUUAAAUAAAGCCAAUACAUAUGAUGCAUAAUUAGGGGUUGUGUGGAGGUCGGAGAGGAGGCCGGUUUUGGGACUGGGGUAGAGGAGGGGUAUGGGAGUGCACUUGAUGCGUAUAUACUUGCUAAAUGUGUCAGCAACUUAAUUCGAAUCAGCGGCUUUUACCUGUUUUGUCUUCAAACAGCUAACUUGCCAUCAUCAAGCUCUUCCACUUUUACAAAGAGACUUCAUGUCUGGUAUCAUAUCUUGAUGAUUACAGUGCAUUACUUGGUAUGUUGUACAGCACUUGCUAGUUUCGUGAAGCAUAAAGGCCUAGGUUGAGACAACAAAUCUGUUUCUGAGCAUGGGCAUAUCGGACCUAGUAUGUAAUAACAGUUUACAGUGAGCAUGUUUGUAAUUCGGAAAGCUCAUAAGGUUGUCUUCUCAUUGUUUAUUACAGUAAGGUGUUGUUAUCAACCUCUAACCUUCACAGUAGCGGUAGCACGCUACCAUACACUUGGAUAUUUAUAGGCUAUUAACUUCAGCCAUUGUUCUGUAAGUUCAAAUAUCCACUCUAUAUAUGAACUGAUUGGACAGCAAUUGCGGGGCUGUUUAUUGACUUCCCUACCAUGUUAGAAUUUUGUUGUUCUAAGGCUGAAAUUUGUAUUUUGUGUUUCCAAUUUAAGUAAUUUUACUCUGGCUUAUUUAAAUUAUCCUAACAGAACUUGCAUUGGAAUCUUGUUUACUGGAAAUGUCAAAAUUCUUCUACUAAAUGUACUGGCUUGAUACAGAUUGGACCAAAGUCGAAGAGUUGGGAUCUGUCACUUUUGUCGUUACAUGCUGAUGGUAUUGUUGACACUGGACUACCCGCAUAGCUUAAUUAAAUAAUAUGCCUACCUAGUUUGGAACAUAUAUUUAGUAUUUAUCUCUAUAAAUCAUUUGCCCACCUUAUAAAUUGUCUCUUUCAUUUUUGAGACGAUCUACUUUUCAUUUUGUCAGUGUGAAGCUUUCAUACGAUGCUUCUGUCGAUGUUUUAGCUUUUCUUUGGUAUAGCAAGAUCACCGAUUUAGACAGGUCUAAGUGAGAUUUCUAAGCCUACACUUUCAUCUACACUUAGGAUUCCUUAGAAUCUUUGGACCAAUGUACAGCAUCAAAUCAUUUAGAGCCUAGUUUAGCAUGGUACGCAGAAGAUUUUUAUCGAUUGAUAUCCUAUAUUGCUUUAUUCAGUUAAUUUAGCUAUCAUUUAUGGCCCUCAUGAGCAACUACAUCUGAAGGGAGCAAAAAUGAAUAAGAAAAUCUGGGCCCGGUGAAAUAUGCUGGUAUUGUUGGCUGUGCGAUCAUAUACUAUAUUUUCUUGACUACGCAUGUUUGGAGUUCUUACUUUGCUUGAUCAUCAUUUCGGAGUUAAAAUAUUUGUUUCUUGCUUCAUUAAUGUAAAUUAAGAUUUUAAUCUGCGUUAUUGUUACAAUCUCAUAAACUUAGACUUCAUGAAUUGCCAACUGAAUGUGUGUAUGUAGACUUCACAUAUUGAAGUGUGUAAGGUUGUUAUUUUCUUGUUAUGUUGGUUUUGGAUUAGUUUAGUGCUUGUUCUUUUUUCAGCACAGGGUGUGUUUGAUUCAUUCUUUUGACUUCAAAAGGCAUAAAAAUUUCACAUUUGUAUCAGAACUGGAAUCGUGGAAUUUUAGCCAUAUGUUCCCAUUUUCUAGGUCUCAAAGCUAAUUGAUUUGUUGUUUAUUUUUCUGUUGAAGAAGCUAGUUAGGCUUUCUUUAUUCCAUGUGUUAUAGAAGCUGUGAAUAAGGAGUUAUCACAAGCUCAGUAACCUUCUGGAGAUAUGAAAUUUGUUUCAUGGUCAUACAAGGGAUAAGAUUAUGAAUGCUUCUGGCGUGGCUCGUCAUCCAAAAUUUCCCUAUUAAACAAGGAAUCUACUAUAGAACAUUAGUCAAUUUUGAGAAGCUUCGCAAAAAACUAACCAAUUAUUAUAAAUGCAGAGCUCGGCAAGUGAUGUCUUAUUGUAUAGUUCAAUCUCGCUUUCGUGGAUUCGUACUUUGUAUCUUUUGUGGGAAGAAAGAGUUAACAUAUUUAAACAAAUGAUAGAAGCAUCUCAGUUAGAAGGAUUGUAAUAAGAAUCACAAAUGAUCAAAAAAUUGAUAAUGAAAGCCGUUCAAUAGGUGUUCUGUCGUGUUUUCAUGUGCAUGGAGCCUAGUUUUAAGAUACUAAAUAUUAUGGUAUUAGCACAUUUCCCUGAUGAAUCUUCAUUUGUGAUGUUCCAACUUUAUCUCAGAUCCUAAACUAUGUCUCGGUUGGCCUUUUGAAUCAUCAUACUUGUUUGCUCAUUACUUUGCUCGUAUUAGGUAAAUUCUACUGUUUGGGACCUGGUACUGUAGCAUGUUGUUUCCUACUUCCAUAGGCUGCAAUUAGUAUGGUGGAUUUUUCUUUCCUUAUCAUAACAUGUAUUUUUCAUGUGAGUAUAUGAGAUAAUCUGUCAAAUGCCAAAUUCUAUAAUUUGCUGUACUUAUUAAGAAUUCAAUUCACAUUUUUGGAUGCUGGUUUAGCUAAUAUAAACGAUGUCUAUCCUCUAUGCCCUUGCUUGGUUGGGGGUUAAGGGGUGGAAUAACUCCUUAACCCUCAUUUUAUUUCUAAACACUCCAAAAAAUGGGUGGUGUUAGCUAAUCACAUCUCAAAUAAAUUAUCUCGGGUUAGCUAACCUCACCUAACCUCACCAAACUUCAACCAAAUAUUAUUUUCUAUUCAUAAUAAUCCACUAUCUUUCUUAUCAUAUCUACUCCAAUCAAUCAUUAUCCUUCUUUAUCAAUCAUUAUCUUCUUAUUCCACCUACUCCAACCAACCACUAUCUUUCAUUAUUCUAGACUAACUCCAACUCCCAAUCAAACACAAAAAAAUUUUAACCCCACUUUAAUCCUGAACUUAACUCUAUUCCUAUAAUAGCUAUUUUUUCCUUAACCCCAAACCAAACGGAGGCUAUAUAUAUUUGGUGCCAACGAAAAGUAUUCUGUACUAUUUAUAUAACAUUCGAAUAUUUGA